rnacentral:lncRNA from 1 species
AAGAGCUUCCUGUAGUUUUUAGAGCUAAUUCAAAGUAAUGUUUAAAACACACUUGUUACUCUAAGCCUAGGAGUAAUAAGAAUCUUUUUGUGAAAUAGGCAUAUGCCUAACAUCUUUAUUUCAAUAAAAUUCAUCUUUGUUUCACUUCGAGAAAAUAUUCUUUUAUUGUUUCAUUUCAUUCAUAAUCAUACUAUACAGAUAAAUAUUCUUCGAUUCUUUUGUUCUUUGGAUCUUUCUUCGUCCCUAUAACAGGUCUUCAGAUAUCAAUGAUAUGAGCAAUACUGCUAUUGACUCAGAACCUCCUUUUGAGCAAGAUAUGAGUCCAGAGGAACCACAAGACUUUGAAGAUAACCGAGACUGUAACUUAUCUCCUGAUUUGUUAAGGAUGGUAGAACAAGAUGAGAGGCAGACCCUACCUUACAAAGAAUCAAUGGAAUCAAUGGUCUUUCUCUAUGUGGGGCAUGGAUGUCAUUGGACCAAUCUCGCGAAAAACUUUUGACGGUCAUCGAUUCAUCUUUGUGGUCGUCGAUUACUUCACCAAGUGGGUGGAGGCUGCUUCAUAUGCCAAUGUCACAAAGUCGAUAGUCAGCAAAUUCUUGAAAAAAGAAAUCAUAUGCCGGUAUGGAAUGUCGAAAAAAGAUCAUAUCUGACAAUGCACUAAAUUUGAACAACAGCACGAUAUCAAAAGUUUGCAGUCUGUUCAAGAUUAACACUAUAUCGCCCCAAAAUAAACUGUGUAGUUAAAAAAAACCUCUACCGGGGAAACGCCUUUCUUUUUGGCUUAUCGCGGUUUUUCCCAUUGAAGUCGAGAUUCAUUCUCUCCGAGUUUUUUUGAUCCAAUCCUGAUUGAAGAGAAAGGUUCCAAGUUAUCUGUCAUGGUCAAAUAUACCAAAAACAAAUGAUACGAGCUCAUCAAGAAAGGUUCGCCCUACAGAAUUCCAUGAGGAGGACCUGAUAUCGAAGAAGAUCCUUCCCAUACAAAAGGACUUCCGAAAAAAGUAUUAGAAGAAAGUGGAUGUCAAAUUGGGAAGGACCUUAUGUGGAAGGCCUUAUCUGGAAAAACGUUGAUUUUGACCGGGAAGGAUAAGAAAGACUUGCCUAAUCCUAUGAGUUCAGAUUCAAUCAAAAAAAUGUUUCAUAAAAAAAUAAAAUGAAAAAAGGAGAGGCCAAGGCAAAAACCCGCAAAGGGCACAUUGAGACCAAAGGGGUUUUGAAUUGAAAACCCAGGAAAAUAGCAAUUCAAAUUUUGAUCGAAGGUGGGGCAUGCAGUAGUUUUACUAUGCUAGAUUUAGCAAAAAAGAAAGAUGCUACAUUUUGGGGCAUCAACAAAGCAUUAUGAAUCUUCGAAACACAUAUCAAGUUCAAAAGGGUCCUCAAGAAGUUUGCGCGGAGAAACUCAUGCUACGAUAUUUAGGGCACCUGUUUUCAUCUUAUUCAUUUUGUACCUUAGCAAAAUUUGCUAUCUUGAUUAAUUUAUUCAUUUUGAGCUUUGCUCUUAAUAAAAUUUCAUCUUGUCCAUUGUGAUAAUCUUUUUCAAGCAUUUUUCAUUGAAAUAAUGAUUAAUAGACUGAUAAUAUUCAAGCAAAAUGAGUUCUGUAUAUUACUCUGAAAGUUUCUAAAUAGUACGAGGACCUGAAACAGGACUAUUAUUUAGAACUAACCAAACCUAAGGGCUAGAAACAUUUGAGAAAGAAUAGUCUAAAUUGUAACUAUUUCUUCAAGUUUUCUAUCAAAGAUACUAGCUGAGCAAGAAGACAGCGUAAUACGUCAGUGAUAAAACCUUGAUGAACAACGAGCAAUGUCAACCUAAACAUUAAAAAGGGACCAUUCUCAAAAAAAUGAUAAUCUGCAUUUAUGCAAAUAUUAUUCUUACACAUCUAGUUAGGAGCAUUUGAUUCAUUCUGAUCAUGACAUCUUAAUCACUAGGCAUAAAUAGGUCCAUGAAAUGGAUUCUACAGGUCAAUGAAGCUACUAAUCCUAUACCCUUGAAGUUGUAGUGGGACGGAUUGAAAAUCAUAGCAAACCUUAUCUUAUCUCCUUGAAGUUGCAGUGGAGCAGGUUGAAGUUACAAGUCUUAUCUCCUUGAAGUUGCAGUGGAGUAGACAAAAGAUAGCAAAUCUUAUUUUCCUGAAUUUGUAGUGGAACAGAUUAAAGCUAUAAAUUGCAGAUCUUAUCUUUCUGAAGUUGCAGUAGAGCAUAUUAUAGCAAACCUUAUCUCCCUAAAGUUGUAGCGGAGCAGGUUGAAGUUACAAGUCUUAUCUCCCUAAAGUUGCAGUGGAGCAGACUGAAGAUAGCAAAAUUUAUUUCCCUGAAGUUGCAGUGGAACAGAUUAAAGCUAUAAAUUACAAAUCUUAUCUCUUUGAAGUUGCAGUAGAUCAGACCAUAUCAAACAUUAUCUCCCUGAAGUUACAGUGGAAUAGGUUAAAAAUAAAUCAAUCUUAUCACCCUGAAGUUGCAGUAGAGUAGAUUGAAGAUAGGCUACAAAUCUUAUCUCCCUGAAGUUACAGUGGAGUAGAUUAAAGCCACAAACCUUAUCUCCCUAAAGUUGCAGUGGAGCAGGUUGAAUAUACCAAUCUUAUCUCCCUGAAGUUACAGUGGAGUAGAUUGAAGCUAUUAAUCCUAUCUCCCUGAGGUUGCAGUAGGUCGAAUUAAAUCUACCAUAGUAAGUCUUAUCUCCCUGAAGUUGUAGUGGAGCAAACUAAAGACACAAAUCUCACCUCCCUGAUGUUACAGUGGAGAGGAUCGAAGAACUAAUUCCUAUACCCCUGAAGAUGCAGUGGGAUGGAAUAAGGCUACUUGAAGAAAAGAAGCACAAAAAAGUUGAGAGUCGGCAUGACCAAACAAAAUUAGCCCUUUUAAAGUCUAUGCUCCAUUCUCGUUACACGACAAUGAGUAAAGAGGGGCAACUGUAAUUGGCCAAUUUUGGCUUGAGUCCAAAUAAAAAAUAAAACAAAUUCACUUAAACAAAUAAAAGUCCAAAAAAUUUACAGUCUAUUUUUCUUACAAAUAUCAUAGCCCAAUUCAGACUCAAAUUAACCCAUUACAUAUUAAGCCCAAACCCUAAACCCAAACUAAACCCUAGCCCACAAAACUCUAAAAAAAUUUUAGCCAAAAGAAACCCUAAUGCAGUCGUCGCUUCUAACUGCCACCCUUAGGCUUGCUCCUGGCCGCCGCACACCAGCCACCUCCACGAGCGUCGCACGCCUUUGGCACCUGCAGAGAGAAAUCAAUGCAAAACAGCAGAAGAAACAACUAGAAAAAAACAAAAAAAAAAGAAAUUAAAAGUUGUAACUUGGCUAUAAAAGCUGAAAUGUUCUAUUUGUAUCUUUUUACGAACACAUUAGAAAAUAAAAAGAAAACAAAAACUUCAGAGUUGAUUUUUUUACUUCUACUUUCAUUUUAAAUUCUUGUUUUAUUAUUUUUUCAUUUUAUUCUUUUAUUUUUUUUACAUACGAAUAAUAAGAAUAAAAAAAAAGGAAGAAAAAGCUCACAUGAACGCCCCACGACCACAUCGUCGGAGAUUCCUUCUCCGUCACCGAAGUUGGGUUUAGAAGAGGGUGGAGGAUCUUUUUUCUUUUUGAUUUUCCGGACUAGGAAGGUUUUGCCUUCAGAUCCGUUUUAAAAUGGGCUAAAAACCCAAUUUUUUUUGCGCAGCUCCGACCACCACCCACGGUGGAGCCACGGCGAAGGCGUGACGGGCCAACGACGGACCCUAAGGCUAGGCUUGAAACCCUAACAGAGAAAAGGGAAAGGUUUUAAAUUUUUUUUUAAAAAAAGGUUGCAGAAAAGAGUUUUAAGAAAAAAAAUUGAUUUAAAUAGAGAUGCCAAAUGGCACUGUUUUGAGCUAGGGUUCAUAGGCGCCAAAACAACUCCGUUUAAGUUUGACCCGUGACCCGACCCACUUGCCCUCAGGAUCCGCUUGUUUCUGCGGUGAAUGGGCUAUUUCCGCGCAGGGUCCCUCUGCUUUUGCGACGUAGUGCAAUCUGGCCCCUGUUUGUUUCUUUUAUUUUGCCGCAUAAUUUUCUGUUUGCUUCACUUUGGUCAAUGUUGAAACAUUGCGCAUAAGGGCUAGGAAUAUUUUCCCAGUCAUUCCUUUAUUCUUUAAGUGCGUUCUAUUUUGGUCCCUAUUAACCCUUUUUUUAUUUACAAUUUAAACCCCAAAUUUUAGUUCGAUUUCAAUCCCGUCCUUAGUCCAUUUAAUUUAUUUAUUUUUAAAAAAAGCUCUUUCAUUAUUAUUUAUUUUAAGUUUUUUUUCAUAUAUUAUUUAUUUUAAACUGUUUUACAUAUUAUUUAUUUAAUUUUUUUAUAUAUUAUUUAUUUUAAACUAUUAUAUAUAUUAUCUUUUAAAUUUUUAUAUAUUAUUCUUUUUUAAAAAUUGUUUUAUAUGUUAUUUUUAUAUUAUUUAUUUUAAACUGUUUUACUAUUAUUCAUUUUAAGUUUUUUAUAUAUUGUUUAUUUGAAACUUUUUAUUAUUUAUUUUGAAUUGUUCUUAUAAAUUAUUUAGCUUAAACUAUUAUUUACUUUAAAUUGUUUUAUAUAUUAUUUUGUUGUGUAAACUACACCCAUGGUCACUUUUGUUUACCUUAUGUUACGUUUUAGUCACUUAUGUUUGAAAUGUUACGUUUUAGUCAUUUACGUUAUCAUGUUGUAACAUUUUAGUCACUGAGCCAUUAAUCGUUGUUAAUGGUGUAACAGUAAGCUGACGUGGCACGUUAAAUCAUCAUUUCAAACAAAAUUUUAGGUUAAAUUAUACAAUUGAUCCCCAUAUUUUUUUCGUUUUAAGUAAUUUAAUUUUUUUCUUUUAUGUUCUUUAAACUUUCCUCUUUUUUUCCAUUCUCUUUUGUUUCUCCCUCUGUUUUAAUACAUUUCCCAUUUCUUUUAACAUAUUAGAAAGUCAAAUUGGAAAUGAAAAAAGUAGGAAGUAGACUGUCAUCAUUUGUCUAUAACCAAAACCCUAUAACCAAAACUCAUAAACCCAUGCCAUGCUUCUUUCUUCACUACCAAUUCGACUUCCUGGUAUGUUAAAAGAAAUAAAGAAGGUAGAAAAAUAGAGGGAGAAGUAGAAGAGAAUGGAAAAAAAAAAGAAAGAAAGUUAAAAGAACAUAAAAGAAUUAAAUUUCUCAAAACGAAAAAUUAUGGGGACCAAUUGUAUAAUUUAACCUAAAGUUUUUGUUUGAAAUAAUGAUUUAACGUGCCGCGCCAACUUACCAUUACACCAUUAACGACAAUUAACGGCUCAGUGACUAAAAUGUUACAACACGAUAACGUAAGUGACUAAAAUGUAACAUUUCAAAUAUAAGUGACUGAAAUGUAACCUAAGGUAAACAAAAGUGACCAUGGGUGUAGUUUACCCUAUUUUGUUUCAUUUUUUUAUUGUUAAUAUUGGUAUUAAAAAAUGAUGUGUUGUGUGAUUAUUGGCAUUAUGUGUACUAUAAUUCGUUUAUUCGUAUUUUCAUGCUAUUGUGAUUCAUUAGUGUAACGUUUUAUUCGUAAAUUAUUUCACCAUGUUAUAUAUUAUCAUUCCAUCACAUUUCAUUAAAAUCACUUCAAAGGUCGCGCUUAAUUUUUCCCUUUAUCCAUAGUAGACCAUUUUAUUAUAUUUCAACUAAAUAACACGCAUCAUUUAGGUUUUGUAAUCGCUAUUAUUCAAAAAAGAAUUUUUUAAAAAAAAAUAAGGCAAUGUUUCAUUUUUGGAAAUUCGAGAAGUCAUACCACAACUUACGGGGUUUUGAUUUUCUUGUUAAAUCUAAACAACCGAACAUCCUUCUAAAUUUAAAAUACUUAAGUUUUAAAUAAAAAUUAAAGGCAAGCUUAUUCUCGAGGGUUCAAGUGUCGCAUCCUAACUUACGGGAUAUGGCAUAUUGUUAUCGCGGGACGAGUGAGCCUUUGAUACUCGUUUCAAUUUAAUUCAAGCGUUUUUAAAAUUGACGUUAAUAAAAGGGAGGGAUCGUAUUUUAAAUUCUUUCGAAGUUUUAAAUUUUUGACAUUUAGACAUUAAUUAAUCAAUUAGGUACCAAUUUGGGUGUGACGAGUGUGCUAAUCCUUCCUUGCACAUAAUCGACUCCCGAACCCAUUUUCUCGAAUUUCGUAGACGAAAAUCGAUGUUUUGAUAAAUCGAAAUAUUUUAUUAAAACAAUCAAAUUACAAGGUGACCCGAUCACACCUGAUAAAAAAAAAUUGGUGGCGACUCUCGUUUUCAAACAAAGUCGACCCCCUUUACAAAAAAAAUAGUUUUAACGGGUGGAUUUGUAUAAUUGUUUGUAAUUACAUACAUGUAAUUACUAUACUUAGUGAGUUUUAUUAAAUGAGAUAUAAUUAAAGCACAUCAGUCAAAAGUGGUUAGACAAAUAAUCCAAUUACACUCAAAUCCAAUUAUUUUAUGAAAUUUCAAAUAUGUUAAAAUUGUUUUCAUUUAAUAAUAUUAGCAUUUGAAUUAAAUAGAGUGUUAGUAUCCAAAUUUAAAUUUAUAAAUUAAAUUAUUUGCUGUAUAUGUUAAAAAACUGCAUUUAGUAAGUAUGAAAAUAUUUACUAAAUAGAAUUUUUAGAAAUAAAGUAGAUAUAGAUUCAGAAUCUAUUAUUUACAAAAGCAUAAUAAAUUCGAAUAAUAGAUACUCAAAUUAUAAUUUAUCAAAUAGCAAUAUAUCACAAUUUAUAAACCAAUGACUGAAUUUGUAAGAUUAAAAGAAAACCCCUUCAUUCCAAACUUUGGGAGCUGACAAUGGAGGUAGGACAUGGAGGAUCAGCUAUAUUUACAGUCCCUUCCAGCAUCAAUAUAACCUUCUUCAUUGAUGGUCUCGAUGAUGGCUCAUCUUGCGUGCACCAUAGCCCUACCUUAACCACCCUCCCUAGCUUCUUCUUAUCCACUUCAUCUUCAGGCACUAGCUUGCUCACCUCAUUAGCCUUGAAACAAUCAUACACCCAAUCCACAAGCAUUGCUUCAUUGUCCGGUACAUUAGUUUCCGUUCUUCGACGACAACAAAUGAUCUCAAACAAAAUUACUCCGAAGCUAUAUACAUCGGCUUUCGCCGUUAUAGGCAUGUUUCGAUGCCACUCCGGUGCAACAUAUCCCCUUGUCCCUCUUAUCUCUGUAAAUGUCUUGCUUUGGUUAGGCAGUAGUAGCUUGGCCAAACCAAAAUCCGCGAUUUUCGCGUGCCCUUUGUCGUCCAUCAGUAUGUUUUCGGGUUUGAUGUCACAGUGGAUGAUUUGUAUGUGACAUUCUUCAUGUAAGUAAAAGAUCCCUCUAGCUAUGUUCAAUAUGAUUGCAAGUCUACCUUCCCAAUUUAUCUUUAAAUUGGACUUAAAGAGAAAAUCUGCAAGUGACCCAUUUUUCAUGUACUCAUACACCAAGAGCCUAUUCGUCCCAUCAUAGCAAUAACCAAGUAAUUGAACUAAGUUCCUAUGAUGAGUUUUCCCAAUUGCUUUCAUUUCAUUUCUGAAAUCUCUUUCUCCAUCAUCCACCACUCUUUCUAGUCUCUUGAUUGCUACGAUCCGCCUCCCGUUCGAUAUGAUUCCUCGGAAAACCGUCCCAUACGCGCCUCUACCGAUGCUAUCCCUGAAAUUGUUAGUUGCACUCUUUAGCUCUUCAUAUGUGAACGAUUUCAAUGUGACAUCCUCCACAAAUCUGGCAUCUCUUUGGUCAGAAAUCCUUUUGUACUGUUGAAUCCGAUGCCGGUAUAUAAUAACGCCGGAGAGCGCUAAAACGAGAAACGCGACCGUCAAAGAUGCAAUUCCGGUAAUGAAAAAGUCCAUUCGGAGUUUACUCUUUUUAACUCGGCCUUCGUUUAUUGUCUGAAAACCGGUUACCAUUUUCACGAACGUUGUCACUCUACCUCCUGUUCCUCUUCUCCCGAAUCUUAAUGGUAGUUUCAACUUGUGGCAAACUUGCUUUAAGUUUUUAUAUAUGGCAACUUCACAGUUACAAUCUCUUCUACAUUCUUCUCUGCAAUCGUCUUUGGAUAUUGAUUCGAACGUAGCAUAAGGAUCUUCUUCCCAAGACAAACUGUUCAUAUCUUGAACUUCAAAAUUUUGAUCCUUUCUGAUGCAGGCAUCUUCUGAAUAAUUUCUUCUGCAUCCUGAGUCAGUCCAGUCCGGGUCGAUGAAAUCGAACCCAGGGAGACAUUUGCAUAUAGGAUUCCUAUCCAUCAAAGUACAGUAACUAUUCACACCGCACAAGCCAUAGGGAUCACACUUAUUCUCAGUGGAUGACCAUCGGAUGGACCAAUUACCAGAUUGGUUAGAACUAUGUGAAUACACUCGAAAUAUACCGUCUGCAUCGAUACUUGCUCGGUGGAUGGGGUCACAAGAGACGCUAACGGUCUCGGUAAAGUUUUUUAUGAUGAAUCCGGUAGCAUUCAGGAGGUAAAGAUGACCAUUAUUGUCAAGAUUCAUGGUCACAUUAUCUCCCGCAGUAAAUGUUCCAGCACUCCAGUAAGCAGUAUUAUGUUUUACUGCACCCAUUGGAUAUUGCACCAGGUUCCCAUCUGGCUGCAUCACGAUUUGAAACUUGCCACUCGUAUGAUUUGCUUCGGAUACAUCGGAAACCAGCCGGUGGCCGGGGGAAAGCCGCUGACCGGGCAAAAUGGUGUCUGUUGGGUAAUCAAAACUCUGCCAUAUGAUCUCUGAACUUGAAUUAAACAGCACAAAGUUUCCAGUGUCAAGCAUGGAAGCUGAGGAAGCAAAACUCGCAUUUCCAAUGAUGCUUAUCUCCCGUCCUUGAUUCUCUUGCACAACAAGCCUACCUUCCGUGUUGAAAAGCAAUGUGGCAUGGCUCGAAAACGGCGUUUCAUCUCGGUUUGCCGUCCAUACGACGGUUCUCGGCUGGAUGUUUUGAAACCAUAUGCCUAUAGCGAAGCCAUUUCCAUAAGGAUAAAAACCAAAGGCGAACUGACCAGACUCUGAUAACCAAUGUGAAUCACCGGUUGGCGAAAGAGAAGAAACUAAAGAAAUGUUGGAAACUGUUGUUUGAGCUUGUGUAGUGAAGAUUAUGCAAGUUGUUAUUAAAAGAAAAAGAGAAAAGAGGAGAGCCAUUUUUGGAAGUUUGGGACUUUAGUUUGUCUCUCUAUGAAUAGGUUUCAGCCAUUUUUGAAGGCCUGGUUAAGUUGAGUUGGAAAUUAGGUUGAAGAUUCCACAGAAAAAUAAGUCACUAUUCUGGGCCCUUCAGUUUUCAUGGAACAUGAUGUUUUCUGUAUCGAAACCGGGUCUUGAGGGAAGAAAAUAGUUUAUAAAUCUUGAUUUAGCAGCCAUUGGCUUGUUGACUUUCCUUUCCAAUGCUUUUUAUAUUCAGAUCUUUACUUAAAAAAAAUAUAUCAAAUUCCUUUCCUCGUUGGAUCCAAAUGAUUCAGUCUUGAGAAUGUUACUUUCAUUUCUCCCAUACCAACCCUUUGAAUAGUUCAAACCUUAAUACAAAAAAGAAAAUUACUUUUUGGGUUAAUAACAGCAAACUAUGACAUGUUUUAAAUUAGUUCUUAAAACGUUUUAAUUGAGUCCUAAAAGGGUAUUAAUUAGCCGUCAGCUUGCCAUAAAGCUUGUUAAAGAAAUAAAGAGUCCUUUUAAAUUUAUACAUGUAUUUUAAAUCUUAUCCACUUCAUAUAUAACCGUGUAUUUAACACCGAAACUGAUGUUAGGCUAAUGAAAAAUUCUAACCAAUUUGAAGAUUUAGUUUAGAAUAUAAGCUAUAAUUUGUAAUUAACCCAAACCAUUAUUUUAAUGAUUGCUUGGAACUAAGGUUUGGUUUAAACUUGGCGUGAAUUUAGUCAGAGUGAACAGGAUUGAAUUCCAUCUUUAGAUCUGUUCUCAUUGUUGAAAAGAAUUCUUAUUAUUGACUCUAAGAAACUUAGAAUUCUUAUUUUCUUAAAUUUUAAAUGGCUGGUGGCAUACAGUUUUAUAAUACCAGAGAAUUUCAUUCAUUAAUUUAUAUCAUUUUUGUUUAGGUAAAAUUAAUCAAAAGUAUGAAAGCCAAAUUAUUAAAAAAAAAAAUCUAUAUUAUCAAGGGAAUGUGAGCAAUUGAGUUUUAGCUCAAUUGAUAUAUUAUUGUUGUAAUAAUUAGAUAACGUGGAUUAAAGAAUACAUAUUAUCUUUUGUUUUAAAAGUUUGGAAAUUUUAUAAAAUAUUUACAUCUUCCUUAAAUUACCUUACAAUCUCUUGAUAAUGUAACAUUUUUAACAAUUUUAUCCUUAUUUUUAAUUACUUUAAUUAAUUUUAUUUAAACCAAAACUAAAUUAUAAUAAAAAAAAACUAUAUAUUUAUUAUUAUAAGUUAAGUAAUUUUGAUUAAUUCAAAUUUAGUCUAUUUUAUUACAAUUUUCUUCUUGAAAUAUUACUUUUAUUACAAAUCUAUGUUUUUGUCAAACUUGCCUUUAAGCCAUAACAAAUAACACUUUUAAACUUUUUCUUUUCUAGAAAAACAUAUUUUUUUUCUUUUUUCUUGUCUCUUUAGUUUAAAGAUGUGUCCUAACUAUUUAUCUCUCGAGAAGGAACUAUAUAAAACCGUGAUUCCAUGUCAUUCCUAUCUCUUUCCAAUAGGAGAAUGACAAAUUAAAAUUUUUCUUCUAAUUUUCAGCUUUUUCUUCCUGAAAAAAAUUCAAAUCCAAUUAAAAAUACUAAAAUUUUGAAAAAAAAAAUAAUUCUACAAAAACAAUUUAAUGAAAUAUGCUUUUAGGUAAUUCUAUAUUUUGUUAACCAAACAACAAAAUGUUUUAUUCUAGCCAAAUGAAUCAAACCACCUAAGAUAGCAUCAGUAAACAGGGAAAAAGAUUGUAUGAAAUAGGGAUGCCACGGAAUCUGUAUCCAUUUUUCAAUAGUUUAAUGUCAUAUCAAUAUUUCCAUCUUGAAUAUUAGCAUUUUCAUCCUAAAAAAAAUCAAAUCCAAAUAAAAGUCUUGAAAUUCAAGAUGAAAUUGCUGAUAUGGCAUUAAACUAUUAAAAAUGAAUAAUAUCUCUGUUUCAUACCAUCGUUUUCCAAGUAAAUAGUAAAUAAUAUUACAGUCUAGUAAUUAUAUGAUAAAAAAAUAUCAAGCAUAACAGUUAAAAUAACUUCUUUUUUUUAUUCUCAUCCCAUAUCUUUUGGGGAAACUUAACUAUUGUUCAAUAUAAAUAUAGUAUCCCAUUACAGAAUAAGCUUUGAAAUGGAUUAAAUACUUUGAUGAUUGAAACCUGAAUCCAGUAAAGAUAGAGUGGGAGAAGAAUGAGAAUUGUACACUCAUUCCUUUUUCCCUUCAGCAGCAUAGAGUGCUUUAAUUUCUUCAAUAUCAUCAUAGCUGCCAAGAAAUAUUGGUGACCUAUCAUGUAUCUUAGUUGGAACCAAGUCAAGUGCCUGCAAAAGUUACCAGGUUAAAAAAUCAGAGGUCACCACGAGCAAGAUAUUAGCGAUUUUACCGGCCACCGUUCAUUGUUGCCUACGAAAACUUUAAGACCAUCCCACACUCCACAAGAAAGCAUUACACGGAUAUCACUAGAUCAGAUUGGUACCAGAAAAAGUUCAGUGUAAGUACCCGUUGCUUUCCAGUGAACGCUUGACCUCCGGCAUUUUCCAUCAAAAAGGACAUUGGAAAGACUUCAUAGAGAACACUGGUUCACACAAAAAAAUGGUUAGAAACUAAGCCUCGUAGUCAUGGCAAAUGAAAAUUUUGUGUUGGCAAAACAUAUUCAACUAACAAGCCUGCAAGUAAAUGGAAGCACAAACUGCAUUUAACAUACCGCAGCUUUCCACUGGGGCUCUUCUUAUCAGCAGGGUACAUAAAGGUCCCUCCGUAGAGUAACGUGCGAUGGACAUCCGCUACCAUGCUGUUCAUCAUAAUGUCAUUAUCGUAAAACCAAGUCUGUAUUAGAAGAAAUGACGACAAAAACAGUUGAAAAACAAUGCAUCAUCCUCGUAAUCUCGUACAAAAAAACAGAUGGAACUCACAACUAGAGAGUAAUUGUAGUUACUUGUUCAUGAAGAAAGAAUUGUUCAAUGGAAACAAACAGAACAGAUAUGACGGUCUCAAGAUAUGUCCAUGGUCAGAUUCUUUAAUUUCAGCUAAAAUAAUAAAUCUGCUUAGGUUUUUUCAACAAUCUAAGAUUAAAUAUGUAGUUCAUACUGAUUUCCUUUUUUCUGGAUUGGUCACUCAUACAUUCAAUUCCUUGUUUAAUAAUAUGUGUCUCUCUUUUACAAGACUUGGACCUAUUCCUACUCUGUUCAAACAAAUUUUCAAGCUAAUAGCACCGGAGGUCCCAUAGCCGCCACCCUCGGUGGCACCUUUUGAAGGAAGGGAAGUUGUUUUCUUUUUCUCUAAAAGAAACAUUCAUCAUAUCACAAUCAAUAAAUGGUAGAUUUCAUUCUAUGCCAGUAUCAAUAUUCCAACACCAUAAAUGGAGAUAAAGCGGCACGGGAAGUUACCUUCCAAUAUAUCUCAGAGACUUCGAAGGGGAACCAUCCUUAGGGAACUUACAAUUUUCGACAUACCUGAAGUUCGAGAGAGAUUAUGGCAACUGCGUAGAAAGACAAAUAUAAAAUAAGAAACUUGUAAACCGAACUAAAACAUACUUAGCCGUAGGUCCGUCCCAAUUCUUGGCAUUUCCUUCAUUAACUGAAUAGAUCUUCCCUUUCUUUGGAAUCUGAGUGAUAAACCAAUUAUUCUAAGGGUGUAAGAAUCUGAACCAUAAAAGAGAUAAUCAUAUGAUUAAUCCAAGACAAAACAAGAAUAUACCCUGAUGUCUGGGUGAGUUAGUAUGAACUCUCCAAGAGAUGGAUCAAGGGUGAAUCCAUUAACUCCUUUCCCAGUGCUCAACACAAGCUGCAAUACCAUUUCAUUCAAGAAGGAAGUACAAGGCCAUACAACAGAAAUUACUCAACAAGCAUAUAAAAACAAGUAAACAUUAUACCGUGCAAGAACUUCCAUACAUGCAAUAGCCAGCGGCUACCAUUUGCUUCCCAGGUUGCAGCACAUCAGCUAGUGUUGGUUCAUGGUCAUCUUUCACCAUGUAAAUCCCAAAAAUCUAGAUGAAACACAACUCAUUCAGUUGAUCACUGCAAUAUCAAGUUAUCUUAAUAUGGCAUGGCAUUUUGGGAUUAAGAUACCUACUGUUCCAAUAGAAACACCACAAUCAAUGUUGGAGGAACCGUCGAGUGGAUCGAAAACUACACAGUACCUGCAUUGUAUAAGACCAAGUUCAUAAUGGAAGCAAUUAUUCAUUAGAAACAGAGCAGAGAACAAGUGAAAGCACCUUCCACGCUUUGAGGGCUCCACAAUAAUUGCAUCUUCAUCUUCUUCCGAGACAAGGAUGCACUGAUAUAACAUUCAAAUAUGUUACAAAGAAAAAUCAUAACAUUUCCAAUGUUUACUUGAAAAAAAGUUGAUCCAAUUUACUCACAGUUCUGCCACUGCUCACUAAAGCCUUGAUAAAGACUUCAUUUGAAAGCACAUCCAGUUUCUUUUGCUCCUCACCCUUUAUUUAAAAGAACAAACUUGGUUGAAAUAUGAAUACCAAGAAUAUAAUAAACAAAACAUUCAUUUGAACAUGUACUUGCCUGAAUAUUGAUCUCCCCAGCAAGUCCAAUGAGUUUGGCAAGACCAGCCUAUAUACCAAUAAACAGAAUAUGAGCCAGAAUUCAUUUGGGAAGGAAACUUUAACCGCAUUGAAAGGAAUAAGAGAAAGACCUUGUUAACAGAAGAGCAAACAAACUUGCAACCAAGAACGAUGUGAUUGAGCAAGAUGGUGAAAUCACCACGAGACUCGGGAUAUUUGGAUUGCUCGUUCAACACGAAACGUGUUAUGGUCAUCAAAUCAGUCCUAUGAGCAUCUGCUGCAUGAUCCAUGAUCUCUCUUCUCCCUCCAAAAACACAAAACAAAAGCAAAGAAAAAAAAAGGAAGUGACCCAACAGAGCUGUGACUGUAACAAAACCACUGUAAAGGAGAAAUUAGAGAUUGGGUUUUGCCUUUUUCGAGGUGGAGUAGGAUAAUGACUGUUUUCCUGGGAAGGAAAGAGGGUAAUUGAUGGAAAUGGAAGGUUUAGUGGACACGUAGAGGGAGGUGUUGGUGUUGUCGUCACUGAAACAAACGAAAGUUAAAAAAAUCUUUCAGUUUCAGGAUUUGACAGCUUUCAAUUUUUUGCUUUUUUUGCUUUUCAGUAAAUAGCUAAGAGAUUAAUGUAUCCUAGAUGACUAAUCUUUUAAAUAUUAAUUAUUUUUAUUAAUACAAAUUGUAAUAUUAAAAACACAUAAUAUAUUGCUGACAAAACAAUCAUUAACCCUAAAUUACAUGAACUAUAAAACCAAAAAGAAAAACUCGUGGUUGGCAUCACCAUGUUCACACAACCAAUGCUAAUAUUCUCUCUCUGUUGCUAUUUCUACGGGAAGAUGCCUGAGAAAUGAACAGUUAGAAGGGGACAAGGCAUGAGUCUUGGGUAUGAAUAAUUAUAAGAAAACUGUCCAAAAUUGGUGGUGGUUUUUAUUGUUACUAAUAUAUUUAUAUCAACCUUUUAGAAUUCCCGUGAAUCAAAAUCUAAAAUGUUUGCAUCCGUCGUAAAUUGGUGGUAUAGAACAUCCGAGUAAACACACAGUCAACUUCACAACAGAGAUUCAAAAUUUGAGAUUACCUAUUAAUUUUUUGUCUAUUCAGAUUUCUCCUUUAUUGUAAUUUAAUACUUCUAAUUAUUUAAAUUUGUUUUCCUACUUCAGUUGUGUUGUAUUUAUUACACUUCAAAAAAAAUUUUGGGAUCAAAAUGGGAAGGACUUCUUCAACAAAACCAUAACAUUUUAACAUCAAAUUCUAAACUACCCAACCCUUUUUCUUUUUAUAUAUAAUAUAUAAAAUAUUACAAUUAAAAUAGUCAUUUUCUACUCUCUUUUUUAAUGAAUGCAUUUAAUUUUCAUUUCUUUUUAUAUUGUUAGAUAUUUAUAUAUUUAUGUUGAAUACUAAUAUUUUAUAAGAAGAUUAAGAUUUAAAAUCAUAUAGAUUAUUAGUUUUUUAUUAGUAUGAUUAGUUAUAUGUAUUAAUUAAAUUAUUUUUUAAUUACAUUUUUAAUUUUUAUAAAAAAUAAAACAUUUCACAAUUAAUAUGAUUAAGAAAUUAAAUCAUAAUAAUAUAUAUGUUUAAUUUCAAAAUCUUGAUAGUUGGCUAACAACAUAAAAGGAGUACUCAUUAAUGCCUUUAUUGGCAUCUCAAAAAUUAAGACUCAAAUUAGGGAUAACAAAAUUCAAACCACUCAAUGGAUUCAGAACCAAAGCAAAUUUUUUUAUUUAAAAAGUGUAUGCAGAGCAGGGUGGGGAUGGGAGAAUUUUUUCUUUCGGAUAGUGGGUAUGGAGCAGUUAUGGUAAUUACUUGCCUCGCACUGACCCACUCCACUAUAUAAAAUUAUCAUUUUAUCCUUGUAUACAUAAACUAUUAAAAUGGUACAAAUGGAAUAGCGUAAUAUAGAAAAAAAUCAUAUAUUUUAUGGGCUUUUUUUGAAGAAUUAUGUUUAAAUAUUUACUUUACUUAAAAAAGAUUGAAAAAGAAUUAAAGAUAAGUAACAAAAAUUAAAUUGAAGCGGAGCGAGGUGGGACGGUGAUGGAUGAAUCCAACAUCCAUGGAGGUGGUAAUGAUUUUUAAGAUUAUAAAUCUAUAAUCCAACCUCCAAUCAUGUUUCUCUUGACACUCGCAUAAUUGGGAAUGCAAUUUGAAUCACUCUUAUCGAUCUUGUUGAAGGAGCUGUGGACAGUCAAUUGUUUUCUACUAAGAAAAUUUAUAUUGUCCGUGAUGAUUCAAGUUACAUGUUAUGCCAUCAACAAGUGUUGCUAGCUCUCAAAAUUCACAAGCUUCAGAAAUUCAUUGAUGCCUCAACUGUUCCUCUACCUCAGUAUAUCAUAGAUGUUGCCAGUGUGUCCAAAGUUAAUCUGGAUUUCAAGCAUUUUGAGCAGCAAGACAAUGCUCUUACUUCUUGGUUACUUUCCUCUGCAAGUCAAAGUGCUCUUCCUUAUCUGAUUGAACAUGAUUCUACUACUAAGACUUUGAAACAUUGAGUUCUCUUUGUAGUAGUAAAACUACUUCCAAGUUGACAUAUUAUCUAAAGGCCUUACAUUCUCAGAGAAAGGGAGAUUUACCUAUGACAGAUUUUUUUAUGAAGAUUGAAUUAUUUUGUGAUAAUUUGACUAGUUGCAAUGAGGUUGUUAGUGAGCAUGAACAUAUUACUACUAUCUUGAAUAGUCUUUCUCUAGAAUAUGAGUCUAAUAUUAUUGUUAUAUCUGCCAAUCAAGUGUCUUGUAGCCUUCAAGGAGUCACUGCCAUCUUGUUGGAUGUUGAGGCUCAACAAUAAAGUUUAGUGGUUGAUGUGAAUGAUUUAGCUCAUGUUAUUGUUCAACAGCAAUCAAGUUUAGUUUCUAGUGAAGAUUCUAGUGAGAUUGUCUAUCGUUCUUUCAAUGGCUAUGGUUCUUCUCGAGGACAUGGUCGUAAAUGCUUCUCUAAUUCAUCUCAACAACAGUGUCAACUUUGUGAAAAGAUAGGUCACUUGGUGGGCUGAUGUAAUUAUCGAUUUGACAUAACUUACAAGAGCACAAAUUAUAGGCCACCACCCGAUCAGGCAAAUGCGUGUUUUGCCUUCCCUUUUCAAAAUUGGCAGAUGAGUUAUCCAUUAGCUCCACAAGGAUCCUUUUUGGAUUUGUUGCCCUAAGUUUAGUAUUUUAAUCUAUAUACACUUGUAAAUUUUUUGAAAAAAUUGGUUAAUAAAAUUAUUCAUGAUUACAUUAAUACCCUUUUUUAUAUUGUCUUCACGUAGUUUUUGCAUGUAAAGCAAAUAUUAGCUCCUCAGUUGUCUAAUGUUUAAACUAAUACUAAGCGGUAUUACGUGGUUGGAUCGUAAUACAGAAAGACAGCUUGUAUUAGUAUACGAACCUAAACAUAUCCUUUGUAACACCAUCACACGAUCUGAUCGUUGAAUUCGGGUGUGGGGAGAUACAAAUGAACCAAUUAAGUAACACAUAGUUUUGACUUAACGAUUUUAUAGACUGAUUGCAUUUCUUAUUAAUAAAUAUUCUUACAACAAAAACCUUAAAUUAAAUAAAAAUUUACUAUCUCAAAAUUUCUAGACUCUAAAGAGAUUUGCUAAGAUACAAUGCAAUUGACCCCAAGGUGAAACCUCUAAAGGUAUCCCAUUCCUAUGUGCAUAACACUAUACUAACAUUGUUUCUUGAUUCAACACUAUCUGGCUUGGUCCUUCCUCGAGAUCCUUAACCCACGAAUCUUACAAGAACACAGGCCAACACUUUGGUAAGUUUAGUGAACUUAGUGAGUUUAUUCACUACAAAAUUUUAUAACUCUCCCAUUUCUUUACUAGGUAAAAUUUUAAAAGAAAAUAAACUACUUUAACUCCCUGUUUUUACUCAGACAUUAGCGCCUUAUCUAGACUGACGGUCUUGCAUACACCUUCCAUCGUUUUUUAAUGGCGGUUUGACUGCUAAUACCUUAAGUUCUUGGUCGAACGCCUAUGUCCCGAUGAUAGGAUUUUGGUGGUUUUUAGAUGUCUUGUUAUCUUGGUGGGUUCUCACUUUACCCUACACACCUUCUUAUUAGGACUACCCUUUUUUGUUUUGUUCUAGAUCGUAAGUGUCAUAGUCCCGAUAGAUACACUAAUAUUCUACUCAUGAGGCCUAUAUACUCAUAAGGCCUACGAGAAAGGACCGUGCAUAUUGGCGAUCUUUCCAAAUCUAUUUAGUCCAUGGUGGACUCCCCUUUCUUACUAUAGUCCCGAAGGAUUUGCAGACAUUCUCUCCGUUGUGAUAACUAAUGAGAUCUCCUACCACUCUGACAGACUAAGUCCCACAUGGGAUGAAUAGUGGUUGGAUUACUUCCUUGUAAUCCACCUUAUUUGAGAUACCAUGCUUAUAAGUGUAACAUGUCCGUCUGUUGGAGGCCACUUGAGCCUACAAUAUCCAACAAACUAUCUUUUAAAUGAUCAUUCGAGUUUACGAUAUUUCUUAUGUGAUGGUUCCCUACAAAAUUGGCCCUUUGGCGGGUUUUUUGUAAUAUAAUUCUCUUAAAGAGCAAUAGUCUUGACAAACUUAUCUAUCACCCGAUUUAUCUUUUCUAGUAACUUUUCCAGUCAAUGGGGUAUAUCUAACCCCCUUUUUUAUCGAUUAGUCUAUUCAGAGCAUCGAUGACUAAUCCUCUUUGUAUAACUUGGCGCCAAUGAGCCUCAUAUUGGGGCAGAACUCCUAAUAACCUUAUGAGGUUUUCUUCUAACAUACUAUACUUCAUUGAACACUUCUUUAACGACUCUUAAUGGAAAUUCCUUAUCCAAAAUCUAUAGAUAAGUCCUCUUUUACUUAUAUAUAAGGCGUCAUUUCUCCAUGUCUGAUUUCUGCUGGGGUUUCCACUAUCAUGCCUUUCCGGCAUCUUCGCUCACUGUUUUGGCGACUAUUUCCCUAUUCUACUACUUCUGCCUUAUUUGGCAGAUUCCUUAAAAUCUGUUUGCCAACACUUACAUUAUUCUUCCAACUCUUUUUUUUCUAGGUGUGAUUUACCAUAAUUAUCAUCUAAAUGGUCUACCUCAUGUUUAAUAUCCCGACAAACUCUAUUGGUUGCCAUAACCAAGCUACGAUCUUACGCCCUUACACCCUAUGUUUAAUGUCUUGCUGGACUUCUCGCGUUUACUAUCUUGACGGCCUACCGCAUAGUUACUGUCUCGAAAGAUUGUACAGGUUGUCAUAGUCGAGUUACGGUCUUACACGUUAUAUCUCUUUUGAGGUGUCACCUCAUAGGACCUUACUGUCAUUGUGGUGUUGUUCUAUGGUACCUAAUAUUUGUUGAUAUCAACUCAUCUCAUAUCCACCUUGAUGCUCGAACACUGAAGUGUCCCCCCGGCAAGUCCCGAAGCUUCGCACAUCAAGGUUUGCACUCAGCGAUACCAUAUGGUGGUAUCUUAAUGGAAUUCCAUUUUCCCUAAUCCUCCACCCAUUCCUCCGUUUCACCAUUCUUAACAUUGAUACUCAAACACCACAGUGUCCCCUCUACGAGGCCCGAAGCUUUGCACAUCACGGUUUGCAUACAGCAGCACCGUAUGGCAAUAUCUUUUCAUACGACACACUGGCGGAUACUCAUAGGCCUACUCAACCAUAUGUAAACAAGAAUUCUCAAGCAACAAAGAUUAUGCAUUAUUACGGAAUUCACUCUGGAAUUAACACAUAUUCUUGCCAAACACGCAGCAUCCUAGAGAUGAAUCUUAAAAUCAUUAUAACCAAAUAAUUAAUGUCAAGAUCAACCAAGUUAAAACUCGAUCGACUUUCCUCCAGCCAUUAUAAAAUCAUUAUAACCAAAUAAUUAAAGAUAAAAUAAAAUUAUCUUGAAGAUGAUGUUACCCAAAGUAAAAGUAUAUAUUUUAAAUAUGGAUCUUAAAAUUAACAUUAAAAAUAAAAACAAAAUAAUUAAAGGUUAGAAAAGAAUAAUUUAAAAAAGAAAAACAAAAGGGGAAGUGCGACUUACCUUGCAAAAUAUAGAAAGUCCAACUAAGGUUUAAUUUAUUUAUUUUAGAAAAUCAUUAUCUUAAAAGAUUUUACUUUCCUCAUAAAUUCUCCAACAAUUCUUUUGAGGAUCUCCUCCGAUUUUACCUUUGCUUGAGAAAAUAUCACCAGAAAGCUUAAAACUGAGGAUGAAAUGAAUAUAUGUAAGAAUAUAUAUUGUGUUAGAAGUUGUGUGACCUAAAUUCAUGUUAAACAUAAAAUAUAAGUGGUAAAAUAGGGGGAUCUAUGAGGGCGAAGGCCGUGCAAGUGGAAUCUAUAUAGAAGUUCACUUCCUCUAUUUGAUGUUGAUUAGAAUAAUGUGUUUUAACCUUAGUGCAUUACUUCUAUUUGACUUUGAUUAGAAUAAUAUUUUAAAUCUAUAAAUAGACGUAAUCGUCUCUCCUCUUGUAUCAUUCGAAUUCGACAUAGAAAAUUUUCUUCUCCUUUGCCCGUAGUUUUUUUCCCGAAAGGGUUUCCAUGUAAAAUUCUGUAUGUUCUAUUUUUUUCUCUUUUCUUUGCGAUACACUGCCAUUAUCGUCGUCCUAUUUUCACAUAUAUUUUUCAAGUCAUCAAUACCAGAAAUCUACAAGAAGUAAAUUAAUAUCAUAUAAAUGUAAAUAUAAGGAAGGGGAAUUCGAAAUUUUUUUAUGAGGGGUCGGAAUUAAAUAAUAGAUUUUAGAGAGAUUAAAAUUUAUUUUUUUUUAAAGUAUUGAUUUAUGAUUUUAUUAUUUUCUUAAGAAAUUAAACAUAAUUUUUUUUAUUUUAAAAGCUAAAGUGUAAUUUUAUCAUAUAUUAAUUUUAAUUUAAUUAUUUAAUAGUUACUUAUAUGAUAAGUUUUUCAUUUGAGAAAGUAAGAUCAUGCUUGAAUAUAACAUAAUUAUAAAUAUAAUAUAUUGUGGAGAAGACAAUCAUUAACUCUAAAUUACAUGAAUUAUAAAACCAAAAAGAAAAACUCGUGGGUGGCAUCACCAUUUUCGCAACCAAUGCUAAUAUUCUCUCUCUAUUGGUAAUUCUACAAGAAGAUGAUUGAGAACUGAACAGUUAGAAGUAAUAUAGGUGUUAGAAUACAAGACAAGUGGGACAAUACACGAGUCUUGGGUAUGGAUAAUUAUAAGAAAGUUCUCCAAAAUUGGUAGUGGCAUGGACAAGGUUUUUAUUGUUACUAAUAUAUUUAUAUCAACCUUUUAGGAUUACCGUGAAUCAAAAUCUAAAACGUUUGCAUCCGUCGUAAAUUGGUGGUAUGGAACAUCCCAAAAUGCCCCCUCUAUUAGAGUAAAAACACGGCCAAUAUUAUAAUUAGAGGUGAGUAAAAUUCGAUUUAAUUUUAAAAAAUUAAAAAAAAUUUGAAUUUUGAUUUAUUAAAAAAACAUCAUAUAAAUUGUUAGUUUUUUAUUAGUACGAUACAUGGAUUAAUUGUAUGUAUUAAUUAAAUUAUUUUUUAAUUUUUUAUAAAAAUACAACAUUUCACAAUUAAUAUGAUUAAGAAAUUAAAACACAUGUUUAAUUUUAAAAUCUUGAUAGUUGGCUAACAACAUAAAAGGAGUUGUGGUUAGCCCUUCUUGGCAUCCCAAAAGUUAAGACUCAAAAGAGGGAUGGCAAAACUCGAACCACUCGAUAGAUUCAGAACUAAAGCGGUUUUUUUUUCCUUUUAGAUAGUGGGUAUGGAGCUGUUAUGGUAAUUACUUACCCCACAUUGACCCGCUCCACUAUAUAAAAUUACCAUUUUAUCCUUGUAUAUAUAAACUAUUAAAAGGGUACAAAUGGAAUAACGUAAUAUAUAAAAAAAAUCAUAUAUAUAUUUUUUUGGAAGAAUUAUGUCUAAAUAUUUACUUUACUUAGAAAGGUUGAAAAAAAAUAAAGAUAAGUAAAAAUAAAUAAAUUGAAGUGGAGCGAGGUGGGACGAGGAUGGAUGAAUCUAACAUCCAUGGAGGUGGUAAUGGUUUUCAAGAUUAUAUAUCCAUAAUGAAACAGAGCAGGGAAUGAAGCAAAGCAUGGCAAUUGUGAAGUAGUAGUGAAUUUAGUAAUAUCCGGCCUCACCUCACCCCAUUAUCAUGCCUGACUCAAAACUUUUAAUUGUUAUCCCCCUCUCCUAGUUGUAAUUUGUACCGAAAGAAAAAACUAUUUUUUUACAAUAAAUAUUUGAACCCAAGCUACUUUUGGAGAAGAUGAAUAUCUGACCAUAAGAUCACAAUUUAGAGUUCUUAAAAAUAAAUCUUGAUAAUUGAUAUUGAAAUAGUUUCAAUUUUGAAUUUAAAAAGUAACAAAAAAAAUGAAAAAUAAAAGGGUACAUCAAAUAUUAAAAACCUACUAAUUAUAAAAAUGGUUAAAAAAAUAAUAUCCAUUAAUAAUAUAAAAUUAAAAAAUACAUCUAAUAAAAUUGGUUCCAAAACUAAAAAAAUAUUAUAAAAUUAAUUUAAUUUCAAGAAUAGAUAAAAUUAUUAUUUAUUGUGAUUAAUAAUGGAUCUUAAUUUUUGUUUUAAUAUUAUAAAAUACUGAAGGGUUGUAACAUCCCUAACACAUAUUCGUCGUCGGAAUAAAGUUUCGAAGCAUUACCGAAGUUUAUCGAUCAAACAGACAGAAUUCUCAAGCAUUUCAUAUCAUCAAAACAAGUCAUCAAAGCAUCAUUUUAUUCAAAAUUAUAAACAUACCAAAUCCAGAUCAAUUUGCCUAAUUCAUGAGCACUUAACAUAGAAUUAAAUUCACAUGCACCUAUCUAGAUUUAGUUCAAUUUACCAUGACAUAAUAUGGCUUAAAAAACAAACACAGAUUUAUAUGUACAAAACCAACCAAUAUUAAACUUAUAAUCUCAUUUACAUUCAAUCCACAAAAUAACUAUUAUUUAGACACCCUAGGUACAUGCCAACACAAAAGAUAGACAUCACCACAUUUGAGUUAGGGAGCGUUGUUGGAUGUUGAAUCGGCGAUCAAAAUUGAAGUACAUAAUCUGUGCACGUAAAAUAAAACCGUACCCUGAGUAAAACUCAGUGGUAUUUCUAUAAUUCGAAUAUUUAAAGAUAAGAUAAGAUAAUAUGCAUAUGUUAAUUAUAAGCACAUUUGAAUAUUUAAGACCAUAUUUAUUCAUACAAUGGCAUUAGUCAUUUAAUAUUCAAUUCAUAAAUACAUCAUUUCAUAUCAUUCUCAAAUCUCAUCACUUGCUAUAUAAUAGUUUUUCACAAUUUAAUAUAUAUAUCAUUUAAACAAUAAUAUUAUUCAAUCCAUAUCCAAUUCAUGAAUACGUAAUUCAUGUGUCUCAUUCUCAUGUUUCAAUUCACUAUCUCAUUUUCAUUCACAUACAAUAUCUUUCAAUAUCAAUCAUAGUACUAUUUUAUUUAAUUACUCCUAUUAACACAACUCGGACGAUACACGGAUCCAACCAACACACUAGUUUGGCACCCAGUGCCUCAUCAGAUAAAUCCGAAGUAAUAACUGCUCCCAGAGCUAUAUAAAUUUGACACCCAGUGCCUCAUCGGUUAAACCGAAGUAAAUUGGCACUCAGUGCCUCAUCGACUCGAAGUCGAAGAAAUCCCUAAACUUUUCCAAUCCUAUGGCAUGCCAUCUAUAUCUAACUCAGCCCGAUACAGUUAAUAGGCUUUAAUUUCACUUUCCAAAUACAACCAAUAUUCAAUUAUCAUAUUUGCACAUAUUCAUUUCAAUUCAAAUAAUCAAUAUAUUCAUUAUCUAUAUAUAUAUCAAUUCAAUCCAUUCAAUUAAAUUUUAAUUCAAUUCAAUGUCAAAGUGUCAAAUACUCACCUCAAUACUUACCAUAUGUAUUAUAUAAAAAAAUACAACAAUUAAUAACUAGUUUCGAAUUAUAGAAAUACAAACCAGGAAUUCCGAGCUAUUCCAAGUUAACUUUAUCUUUCCCCUUUUUAGUUGAGGAUUUUGGUACGACAUUAGCUACGGAAUUAAAACAAUUAAAAUUCACCAAUACAACACAAUUCAAUUUCAUAUUGAAUAUUUUUAUUUUUAUUUAAUAUUUUCCUAAAUUCCAAUUUAGUCCCUACACCGAGACUAAUUUUUAUUAUUCACAAUUAAUUCUAUAUUUUCAUACAAUUUUCACUUUAAACUAAAUUUAACUCCUUAUUUUUACUUAAAUCCCUAAAUUUCAAAUUUUUCACAAUUUAAUCCCUAUUACUCAAAAUUUACAAUUCAUUCUACAAUUUAAUCCUUUUUCAUUUCUAACUUAAAAAUCUAUCAAUUUAAUCCCUAAUACUAAAAUUAUUCAACAUUAACAACACUUAAAAACUUAAUAAUUGCUAAAAUUUUGACAUGGGUCGGGUAGUACUUAACACCGGGAUUCCAAAAACAUAAAUAUUACAAGAAAAGAGGACUAAAUUGACUAACCAAUUGAACUUGAAACUUUAAAACCCCUAAGUCGUGGGUUCUUCUUUCUUUUCUUUUUCUUUUUCUUUCUUUCUGUUUCGUUUUGCUUUUGUCUUUCUUUUUUUCUUUUAUUACUAUAAUAUAUAUUUACUUAAAUAUUAAGUAAAACAUGUUAUAAUAUAUAAUUUUAAUUUUAAUUUAUUAAUAAUAUAUAAUAAUAAUUUUACACCUUAUGUCGCCUCAUUAAAGAAUAAUGCCAUAAUUGCUUCUUUAGUCCCUUUAAUUAUUCUUUAAUCUAUAAUUCAACUUUCACCCUAUAUGCAAUUUAGUCCUUAUACAUAAUUACUCUUAAUUCAUGCAAAUUCACUUAACCAAAACCUAAUUCACUACAAAAACGGAGUCCCAGAAAUCCAUUUUUUGACACCCCUGACUAUCGGGUCGUUACAACUCUCCCCUAAUUAAAUUUCGUUCCCAAAAUUUACCUGAAAUAGAUGGGGGUACUAAGAUCUCAUAGUCUUUUCCGAUUCCCAAGUCGCUUAUUCAACACUAUGAUUACGCCACAACACUUUCAUUGACCGAACUCACUUAUUUCAUAAUUCUUUCACCUCACGUGCUAAAAUCUCAACCGGUUAUUCUUCGUAUGACAAAUCAGGUUCAAUUUCAAUAUCUUCUGCCGAAAUAACAUGAUAUGGAUCCGAUCGAUAUCUUCUAAGCGUUAAAACGUAAAAGAAAUCAUGAAUUUUCUAUAGUUCCACAGGCAAAGCUAAAUAAUACGCAACUGGUCUCACUCUUUUUGUGAUCUCAUACGGUCUAACAAAACGAGGACUCAAUUUCCCUUUUCGACCAAAUCUCAAAAUUUUCUUCCAAGGUGAAACUUUAAGAAAUACUUUAUCACCAACAAAAUAUUCAAUAUCUCGACGUUUCAAAUCUGCAUAUGAUUUCUGCCUACCAAAAGUUUUUUUCAAUCUAUCUCGAAUUUUCUUAACAAUGUCUUCCGUUUCAUGAAUUAAUUAAGCCCGAUCAUUCUUCUUUCACUAAAUUUCAUCCAACAAACAAGCGAUCGACACUUACGACCAUAUAAGGCUUCAUACGGAGCCAUUUGAAUACUCGAUUGAAAACUAUUUUUGUAUACAAAUUCGGCCAUCGGUAAGUAACGCUCACAACCUAAUUCAAAAUCAAUAACAUAAGUACGAAGCAUGUCUUCCAAAAUCUGAAUAACAUGCUUAGAUUGUCCAUCAAUCUGCUGGUGAAAAGCUGUGCUAAAAUUAAGUCGUGUACCAAGAGAUUCGUACAACUGUUUCCAAAAUCUCGAAGUGAACCACGGAUCUCGAUCUGAAAUUAUUAACAUAGGGAAACCGUGCAAUCUUAAUAUUUCUUAAAUAUAAACUUCAGCAAGCUUUUGAAGUGACCAAUUUGUCCUGGCUACAAUGAAAUGAGCCGAUUUCGUAAGUCGAUCAACAAUCACCCAUACAGUAUUUUUCUUACUUGCCGAUAAAGGUAACCCUGUUACAAAAUCCAUUGUGAUACAAUCCCAUUCCGUUUCUUGAAUUAAUUUCGACUCGAUCAUUCUUCUUUCACUCAAUUUCGUCUAGCAAACAAGUUAUCGACACCUACGACCAUAUAAGGCUUCAUACGAAGCCAUUUGAAUACUCGAUUGAAAACUAUUGUUGUAUACAAAUUCGGCCAAAGGUAAAUAACACUCCCAACCUGAUUCAAAAUCAAUAACACAAGUACGAAGCAUGUCUUCCAAAAUCUGAAUAAAAUGCUCAGAUUGUCCAUCAGUCUGCUGGUGAAAAGCUGUGCUAAAAUUAAGUCGCGUACCAAGAGAGUCGUGCAACUGUUUCUAAAAUCUCGAAGUGAACCGUGAAUCUCAAUCAGAAAUUAUUAACAUAGGGGACACCGUGAAAUCUUACUAUUUCUUAAAUAUAAACUUCAACAAGCUUUUGAAGUGACCAAUUUUUCCUGGCUACAAUAAAAUGAGAUGAUUUCGUAAGUCGAUCAACAAUCACCCAUACAGUAUUUUUCUUACUUGCCAAUAAAGGUAACCCUAUUACAAAAUCCAUUGUGAUACAAUCCCAUUCCGUUUCUUGAAUUAAUUUCGGCCCAAUCAUUCUUCUUUCACUCAAUUUCAUCCAACAAACAAGUUAUCGACACCUACGACCAUAUAAAGCUCCAUACGGAGCCAUUUGAAUACUCGAUUGAAAAUUAUUAUUGUAUACAAAUUUGGCCAAAGGUAAGUAACGCUCCCAACCUGAUUCAAAAUCAAUAACACAAGUACGAAGCAUGUCUUCCAAAAUCUGAAUAACAUGCUCAGAUUGUCCAUCAGUCUGCUGGUGAAAAGCUGUGCUAAAAUUAAGUCGCGUACCAAGAGAGUCGUGCAACUGUUUCUAAAAUCUCGAAGUGAACCGCGAAUCUCAAUCAGAAAUUAUUGACAUAGGGGACACCGUGUAAUCUUACUAUUUCUUAAAUAUAAACUUCAGCAAGCUUUUGAAGUGACCAAUUUGUCCUGGCUACAAUGAAAUGAGCCGAUUUCUUAAUUCGAUCAACAAUCACCCAUACAACAUUUUUCUUACUUGCCCAUAAAGGUAACCCUGUUACAAAAUCCAUUGUGAUACAAUUCCAUUCCAUUUCUUGAAUUAAUUUCAGCCCGAUCAUUCUUCUUUCACUCAAUUCCAUCCAACAAACAACUUAUCAACACCUAUGACCAUAUAAGGCUUCAUACGGAGCCAUUUGGAUACUCGAUUGAAAACUAUUGUUGUAUACAAAUUUGGCCAAAGGUAAGUAACGCUCCCAACCUGAUUCAAAAUCAAUAACAUAAGUACGAAGCAUGUCUUCCAAACUCUGAAUAACAUGCUAAGAUUGUCCGUCAAUAUGCUGGUGAAAAGCUGUGCUAAAAUUAAGUCGUGUACCAAGAGAUUCGUGCAACUAUUUCCAAAAUCUCGAAGUGACCCGCGGAUCUCAGUCAAAAAUUAUUAACAUAGGGACACCGUGCAAUCUUACUAUUUCUUAAAUAUAAACUUCAGCAAGCUUUUGAAGUGACCAAUUUGUCCUGGCUACAAUAAAAUGAGCCGAUUUCAUAAGUCGAUCAAUAAUCACCCAUACAGCAUUUUUCUUACUUGCCGAUAAAGGUAAUCCUGUUACAAAAUCCAUUAUGAUACAAUCUCAUUCCGUUUCUUGAAUUAAUUUCAGCUCGAUCAUUCUUCUUUCACUCAAUUCCAACUAACAAAUAAGUUAUCGACACCUACGACCAUAUAAGGCUUCAUACGGAGCCAUUUGGAUACUCUAUUGAAAACUAUUGUUGUAUACAAAUUCGGCCAAAGGUAAGUAACGCUCCCAACCUGCUUCGAAAUCUAUAACACAAGUACGAAGCAUGUCUUCCAAAAUCUGAAUAACAUGCUCAGAUUGUCCGUCAGUCUGCUGGUGAAAAGCUGUGCUAAAAUUAAGUCGCGUACCAAGAGAUUUGUGUAACAGUUUCCAAAAUCUCGAAGUGAACCACGGAUCUCGAUCAGAAAUUAUUAACAUAGGAACACCAUACAAUCUUACUAUUUCUUAAAUAUAAACUUCAGCAAGCUUUUGAAGUGACCAAUUUGUCCCGGCUACAAUGAAGUAGCUGAUUUCAUAAGUCGAUCAACAAUCACCUAUACAGCAUUUUUCUUACUUGCCGAUAAAGGUAACCCUGUUACAAAAUCCAUUGUGAUACAAUCCCAUUCCCUUUCUUGAAUUAAUUCGGCUCGGUCAUUCUUAUUUCACUCAAUUCCAUCCAACAAACAAGUUAUCGACACCUACGACCAUAUAAGGCUUCAUACGGAGCCAUUUGAAUACUCGAUUGAAAACUAUUGUUGUAAACAAAUUCGGCCAAAGGUAAGUAACGCUCCCAACCUGACUCAAAAUCAAUAACAUAAGUACGAAGCAUGUCUUUCAAAAUCUAAAUAACAUACUUAGAUUACCCGUUAGUCUGCUGGUGAAAAGUUGUGCUAAAAUUAAGUCGUAUACCAAGAGAUUCGUGCAAUUGUUUCCAAAAUCUCGAAGUGAACCGCGGAUCUCGAUCAGAUAUUAUUGACAUAGGGACACCGUGCAAUCUUACUAUUUCUUAAAAAUAAACUUCAGCAAGCUUUUGAAGUGAACAAUUUGUCCUAGCUACAAUGAAAUGAGCCGAUUUCGUAAGUCGAUCAACAAUCACUCAUACAACAUUUUUCUUACUUACCGAUAAAGGUAACCCUGUUACAAAAUCCAUUGUGAUACAAUCUCAUUCCCAUUCAGAAAUAGUAAUAGGCUAAAGUAAUUCGGUGGGAACCCGAUGUUUUGUCUUAACUCGUUGACAAGUUAAACAUUUAGCCACAUUCGACCACAUCUCUUUUCAUUCCUGGCCACCGAUAAGAUUCUCGCAAAUCGUGAUACAUUUUCGUUCCUCCAAGAAGCAAAGCAAAAGGACUAUCAUAAGCUUCGCGAAGUAUCAACUCUUUUAAUUCAGAAACAUCAAAAACGCAAAUUCGGUUAUGAAAUCUCAAGCAGCCACAAUCAUCAAUGCUGAAUUUUUCUAAUAUACCAUUCUGAACCAUUGAACUUUUUUUCGCCAAUUUGUAAUCUUCUAACUGCGCCGACUUGAUCUGAUCAAACAUCACUGGUUUGAUUUUUAGUUCAGCCAGUAAGCUUCCAUUGUCAUUGAUACUGAGCUGAGUAACCAUUGCUCGUAAUUCAAUUGCUACUUUCCUAAUCAACACAUCGGCUACAACACUAGCUUUACCAGGGUGGUAAUCAAUAACACAAUCAAAAUCUUUCAAAAGCUUUACCCAACGAUGCUGCCUCAAAUUGAACUCCUUUGGAGAUAGAAUGUAUUUGGGACUCUUAUGAUUGAUAUAAAUAUAACAUUUUUCGUCGUACAGAUAGUGUCUCCAAAACUUUAGAGCAAAAACCACAACAGCUAACUUUAAAUCAUGUGUCAGAUAAUUGUGUUCAUGCAUUUUUAUCUGACGAGAUGCAUAAGUAAUCACUUUCCCAUUUUGCAUCAAAACACAACCAAGACUGCUCAAGGAAGCGUCACUAUAAACGAUGAAAUCCUUUCCCAAUUCUGGCAACGUCAAAACCUGCACUUCAGUCAACACCUACUUCAAUUUCUCAAAACUUUCUUGACACUGAUAGUCUCAAACGAACUAAACAUUCUUAUGCAACAACUUUGUCAUCGGCAAAGCUAUCUUCAAAAAUCCAUUUACAAAUCUUCGGUAAUAACCAGCUAAUUCAAGAAGACUACAAACUCUGACACAAUCCUCAGUGCUUUCCACUGAACAAUUGCCUCUAUCUUUUUCGAAUAAACUUUAAUUACAUCUGCUGAUAUAACCUGACCCAAAAAUAUAACCUCUGAUAACCAAAAUUCAUAGUUACUAAGCUUUCUGUUUAACUGUUUCUCUCGUAACACUUGCAAAACAAUUCUGAGGUGUUGCUCAUACUCGGAUUCGAAUUUCGAAUAGACCAAAAUAUCAUCAAUAAAAACUACCACAAAAUGAUCCAAAUAUGGUUAGAGAAUACGGUUCAUGAGAUCCAUAAAUGCUGCCGGAGCAUUCGUCAAUCCAAAAGGCAUUACUAAAAAUUCAUAAUGACCAUAUCGUGUACGAAAUAUCGUCUUCGGUACAUCACUUUCUUUCACUUUCAAUUGAUAGUAACCCGAUCUCAAAUCGAUCUUUGAAAAGACAGAAGCUCCUUUUAGUUGAUCAAAUAAGUCAUCAAUACGGGGUAGAGGAUAUCGAUUCUUAAUCGUCAACUUAUUCAAUUGUCGAUAGUCAAGAUAAAACUGCAUCGAACCAUCUUUCUUUUUAACAAAAAGUACUGGAACUCCCCAAGGCGAUAUACUAGGGCGUAUAAAACCACGAUCCAAUAAGUCUUACAGUUGUACUUUUAAUUCUUUUAACUCCAUAGGUGACAUACAAUAUGGGGCAUUGACACCGGAGCCAUACCAGGAAACACUUCAAUUGCAAACUCAACCUCUCGAUCUAGUGGUAAUCUUGGUAAUUCUUCGGGAAACACAUUAGGGAAUUCGCAAAUAGUUCGAAUUUUACUACACUAGCUAUCAACAGAAUUCGAGUUGAUAACAAGGCUAGAAAAGCUUCACAACCUUGAUUAAGAAAUUUAUCAGCUCGAAUUGUAUAAAUGAUACAAGUUGAACCACUCGUUCGAAUACCAUUCACCUCAAUCAUAUCAUCACUUUCACUCUGAAUAACGAACUUAUUUUUACAACAAUCGAGAAUUACCCCAUGCUCAGCAAGUCAAUCAUACCCAAAAUCAUAUCAAAAUCGCCAAACGACAUUAUCAACAAAUCAACAGGGAAGGUUAUAUUCUGUAUCACUAACGGACAUCUUUUACAUACUUGAUCCGCUAACACAGAUUGUCCCAACAGACUAGAAACCACUAUUGAUACUCUAGACAACUCAGAUUUUAAACUUCCCGAAUCAACCAAUUUAGUAUUAACAUAUGAAUGUGAAGAUCUCGGAUCUAUCAAAGCAUAAACAGGUUCUAAAUGUAAUAAAAAUGUACCUGUCACAACAUCAUUAGCAUCACCAUCCUCACGAGUCCACACAACAUAAGCUCGAGUUGGCUUUCUGGACUCCGACUGUUGAGUAACAGUAUAAUUUCCCUUUCUAGCACCACCUCUCGAAAAUGAACCACUUCGACUCAACCCGCAACCCCUAAAAGUAGGCAUAAUGUUUCGUAGAUCCACAGCGAAAACAACCUUGAGUUAACUUCCAACAUUCACCACGGUGCUUUUUCCCACAAUGCUCACAAUUCGGAAUAUCAAUAUCCCUAGAUGGACCUCGCACACUGCCCGUAGACACAAUCGAUUGUCUAUCAUGAUUUCUAUCAGUUCUAUCUGACUUAAAAUUUGAUCUCCAGCUACCACAAAAUUCUUUUGGUCUCUUCAAUUGUAGAUUUGAACUUGUAGCUCCAAGAUGCUUUCCAAUAUACGAGUAUUCUCAGUCUUUUUGUCAAAACUCUGGACUUGCUCUACCAUUCUUGAAUUAAAUCUGCAAACUCAGUAAUUCUGUGUGAUACCAACUGUAGUCGCAACUCAUCACAUAAACUACGCAAAAAUCACUUACAACUAUCAAUUUCAGUUGGCACAAACUCAACAGCAUACCUACUAAAUCGCGAAAACUCUCGUUCAUAAUCAACCAUAGAAAUUACACCUUGUUUCAGCAUCAAAAACUCUUAUUUUCUGUCUUCUAAGUAUACAAUUCACCCACAUAUUUCUUUUAAAAUUCCUUUUGGAAGAAUUCUCAAUUUACCUGAUAUGCGGAUACAUAACGUGUCACUGACUGCCACCAGGUAUAUGCUUCUCAUUGCAGUAGAAAAACAACACCUAUUACACUUUCACGCGGAUUGCAUUCAAGUUGUUGCAAGAUGAGUUUAGUGGAUUCAAUCCAAACUUCAGCUGAGGAAGGAUCAACUCCUUUCAAUCCUAAGAAUUUAGUUGCACUGUAUUUACGCAAUUCUUUAAUCGGAGCUCGACGAACAGUAGGUGCAGUUGUCAUAGCGGAUGUGGUUCCCACCACUCACUGAAGAGCAUCAACGAUAGCUUUGAGUAACUGUGAAUCAUCUAUCUCGUCAAUAUUACUUCGUUCAAUGUUAGGUUGUUGACUACUAACUGGAUUAACACUUGGUGUUAUCAAUUCGGUUCCAUUUAACUCAUUGGAGACAUCAUCUCUGAAAUGCAUCUCUUGAUCAACAUCAUCAUUAUAUUCAUCUGACAUUUUCAACUAUAAAACAAAAACAAAUAUAUCAGCAUCCAAAUCCCGACUCAAUUCGACUCAAUUAUGGCAAAUUCCUCUAGACUCAAUUCCGAGCUCGAUUUAGCCUGAGAAUCAGCUAAACCUGUAAAGCUCUAAUACCACUAAAUGUAACACCCUUAACCCAUAUCCCUCAUCAAAAUAGGGUUUCAAAGCAUUACCGAAGUUUAUCGAUCAAACAGGCAGAAUUCUAAAACAUUUUAUAUCAUCAAAAUAAGUCAUCAAAGCAUCAUUUUAAUCUAAAUUAUAAACAUACCAAAUCCAAGUCAAUUUGCCUAGUUCAUGAGCACUUAAACAUAGAAUUAAAUUCACAUGAACCUAUCUAGAUUUAGUUCAAUUUACCAUGCCAUAAGAUGGCUUCAAAAACAAACACAUAUUUAUAUGUAUAAAACCAACCAAUAUUAAACUUAUAAUCUCAUUUACAUUCAACCCACAAAAUAACUUUUAAUUAGACACCCUAGAUACUUGUCGACACAAAAGAUAAACAUCACCACAUUUGAGUUCGGAUGCGUUGUUGGAUGUUGAAUCAGCGAUCAAAAUUGAAGUACCUAAUCUGCGCACAAAAAAUAAAACCGUAUUCUGAGUAAAAAUCAGUGGUAUUUCUAUAAUUCGAAUAUUUAAAAACAAUAUAAUAUAAUAUACAUAUUUUAAUUAUAAGCACAUUUGAAUAUUUAAGACCACAUUUAUUCAUACAAUGGCAUUAGCCAUUCAAUAGUCAAUUCACAAAUACAUCAUUUCAUACCAUUCUCAAAUCUCAUCACUUGCUAUAUAAUAGCUUUUCACAGUUUAAUAUAUAUACAUAUCAUUGAAAAAAUAACAUUAUUGAAUCCAUAACCAAUUCAUGAAUACGUAAUUCAUGUGUCUCAUUUUCAUAUUUCAAUUCACUAUCCCAGUUUCAUCCACAUACAAUAUCAUCCAAUAUCAAUCAUAGUACUAUUUUAUUUAAUUACCCCUAUUAACACGACUCGGACUCAGACUCAGGCGGAUACACGGAUCUAACCAACACACCAUUUUGGCACCCAGUGCCUCAUCGGAUAAAUUCGAAGUAAUAACUGUGUCCAACGCUAUAUAAAUUUGACAUCUAGUGUCUCAUCGGUUAAACCGAAGUAAAUUGGCACCCAGUGCCUCAUCGACUCGAAGUCGAAGAAAUCCCUGAACUCUUCCAAUCCUAUGGCAUGCCAUCUAUAUCCAACUCAACCCGAUGCAGUUAAUAGGGUUUAAUUUCACUUUCCAAAUACAACCAAUAUUCAAUUAUCAUAUUUGCACAUAUAUAUUCAUUUCAAUUCAAAUAAUCAAUAUAUUCAUAAUAUAUAUCAAUUCAAUCCAUUCAAUCAACUUUUUAUUCAAUUCAAUGUCAAAGUGACAAAUACUCACCUCAAUAGUUACCAUAUGCAUUAAAUAAAAAAUACAACAAUUAAUAACUAGUUUCGGAUUAUAGAAAUACAAACCAGGAAUUAUAAGUUAUUCCACGUCAACUUUAUCUUUUCCCUUUUUAGUUGAGGAUUCCGGUAUGACGUUAGCUACGAAAUUAAAACAAUUAAAAUUCAUCAAUACAACACGAUUCAAUUUCAUAUUGAAUAUUUCAAUUUUUAUUCAAUAUUUGCCUAAAUUCUAAUUUAGUCCCUAAAACGAGACUAAUUUUUAUUCUUCACAAUUAAUUCUAUAUUUGCAUACAAUUUCCACUUAAAACUAAAUUUAACUCCCUAUUUUCACUUAAAUUCCUAAAUUUCAAAUUUUUCACAAUUUAGUCUCUAUUACUCAAAAUUUACAAUUCAUUCUAUAAUUUAAUCCUUUUUCAUUUCCAACUUAAAAAUAUAUCAAUUUAAUCUCUAAUACUAAAAUUAUUCAACAUUAACAACACUUAAAAACUCAAUAAUUGCUAAAAUUUCGACAUGGGUCGAGUAGUACUUAACACCAGGAUUCCAAAAACAUAAAUAUUACAAGAAAAGGAGACUAAAUUGACUAACCAAUUGAACUUGAAACUUUGAAACCCUUAAGCUAUGGGUUUUUCUUUCCUUCACUUUUUCUUUUUCUUUCUUUCUGUUUCGUUUUGCUUGUCUUUCUUGUUUUCUUUUAUUACUAUAAUAUAUAUUUACUUAAAUAUUAAGUAAAACAUAUUAUAAUAUAUAUUUUAACUUUAAUUUAUUAAUAAUAUAUAUAAUAAUAAUUUUCCACCUUAUGUCGCCUCAUUAAAGAACAAUGGCAAAAUUGUUUCUUUAGUCCCUUUAAUUAUUCUUUAAUCUAUGAUUCAACUUUCACCCUAUAUGCAAUUUAGUCCUUAUACAUAAUUACUCUUAAUUCAUGGAAAUUCACUUAACCAAAACCUAUUAACUACACGACUAACUUCGUAAAUAUUUUUAGUAAAUAUUUACAAGUCUGAUUUACGAAAAUGGAGUCCUAGAAAUUAGAGGUGCCCAUGGGCCGGGUCGAGUUCAGGCCGGGCCCAUAAAAAAUUUCGGCCCGGGUCCUAGGCCGGGCCCGGCCCCGCCCGAAAUAUGGGCCUGAAAUUUUGCCCAGGCCCGACCCGGGAAAAAAUUAUAAGCCCGGGCCCGGCCCGGCCCGGCCCAUUUUUUUAAUAAAUAUCAAAAAAAUAUUUUAAAAAUUAAAAAAAGUAUUUUAAAAAUAUUUUAAAAAUAAAAAAAUUUUAAAAAGUAUUUUCAAAAUAUUUUAAAAUUAACAAAUAAUAAAAAAAGUAUUUUAAAAAUAUUUUAAAAUUAAAAAAUUUAAAAAAUAAAUAUAUUUAUUAUAUCGGGCUGGGUUGGGCCGGGCCCGGGCAAAAACAGUGGUCCUUGAGGCCCGGCCUGUUUUCUAAACGGACCUCAUUUUUUUGCCCAAGCCCAUAUUUCGGGCCUAUAUUUUUACCCAAAUCCUCCCAUAUUUCGGGCGGGCCGUCGGGCCAGGCCAGGUCGCCCGGCCCAUGAGCACCUCUACUAGAAAUGCACUUUCUAACACCCCUAACUAUCGAGUCAUUACAAGGGUUGAUGAAUUAGACCUACCUUUUAUCACACUAUAAACUCUUCCUUUAAGAUUAUUUGUAAACUUUACCUCAGAUUAGACGUAUAUGAUUUUAAUUUGAAAAGAGUUAUAGUUUUUAAGGUUUUUGGUUGACAAUAAAUUGUAAUGACACAUUCAAUAAUUGAUCUGUUAAUUAUAACAAGAGCUAACUCUGCAAAUAAAUUUUAAGUUUUCAUAUUUGGAUAGACAAUUGCCACGAUGUUUAUUUUAUUACGAAUGGUUAACUGAGUUAGUUGGAGUAAUUCUAUUUUCAUUUUAAAUUUAAAAUGACAUACAUUUGAGUUUUAAGUUUUAAACUUAAUUACAUUGACUUAGGAGGUGUUUGGUUCGCCGAAUGUAACAUUACGGCCCAUAAUAUUACAUUUCGGAAUGAGAUUGUGAUAUGUGGAUUUCAACAUUCUUUCCAUCCCAUAGGUUAGACUAUCGUCUAUUAGCUAGUUUGUUAGUUUUGCUAUUAAGUUGGUUGGUCAGUUAGCUUGCAAUUAUUUCCAAUUAUUAGUAGCUGUUCAGUUGCUGACAAUAGUUGGUUAUGCAACUUAGAUUCUAUAAAUUGUAAGCUCUGAUAGUCACAUAAUUAUGAUAGUUAGUAAAGUACUCAUGAAUUCUAUCUCUCAAAUAUUUCUUUUUUGUUGUUUCCUCAAUAGCCAAACAGGCUACUUUAGCUUUAUGUUAACAUGGUAUCUAUAACACGCCAAACCUAACCUUAUGAUAGGAUCCAAGUAUGGUGUGUCACUACUUGAAAUCAAACUAACUUCAAAACAUUUUUGGCAGAAGUUUUUAAAAUCUUAUAAAGUUAUAAAUAUAAACCAUUUGAUAGUUGUUUCUUUACUCAGUUUAAAUGGACUCAUUAAUAGUUUAAUAACAUUCAAGCCAUUUUGGCGUAUAAGUGCAAAUAUAAUAAUUUCAUUAAACAAAAUGUAUUAAUUUAAAACCACGUAUUGAUACUUAAUAAAAGUAUUAUAAAAUAGAGUCUUAUCAAAACAGAAGUUCUUUAUACAAAUCAUUUCCAAAAUACUCUUAUGUGCCACCCCCAUGAGUCAUGCAUGAUACAAAAACAAAGCAGUUGGCUCACAAUAAAAGCAGUACUCAGGCAUAGUCCUUCUAACAAAGCCUUCCUUCAGUCAGCAAACCUGAGAAGGAAAAAGGGUAACAGAGUAAGUUCAAAUUAACUUAGUGAGUUCCAAAGAGAAAUCAUACAUAAAAUUAUUGAUAUUACAUUUUAACCUUUCUGAAGAAUUCACACACAUACUCAUAGUACGCUCAAUGGCAUUUAUAGGACACAGACAGACUCGGUAAGCCAACUUGCUUAUCACUCGGGCGUAUACUGUACGCGAACUUAACUUAGACAAAUCCAUCUUCAUACCAACAACGUACCCAGAAUUCAAAACCAGAAGCAUAUCAUUCAGUUAUACUCACAUACAUUCUCCUCCUUAACUCCUCAUAUCAAUUUUAUUCAGAAUAGCAUGUUUUAUCGUGAUCUGCCAAUCCAGUUUGCAAUAUAGUUGUCCUACUGGAGGCUACACAAGCAUAUCUCAUCAUCUCUAUCCCCGCAUAUCAUAUCAUAUAAUAUCAUACAUAUCAGAAGCAAAUGGUACUGGCUUAAGCAUAAAGAAUGACAUUUACUUUAUGUCACAAACAAAUUGCACUCAAACUGAAGAUUUUGGAUAACCAUUACCCUGAUCGCCUCCGGACGUACUAAUGUCUAGAGUGUAAAUACUGCAACUAAGUGUAUGGAAUUGAGGUAAUGUCCGCAAGUAUACGGGUCAAGUUGUAAUGUAUUUUUUCAAUAAAAUAGGUGAGUACUCUGAGGAUUGUACCCAAUGGAGGUGAGUACUAAUUUAAUAUUAACCUAAACGAAAAUAGAUCUAAUUAGUGCUUUAAAUAAAUUAUAUUACGAUUAACAUAAAAUAAAGAAUUUAUCUAUAAAUUUAAGGAAAAAAAUAAAAUACAGAAAAUAGUGACAAAAGAAAACCUAAUCUUUAAACUCAAUCAAUUUUAAGCAUGAGAGAUUAGCUUGCUUCGAUGGUUAUUACUAAUUCAUAUUCCGAGUUUUUACUCAACCAAAUAGUCGUUAUCCUAAUAAGAUCUCUCGAUCUUCCACUAAAUUAACGAGUUGACAAGAACUUCUUAUCUUUUGACCUUACAAUCCAAACCGGUUCAAAGGUAAGGGGUUCACGGAUAAGCCAUACUAAUUUUGGGUUAAUUCCCACCUAAAUAACUUCCUAGGGCCGUCAAUCCCGAGGUUUAAGUUCUUCUUUUCCCAAACAACUAAUCUAUUGAGAAAACCCUACAAAGUAAUUAAUUAAUCACACUUCCACUCACUAAUCCCCCAUAGGAGGAUUAGUUCCUCGUGGAAUCCAUAAACACAAUAAACUUGACAAAUAGAAUAAACAUAAAGAAUAAUUCAAGAAUAAGGUUUAAGAGAAUCCUAAUUAUAAUGAUUUAUGAAAGUGCAGAAUCCACCAAGAGUUGGUCGAAUCCACAAAUCAGAUUCUCCAUUGAACACAAGCAAAACAAAUGAAAAUAAAUCUAAAGCUUAAAGAAAUUGAAAACUGAAAAAUAAAUUACAAUGAAAAUUCUAAACUAUCAAAGUUGUUCUCCAAAAAGUGUUAAAUAGCCUAUUUAUAAAGUUAAGAUUGGUCGUCGUCCUUAGCCCUAGGUUUAUCAAUGUGGAAAGAUUAUCCACAAAGAAAUAUGAGAUUGUUGCUAAGUGGGCUGGUUACUCUCAUUUUCCAUCAUUGAUCACACUACUAUGCUUGAAAUCUCACAUACUUCCGAAGGUAGAUUUUAAGCAAGAAACCACCAAGGCCAUAUCACAGAUAAUGAUGUUGCUAGAAUAGUAGGUGACAUUUCUAGGCAAAAGCAACUCAUAGAUGAAAAAUCUGAUAUAGAACCACCCGAUCAUUCAGUUGAGUCAGAGCCUGAUUUCAUGACACCCACCAGACCUAUUAUUCCCGAAUGGACCAAGUCUAUACCUACCUUUCAAUCAUCCAAAGUUGCUACACAAUCAAACCAAACUAAAAUCAUGAGCAUGCUACAACACAUGAAUCAACAGUAGCAAGCUUAUUAGAGAUAUGCAAAAAUAUAAGACAAUUUGAUAAAGGGUGCAUUUAGAAAACUCAAACAUAACCCAUUUGAUUUUGUGCCUAAAUUUCCAAAUUUUGUCUUCAAUCCAUGGACGCCAACUUCAAAAGCCAAGUGAGACGAAUUCGUCACUCUAGAGAGAUGAGCUAAACGCACAAAGGGUCAUGGGAAAGUGGAAACAAUUUCAGAUAGCGAGGAUUCUAUCAAAUAAAUAAGAAGGGUGUUCUUUUUCUUUUCUUUUUAAGAUAUGUUAGAUUUAAUUAUUUCUUUUUGUUUUUGUUUUCUGCAUAAUAAAAAUUGAAGUUGCAAUUAUGAAUAAAUUGGAAAAAUUUGUAAAUAAUUUUUUUAAGUUCACAAAAAAUAAUAAGUGUGGUAAUGGUUAUGUGCAUGUCUAGGAUUGGAUUUGUCAAGUAAAGGGUUGGCAUUUAAGUAAUCAAUUUGACUCACUUUCCUUUCUUGGGAUCCUACCUAGUGCAUAGUUUCUAUUCACCUGUUUAGUUUUGUCCCUUCUAGUUUACGUUUUAAACAAUGAGGACAUUGUUUCUCUUUAAGUGGUGGGGGGCCGAAAAUAAAAUUUUUUAGGGGAUUAGUGACGAAAAUUGAAUUCUUUCCAUUAAGUUAUGUUUAAGUACAAUAUUGCUCAGAAAUUUAAUUUUUGCUUAACUAUGUUAAUUUUAGUAUGUAUAAAAUUAUUUUAUUUCAAUUAUUUUUAUGUUAAGCUUAAUUAUGUCAAAAAUACCAAAUUUAGUAAUUGUGUACAAGACAAUCCAUAAAGUUUUAGUCCUUAGAAAAAUUAGGUAUGCAUGAAAGUUUAAGCUUUUAGAUUUGAUUUAGUAACUUUCUUAAGGCGAAAUCCUAGGUGGCAUGAUAAUUUAAAAGUAAUUUAGGCACAUUUUUGUUCAGACCGUUUGAGCCUUUCAAGCCAACCUUAAUAAUAAUUAUCCUUUGAAACCUUACUUUGAGCUAUAUGGCCUGAUUUUUCUUUUGAACCUUACAUGAAUUGAGUCAUUCCCUUCUCUAAUAAUUAUCCUUAUUUGUUUCAAACUUUAGACUCAAUACAACUAGAAUGUAUCUUUUGUGAUUAAGUUUGGGGGAGUAGAGAAGAAUACCGGAAUGCUCAAAAUGUUGAAAUUACUUGCUCGAAUAAAGCAAUAUUGCUUGAAAAAAUACUCAAAAUUGAAAAUUGAAAAAGAAGUUGGUAUUUUGUGGGAUAAUUGCAAAAUUGAAUGUCCGAGGUAAGCUAAGUCUAAGGUUUUUAGCCUAAAAUUAUCUAUCUCUUUUCCAUACCUUAACCCUAGCCCCAUUACAACCUUAUGAAAGACCUAUUGGUUUAGAUUAUUAUGCCGAUUACAUUAGUGGAGAGGAAUUACUGAGCUCAAUAUAUGAAGGCAAAAAUUAAACUUAGGGAUUGUUGCUUAGUUUAUUCGAAGGAAAUAAAAUUUGAUUGGGGAGUAUUUAGCACACAUUUGCUAAGGGAAGUUAUUUAGUACAUAGUUUUGUUAGCAUAUUAAUAUUUAAAAUAAUUUAUUAUGUAUAUUGAAGCUACAUGUUUUCAAAUUUUCUAUUUCUAGUAUAAUUUUGUUGGACACAUGACUAUGGGAAAAUGAAUUAAGUUUGGAGGUGUGAUAACUCUAAAUUAUAUUGACUUUUUCAGCACCAUUUUACUAGUAAUUCAUGCAACUUUUGAGUAUUUAAAUAAAAAAUUUUGUAAUAAAAUUACAAAAUUGCUUAGAUGGAGUAAAUUAAAGUCAAAUUCCAUUUUUAAUUAUUUACAUGCUAAUUUGACAUAUUUUUACCUUUUUGUCGCAAUUUUGUGCAAUAGGAGAAAAAUAGGCCUCAAAGCUUACCUGUUCAAUACUCGAUGCUGUAGCAGCCUUCAAUAGCAAAAGCCAUGCAAAUGAGGGUUGAUAAUUAAUCAACUAUGGAUGUCCAAAAUUAAUUAGAAUUAUGGUUAAUGGACAGACUUGAUCUAGCUUGGAAAUUGGAUCAGUGAAGUAGUCAAGCCUGCUGCUUAAUUUUGAAGCUAAACCAUCCAAAUUAACGAAGGGAGAGCCAAAAUUCGGUUAACUAGCAGCUCAACCAUCCAUGGAAUGAUUAAAUUAAGGGUCUUUAGGCUUUUUAAAAAUUUAAAAAUAGCCCCAACAAGUUUGUCAAGUGAUCGUUUAACUCCUUCCUUGAAACAUACCUUGUUUUUGCUAUUUUUAGCAAAGUCAUCCUACUCACUCCUCUUCUCAAGGUGGUCGGCCAUAGGAAUGGAGAUUGGUUGUUAUUUUUAGCAAAUGCAAGCUGCCCCUUUCAUGUAUAAAUACCCACCAUCACCGCCUCAUUUCAUCAUCCCUCAUUCAUCCAUCUUUCUCUCUUUUCUCUAUUUUCUUUUCUUUCCCAUUUUUCCAUUUUUCAAGUGAGUUGUGCAAGGAUUUGAUAGCAGCCCUUUCAGCCAUUUUUGGCUUAAUUGUUAUGGCAAGGAGUGAAGCACAAAGGAGGAGCAAGGAAGUUAUGCCACAAAGAACCACAUGCAACGACUAUGCAUUUCUUUCCCUUUACUCUUUUAAUUUCUUGUCGUUCAAUUUAAGAAAAAUGUUUGCAACUAAAGUUUAUGUUUUUAAUAUAAUUAUGGUUGCUUAAUUCCUUCGGUGUUAGAAUAAUUUAAUUUCCAUAACUUAGAUUAUUUAUGUUGUUAGUGAUGUUAUAUGCCUCGACUGUUUAUGCAUUUAGAUAAAAUUAUAACUAUGUUCAUGCAUUAUAAAUGUGGAGAAUGCAACUGAAUUAAUUAUUAAAUCCUAAUCGUAUUGUAAUUAAUUGACACAAUGUUUGAAUGGUGCAUGUUUAAUCUAUAUUUAAGAGAAUUAGGUUAAAGUUUGUAAUAAUUUGAGAGAACCUUAUUACAUUGCAUAAUCUUAGGAUUCAUGUGAUUAAACUGUUUCAGCGUAGAAAUAUUACUGUUACCUCACAUUAAUUUGUUUUUCUGCUUAUUAAAUUUAUUAAGUGGUUGACAUGGACAUAUGUUAUACUUAAUAAUUUAAUAAGUUGAAUUCUUAGGCGAUUCUUGAAAAUGUAACCUUGAAGUCGUAACAGAUAUAGACAUAUGCUGACAAGAGAUUAAACUUCGGACUUUGAGAGAAGCCAAAGUACUUGUAACUAAAAUAGGAUUAAUAACUACCAAGUUGCCAUGGGAUUUCCCGUAACAUCAUUAGCAGUAUUUAAAUAUUUCUAAGUUAGGAAGGAGAAUCAUUCUGACACAUGCAUGAUAUUAUGAUUUCUCUAAAAGACUUGUAUACUCAUUCCUCCAUUUAUUUAAUUUAAUUUUAAGUAUAUUUAGGUUAGUUGAAUUUAAUCAAACCCAUCACUUAAAUUUAUUUUCAUCACCAACCAGUUUGCUAAUAAUUAAUUUUGCAAUACUUGAUUCACAUAGUCAAUCUCUAUGGAGACGAUACCCAAUAUACUUACCACUUUAUUACUUGUCAAUUGUUAUACACACUUACACAUCAAUCGAAUCACCUAGAGAUAGUUAUGCAACUUAGAUUAUAUAUAAAUUGUAAGCUUUGAUAGUCCCACAAUUAUGAUAUUCAAUACAAUACUCAUGAGUUCUAUCUCUCAAAUAUUUAUUUUUUGUUGUAUUUGUAAUAGGCCAAUUUCGCCCGGGCCCAAGACCAUACAAAAAAUAAAAACCAAAAAAAAAGUCUAUUUACAACAAACCCAACAGGCCCAAAUUACUAAACUCAAUUCAAGCCCAACAGCCUAAAACCUAACCCUAGCCCACAACGUUUUCAGGAAACAAAAAUCAAACUCUAGCCUCUAGCGCCGCACCCUUCCCAUGCGCGCCAGCCUCCAACCACCACGUCAGCACCCCCGUACCCUCCACGCUCCCUUUGCCACCACAGCAUGCGUCAUUGCUCCGUACCUGCAGACCAAGCAAAAGAGAGCACAACAACAAAGAGAAACGUUGUAUUUUUCAGCUAUAAAAGCCAUGAACAAAUCAAUGUAAAUUUUUGGACGGAGAAUGAAUACAAAAAAAAAACAAUCAAAAACAGAAAAUUUUGGAGAGGUAGUUUCUUUAUUCUUUUUUUUUUUAUUUUGUUUGUUUUAUUUUAUUAUUUUUUUAAAGAAGGAAACAAAAAAUAAAAUAAAAGAGCCGAAAGCUUACCUUUUUUCACAUUUUACGCCGUCGUGGGAGGUCGAGGUUCGACAUUUCCGAUGACAAAUGACAUUUUUAGGUUCGGGGAGUCAAAAAGCCAAAAAAAAGUGGCCUUUUUUAUUUUUCAGCCACCGUGGGCGGCGACACUGUCGCCGGCGACCGGCGGCGGCCACGGUGGUCCGACGGCUAGAGCCAUGGCUGGUCAAGGAGAAGGCUGAGAGAGGUUGAGGGAGUUUUUUUUUUUUUGAAAGAGGAAUAAAAUGAAAAUUUUGAAUUUUUUUAACUUAAAUAGGCCCUACAAAACGGUGCCGUUUUGGGCCAAUGCACAGACGCCAAAACGGCGUCGUUCCGGCCUAACCCGAAAUCUGACCUGCUCUAAGUUAAGGAUCCGCGUGUUUUUUAAACGGAAGGGAUAUUUACUUGUUCAGUCCUUCCGCUUCUUCGGCCCGUUUCAAUUAGAUUUUUUCUGUUCUUUUGUCUUUUGAUUUUGCCCUAUAAUUUUGCUUUUAUUGCAUUUUAACCUCGUAUAAAGUGUUGCGUUUUGGAGGGCGGGAAUAUUUUCCCUUUUGGUCCCUCUAUAUUAUUUGUGCUUUUCAAUGUGACAUUUACCUCAUUUUUUAUUUCAAUUUAUGCCCCUUAAAUUCCAUUCGAGUUUCAAUCUAGUGCUUUUUGAGUUUAUUCAUUUAUUUUAUUAUAAUUUAGGCCCAAAAUUUCAUUUUAAUUCCAAUUUAAUCCUUUAUUUGCUUAAUUUCAAACUCUUAUUCUUUUAUAUGUACACUGUUCUUGCUUUAUUUUAUUUAUUUACUUUUACAUUCAUUCAUUCAUUCAUUUUUAUCCUAGUAUUCACUUAUUAUUCUUCCAUUUUUUAUGUUUUCUUUCAUUAGUUAUUCAUUUUAUUUAUGCCUUCAUUAUUAUUGGUAUUUUGUCAUCUAUUAUUAUUUCAUUAUUAUCUAUUCAUCUAUUUGUUUAGUAUCCUUUUUUAUACCUUUAAAAUUAGAUUUUUUUACUUGUACAUAUAUUAUUAUUAUUUCAUUUAUUUACAUAUUUUAUUCCAAAUUGUAUCUUUAAAUUUCAUUUAUAUUUUAAUUCGGUUCUUUAUUUUCAAUACUUUUAUAAACUAUUUUCUUUUACAUUAUUUAUGUGUUUUUUUUUAAGUUGGUAUUAUCCUUUUAUGUGCAUGCUUUGGUAUUAUUACCAUUGUUAUUAUUUAUUUUAUUUAUCUUAUGAUUGUUCAUAUUAAUGUUAAAAUAGUGUACAUUAUAUGAUUCUCGUAAAUUGUCUUUAUUAUUAUAUUCAUUAUUGUCAUUUAUGAAGACAACAUUUCAUUCAUGUAUUAUUUUAAAUAUUACACAUUUUUUUACUCAAAUUUGUAAAAAAUAUAAAAAUUAGAAAAUAAGCAAUAUUUCGUAUUUUAGAAUUUGAAAAGUCAUUCACUAACUUACGGGGUUUCGAUUUUUUCCGAUAAAUCCAAAUAUACGAACCAUUUUUCAAAAACACAUUUUCAAAAUUCUCUCGGGAAUUAAAAAAGAUUGUUUUCUAACUUACGGAAUAUUAUUUCUUUUCUAAAACUGAGAUAAUCAAAAAUUUCUAAAAAUAAAUAAAAUUUUCAGUGUUUAUUCUCGUUUCGGGAUUUAAGAUUAUAUCCUAACUCACGGGGUAUAAUUCUUUCUCUCGAUUGACGUGAAAUACGCCCAUUUUAAAUUCUUUUAGAUAAUUUUAACAAAAGGAUCGUGUUUUAAGUCUCAUCAAAAUUUUCAACUUUCGACAUUAAGACAUUAAUUAAUCAAUUAGGUGUCAAUUUUGGGCGUGACGAUGGUACUAAUCCUUCCUCGCAUGUAACCGACUCCCGAAUCUGUUUUUCUCGAAUUUCGUAGACCAAAAUCAUUGUUUUAGUAAAAUCGAAACGUUUUAUUAAAACAAUUGAAUUGCAAAGUGAUCCGAUCUCACCUCAAAAAAAAUAUCGGUGGCGACUCCCGUUUUUUUCGUUUUUAUUUUCAAAAUAAAAGUCGACCCCUCUUUUCAAAAAAAACUAGUUUCGACAGUAUUCUCAGUAGCUAAAUAGGCUACUUUGGCUUUUCCACAUUAUGAUGAUUUUAUAAUAUAAUGUGUAAUUUCAUUAUGGUCUCUUUUUUAAGUAAUAUAAGAUUCAGGACAAAAUUUGAAUUUGAGGACAGAAUUACCCUCUCUUUUUAUUGUAUUUAUCAUUAUAAUUAUUUGUAUUAUAUUUAAAAAAAAAGUUGUGCGUUGUUCCCUUUCAUUUUGGUUUUUCACUUUUAAUUCAAGUUCCUUUUCUUUCUCUUGUAGUUUCUCCAAUUUUUUAUCUAAUGCCUGCUCUCAUUUAAAAAUAUUUUCUUGCAUGUGUUUUACUUCAGCUUCCUUCUUCUAAACUUCAAUCACCUUGCUUUUCACAUCUGCAUCUAAGGAUUUAAAAAAACAAAGGCCACGUUUGGUUCGCUGUAUUGGAUUAGAGGUGUAAUAGCAAAUCAACUGUUUGGUUGAAUGUAAUGGAAUAGAGGUGUAAUAGCAUAAUGGAAAAAAUUAAAAUGACUAGAAUACUCUUAGCAUAAAUUUGUUUUGGUAAAUGAUUAUUGUUAUUGUUAUUUAAAUUUUAAUAAGAUUAUUAUUAUCAAUAAUAAAUAAUUUAAUCAUAUUUAAACAUAAUUAUUAUUAAAUAUAUUUUAAUUAAAAUAUAUAAUUUAAUAAAAUUCUUAAUAAUUAGCAGAAAUUUGUUUUGGUAAAUUAUUAUUGUUAUUGUUAUUUAAAUUUUAAUAAGAUUAUUAAUAUCAAUAAUAAAUAAUUUAAUCAUAUUUAAACAUAAUUAUUAUUAAAUAUAUUAUAAUUAAAAUAUAUAAUUUAAUAAAAAUUCUUAAUAAUUAAUAUUCUUAUAUGAAUUUACUCAAAUCAUAAUAUAUGAUACUGUAAAAUAUAAAUUAACAUAAUUAUUAUUAAAUAUAUUAUAAUUAAAAUAUAUAAUUUAAUAAAAUUCUUAAUAAUUAAUAUUCUUAUAUGAAUUUACUCAAAUCAUAAUAUAUGAUACUAUAAAAGAAAAUUUGAAAUAAUUAAUAUUAAAUAUAUUUUAAUUAAAAUAUAUGAUUUAAUAAAAUUUAAAAUAAUUAUAACUAAUAAAUUAUAUUUUAUGAAUUUGUAUAAUUUAAAAUAGUAAUUAUUACAUAUAAUUUAAUAUUAAUAAAUAGUUUCAUAAAAUUCUUCAUAAUAAAUUUUCUUAUAUGAAUUUAUACAAUUUAAAAUAAUUAAUAUUAAAUAUAAUUUAAUAGUGAUAUAUAAUUUCAUAAAAUUCUUAAUAAUAAAAUGUUCUUAUAUGAAUUUACUAAAAUCAAUAUAUAACUUGAGAAUUAUAUUCUGCAUAAACAUAAUUAACUUAUAUUAAGAAAAGGUUAGAUGAAAAUGAAAUUGUACAUCAUAAUCCAUAUGUCAUAGUUUUACAAUAUCAAAAAGUUUGAACAUUGAUAUUUAAUGGUGAGAAAAAAAUCUUCUGACCCAUUCCAAUCGGGCAACAGAAGGUAAACUGAAGAAAACGAUCAUUUGAGUUGGAUGAUCGGGAAUUUUACUCAAAGCAUCAUACCGCUGAUCGUCGGUUAAACCUUCAAUUGACCAUAAGGCUAAAUACAAAUUUGAAGCUUUCUAUUCCAUCUUUUAAUAUUCUUCUGACUUCUGCUGAACUACCACCUCGGAGGCAAUACUCCUACUGAUUUGAUCGCCAACAACCUUGAUGUUUUCGGCCAAUAAAGUGGCAGCCUCAUCAAAUGAAGAAGACAUAUCACGAGCAUCAGAUUUCUUCUUCCUCUUGUUUGAAGAUGAGGAACCCCCUUGGUCUCUAUCUCGUUGCGGCUCCGCAGCAGAAACAUCCAUAUCAUUCAAAGGGAUGUCAACUUCGCAGUCAUAGAAUGAGUUUCUUUCUUCAUCCAUAGCUGUAGUACGAACAUCCUCAGCAUUUAUUUUUUCAAGAACAUCAGCAGCUGUUUGAGCAUCUUUCCCAGUUGCUCGAUCUCUUGCGUAUAUGGUAGUAAGCUGGUCGUAGUAAGGGAAAGUACAAUAUCUGAAUUGAGCGGCUUCUCUGUGACUCUAAAAAAAUGAGGAAAUCAUAUUAGUCAUAAGUUUGAUAAAAAUAAGAUAAUAAAGACUUGAAAUAAUCUUACCUUUAAAUAGGACUCCCAAACCGCAUCUUCAGCAACAACGAGCUGCCUAUGCUCGUCCCAACCAAAAUCGCUAUUGUUUUGGCCAUUAAGCAUGUCAUAGACGAUUGACCACUCCCUUUUUAAUAACCUAAUCCUUGAUUCAAUAUUAGGUUUCGCCUUCAACAUUGCAUUUGGUAAAACCGUUUGUAGCAUUCUUUCCAACUCGUUCAGAUAACCGACUUUGAAUCCGGUAUCAGCAUUAAAUGUUCUAACAUUGUGCAGGUCCACCAUGCAGGAAACUAAUGCUGCAUCUUCUUCUGGAACCCAUUUUCUUUUGCUUCCUCGAGAAGCUUGAGAAGAAACAUUUGAUUCUGGAACACCUGACAUAAUGAUCUUAAGAACAAAAAAAAACACAUUAUAUUAAUUACUAUUUUAAUAUCAUGAUUCAAAAGGUCAACACUUUAUAAAAUCUAAGGAAUUAAGUUUAAUAUCAUGAAUCAAAAGCUCGUUCCACAAAAAAUUUAAAAUUAUAACACAUGCUGAAUUAGAAGAAAUUAUAUUAUAAUUCAACAAGUUUAGUACAAUACAAAAAUCAAUACAAAAGUUUCACAAAAGUUUCACAAACUAAUUUCUAGAUGCUUGCCAUUCAUCGAACAUUUGGUUGGCUAGUUCCAUCCUCCAAGUAGCCCAAGCAUCCGAUGGAUGAAUAUUUGUAAUAUUCGGUUCAUCGUCAUCCACCACAUUAUUUGUAGGUAAUCCUUCUCCCACCUCCGCUUCAAUGGGAUCAAUACUCAUAUGGGUUCGAAUAAAAUUAUGGAGCAAACAUGCAAUAAUAAUUCUGUUGUGCACCCUUACAGGAUAAAACGAUGGACUCCUAAGUAUUCCUCAUCUAAGUUUUAAUAAGCCAAAGUAUCUUUCAAUAACAUUACGUGCUGAGGCAUGUUUCAUAUUAAAAAACUCUUGCGGAGAACUUGGCUGAUAACCCUGACGCCACUCGUUCAAAUGAUAUCGCUGUCCUCUAAAUGGUGCAAGAAAUCCCUCACAAUUUGUGUAUCCAGCAUCAACUAGAUAAUAACAACCUAUAAAAUAAUUUUUUUUUUAAAAAUGAUUAAUUCAGCACACAAAGUUUGAUCUUAAUGAAUAAUUCAAAGUCCUCUAACUAUACACUUUACCAUGAGGAACUUUUAAUCCAUGUCUUCUACUAAUAGCAUCUCGAAGAACCCGUCCAUCGGCAACUGAACCUUCCCAACCAGGAAGAACAUAAACAAAUUGCAUCUCAGGUGUACAAACACCUAGCAUAUUUGUUGCUAUGUCACCUUUUCGCGUUCGAUAUCUAGGUUUAUCAACUGUUGGAACCCUAAUCUUGAUGUGGGUUCCAUCAAGAGCACCUAAGCAAUUCUAUAUCACAUGAUAUAAAACCUUGAGUUAGAAUACUAAUUUAAAUCUAAAUCAACUAAAUGUUGUUGAAGCUAUAUAUAAAACUCAGUCCAAUACCUUAAACCAUUUCCACCUUGUGUCAGAAGAAUCGGCUGUAAUUGGCUCCGGCCUUUUAAAUAACACAUCUUCUAAGCGUAUGACAGUAUUUAAAACACUAUGAAAUGCUCUGCUAACAGUUUCCCUGGACCUUCUAAAGUGAUGCUUGAUAACUCGAUUUUUCAGGUGAUGGGAGAUGAUAUGUAAAAACAUUGCUACUUGCUCGUCAACAAGCAUGAACCUUGUCGACUUCAAUCCCCCUAUCGAUUCUAACAUCUCACAUAGUUUAAAAAAGGCAGUUCUAUUCAUCCUAACUUGUUCAAUACAGGUCUCGUCACUAGCAUAUACAAGCAUUUUCACAUAAUCCCGUUUUGCAUAAAAAUCUAAGGUAUAGGACCUAAUCCUUGGUCUAUGUAGGCUAUGGCUGGUGGCCAUUCUAAAUAAGAACCAAAUCGCGAUUCUACAGAUUUCCAACCAUAUUGUCACAGCAAUACCAAUUCUUUUACGCCUCACACUUUGUGCAAUUAAAGGCAAACGAGCCAUUACUGCAACAUUUAGAACACACAUAGUUUAAACUCACGAAUUUAGAACACACGAAGCAAAAAAAUAUCUAUUAAAUGAUAUCGUUGCAACUUUAAUUUCAUUUCUUUAUCAAUCACCCAAAUAAUAAUGAAAGAGAAUAUAUUUAUUUACAUUUUAAAUAUAUUAAAAUUUAAUAUAAUAUGUAUAAUUGACCUAAAAUUUGAAGGUUGGUAUUUGUUAGAUUAUAACUAAACUCAUUAUAAUUUAAAAUUAUAAAGCAUGUUCAAAGUUUGAACAUUGAUUAGUUUGAACAUUUCAUUUCGUAUAAAUAUAUUGAUUAGUUAAUUAAAGCAUGUUCAAUGUUUGAACAUUGAUAGUUUGGACAUUUAAAUUUAAAUUUAAAUUUAAUUUCGUAUAAUGAAAUUUAAGAUUUAAUAAAGGUGAGUAUCAAAGUUUGAUCAUUGAAUAAUUUUUUUAUUGAUGAUUAGUUUAAUUAAGGUUUUCUAAUUUCAAAAUAAAUAAAAUGAAGAAUGAAGAUUUGGUUUAAUAAUGAAAUUGAAGUUUUAAAACUUUUAUAACAUUUUAAAUGGUAAUUUUAUUUUGUAAAAAUAUAUAUAACUCUUAUCUCAUUUACAUGUACAAAUUAAUAUUAACAGUAUUGUAUUUGCAAUUAUAAUUGGAAAAGAUUGAAAUCUAGUAUUGUAUUUACAUGUACAAAUUAAUAUUAUUUAAGCCCAUUAUUUGUAGGCAUAUUGCUCUUUAAGAUUGAACAUAAUUAAAGGUUGAACAUAAUUAUUAUUAUUUGAAUAAUAUCAAUUAAAGGUUGAACAUAAUUAUAUAUUAGAAACUAAUUUGUAUGUACUCUUUAUAUGUACUCUUUCACUAAUAAAUUAUAUAUCAAAUUUGUAUCACAUUGAUUUUAUGUACGCUUUCACUAAUAAGUUAUAUAUUAGUAAAAAGUUGGUGCAUUGAUACACCAAUAAUUUGAAUACAUACUACUUUCUUUAAAAAAAAUGUUACCUAUUAGUAAAAACAUAUAACCUAUUUUAAAUUCAAAAAGUUUUCAACUUUAGAUUUGAAUACAUACUACUUUCUUUUUUUUAAAAAAAAAUUAAUAUUUUUUUAAUAAAGCAUAAAAGAAAAAUAUCAAAUAAAAGAUAACGGUCAUAAGACAUUGGGGUAUGGUUCAUUGUUUCUGCAAAUGAAUAAGGGAAACAAAAAGUGUGUGUGUGCCAUUUCGAGUCAUCCACGUACAAAUUGGUGAUAAAAAAGAACAAUAAUUAUGCAGCAAUAACCAUAACCAUACAAACAAAAGCUGUAAUGAGCAAUACAAACAUACAAACAAAACCAUAUUCAUUUGGGAAACAACAGAAGCUGCUACAGCAAUACAAACAUAACCAUACAGGGAAAACAUACUAAUAAACCAUGAAUACCAAUGGAAAACUAACCUGUAAUGAGCAAAUCGGGGACGACUGCGAUGUAGAAGUGUUGGAACAAAGAACCUGUAAUGAGAAAAAGGAAAUCGAUGUUACAAAAAUAAUCAGUUUAUAAAAUUGAUCAUCCAAUAACCAAAGCAGCCUCUCUUUUAGUAACCAGUCCUUUAGAUAAUAAAAUAUACCAACUUGGCAGCUUUGAAUAUAUAUGAUUCAAAAUCAAUAUUACAGCAAACAUUAUGAAAACAAGAUAAAAACAAAGGAAAUGGGUGAUUCUGCAAAAUCUAUUCAACUAAACAACAAAUAAACUGUUAAAGAGUAAUCAUUGUCAUCGGAUAAGCAUUGUCAUCGGGUAAUCUUUACAUUUAUUGCUAUUCGACAAAAGAUUUUGGGUAAUCUUUACAUUCCAUUUGUAGUAACCAAAAUUUCAGUUGUUUGCAUUAUUUGUAUCGGUACUGAUUAUAAAGUUUUGACCCACAAUUGACCAUUUUUUAACCGAAUGAACCCAAAACUAACCACCAAACAUGUUCACUUAUCUAAGUUGUAUUAUCGCUUGGAUCCAAUGUUGAUGCGAGUAAAGUAUUUGUUAAUGUGAUUUACAAAAUAAAGUCUCUGAUUAUCCUCGAUAUUGUAAUAUCAAAAGAAUCUCGAAAACAACAUACUGAAUUUUGAUAAACUUUUAAAAUCUCAUCUUCUUUUUUUUCUUUCAAUAUAUAUAUUGCAUUUUCACAUUUACAACGUAAUUUUGUUUAUCUAUCUACAUACAGGUCGCAUUUUAGUAACUCACAAUUGUACAACUUAGAACUGUAAUAUCUCAUUUAUACCAAAACAUCAACCGGAUACAAGAUCAUCACUUGGCUAAGCAAACUCAGAUUAUUAAUAUUCUCAUAAUUAAAAUUUAACUAUAUAUAUACAGUCAAAAAUACUAGCUGAUCUCCAUGAAUACCAAUGGAAAACUAACCUGUAAUGAGCAAAUCGGGGACAACUACGAUGAAGAAGUGUUGGAACAAAGAACCUGAAAUGAGAAAAGGGAAAGCUGAUAAAUUCCCAUCUAAGAAAAUUAUAGAAAUAGUUGAAGUUCAAUAUAGAAAACAUAAAACGAAGAUUAGAUAGUAUAUAUAAAGAUGGUCAAGCUUUAGUUGAUAUAAAGAAGGAUACUAUUCUGAUAUUAAGAGAACAGGAUAAUAAGAACAAGAUAAAGACGAGAUUGCACAUGGAGCUUCUAUAAAGAAGGAGGUCGAGGUGGCUAGGAACAAAAUCAAGGUAAAAACGAUGCGAUUCGUUUGAAUAAAAGUCGCUUUUGCAAGAGCAUUCAUUUUAUUUGUGCUUCUAUUCAAUUAAAGGGAAGGAAAAGACUUGAAAUUGUGCCUUAAGAUGAAGAGAGUGCUGACCUCUGAGAUGUACCACGGCAUUGAAAACGUGUUGAGAAUUGAUCUUAACACAAAUCAAAUCCUUCACAAAUGGGCAGGGUUUAACCAUAAUAAAGCCUCCCGAACAGCCGAGACUUAUGCUAAAUGUGGUGGCAUAGUCAGCUUAAAUGUUUUAACAAGUAAUUACUAAAUUAAAAAAUACAAGUAGAAUUGGUUUACAUCAAACAAACCAACAAUUAGCCAUAUUUAUAUUAAUAAAUAGUACAAAACUAAAUUAACAUUGUGUUGAGUAGAUGCAUUUUAAUCCCCUUACCAAGAAAAAUGAAGGAGGUGAAACAAAUUAAGAAAUGGAACAGAAAGGGUGGGUUCUGGUACAAAACAAGAGUUUCAACUUUUGACCAAAUCGACAACUUGCCUGUGACAGAAAACAUGGUAUAUAAGUCAAGAAACUUUGACCAAAUCGACAACUUGCCUAUGACAGAAGCGAAUGGUGGGUUCUGGUACAAAACAAGAGUUUCAACUUUUGUUCUACCAAUAAUGCUAUUUUAUAAUGGUCAUAUACAAUAUAUUAGAUUUUGAAUAUAUUCCCCAGACAAGGGCUAGUAAUACUGGACAGUCCCACGACACCCUCUCCAACAUGAAAAGAGGGACUAUUUAUAAUGAUCAUUAUUUUUCUUUGUUAAUUAAUAGAAUAAAUUUUAAUUGUUGUUGUGAGAAUACUUGGCAACAAAUACAAACAAAAUCCUUAACUCUAAGGCAGAAUUGUUCUUUAUGAAGAAAAAGAAGCAGAAAGUACAAAUCCUUGUUUAAAGAAGAAAACUAGGAAUUGUGCAACUUUUUUCAAUCAUCUGCAUUAUUUGAUCACACUGUGCAAGCAAAGCAUAUGUUUCAAUCUAAAAAAGCUUUGCAAAGUAAAAAAGAAUCCAUGCAGAUCAGCAAGCAGUGAUCUUAUCGGCUUUACUGCUUUGCUUUACAAGUGUGAACUACAUUCACACCAUCAAUAUGCAUCACUUAGCAUAAAUUUAUUUCCCCUUGCUUCCACCCGAUCCUUGGGAUCGAUUAGUAUAACAAGCAAAACGGUUCUGGAACUAGCACCAAAAAAUGAAACAAACAAAACGAAAAAAUAGAACUAGCAGAAAGAGAAAGAGUUAACUCGAUAUUCAAGCGAGUAUUUAGCACCAAAAAGAAAACCGAAGAAAUUGAACUAGCAGAAACAAGCAAAGGGAAAAUUCUGGGAAAAAACCCAACUCAUUCAAAAAAUGGCUGAAACUCCUUAUUACGAAAAGAAUCAUGUAAAAUGCUUCAAGAAAUGAAAAGUUUAUUCAUACCUCAAAAACCAAACGCCGAGACCAAGGGAAGACACGAUGAGGACAGAAUCAUCAACGAAAGUAGUGGGAAAUGGGAGGAGAAAUUAUGAGGACAGAAGAGGAGAGGAGAGGGUAGGGAGGGAGGGUAAAACAGAGAGUUGGGGAGGGAAGCCGGACGUAAUGUGUAAUACUCGAUUUGGGAAGGGAUUAGAAAAGCAGGGAAUUUGGGGAUUAGGUCGGGAUUGUAUUACGAGCGUAAUACCUAUUACAGCGAACCAAACGCCGAAAUAGGGGCGUAAUGUAAUAGGCGCAUAAUCGGUCAAUAAUGGAUUACCUAAUACACUGAACCAAACACAGUGAAAAUGUCAAAGACUAGAUCCUAUUGAUACAUGAACAUAAAGGAGAGCAUUAGUAGGCCAGUAUGGGCCUAACUCAAUCAACUUCAAUCAAUAGUCCCAACACUGCAAAACAUAGGCCAGUUUGGCUUGCAAAUAAAAGAGCCCAAAUCCCCUUUGUGAAACCUGUAACUUCAGGCAGUUUGGGAUUUGAGAAUCGUUGAUUUCUUCAAGGGUUCGUUGAAGCUUGUAAUCGUGCCUUUAAAAACACAUUUGCUUUUAAUUCAAAUGUUUCCAUUUACGAUCGUUGGAUUUGGUUGGCUGUGUUAUGAAAGUAAUUAAAGAAGGAUUUGCCCAAUGGUUUAAUUUAUUUGUCCUUUCUCGGAAAAUUAUCAAGUUACUUUUUCUUGAUGGAAAAACUUAAUAGCUUUGUAAUAUUUUUAAAAAAAAAAUAUUUUAAAAACACAUUAUUUUUAUUUUAUUUUCAUAUUGAUAUAUGUAUGCGUGCACGAAUACAUACCAUUAAAUCGGAUUGAAAGGCAAUUUUUAUAAAUUAAAAAAAGAAGAAGAAGAAAGUUUUCUCUAUCAAUUUUUAUAAAUUAGCCAAGUUAUGUUAAUAAUUAAUGGCGAAUGUAACGUUAGUGAUAACUGUACCGAAUGCUACUGCUAACCGAAGACUUCCAUUUCAAUGACUUUAAGGAUCCCAUAAGUUUUGAAAAUUUUAAUAUUUUAGGUUUAGAGUUUUAUCGUAUAUAAUUAAUUUAUAAAAAAAAUUAAUUACGGUGAGAAUUGGUAGGAGUUGUAAAAUGUUGAAAUUGGUAAUAGGGGCAUAAAGUUAGUAGCUAAAUAAGGAAUGGAAAAGGAGGAGGAGCAUGAGAUUUUGUAAGUUAGUAAGUGGGUUUCGCUUUGCAUGUGACGUUGCUUUCAUUUCAUGACAAAAGAAAAGAAAAAGUGAAAGAAUAUACACCAGCUUUUGUCUGGGGUUUUUUUCUUCAUGCUUCCUUCUUUUAUUUCUUAAUCUUCUUUUUUUUUUAUCGAAAAGAUAAAUUCAUUCAACAUUGUAAAAUUACAAUUGUCUAGUACGAAAUGAAUAAUAACAGAGUGGUGAGUUUUUUCUUGGCCACCCGCCACUUCUAUGAACCAAGUUAAAACAAAUGCUACCAGUGCUUGUUGUUUGAGUGAUGAUAUCCCCCGCGACCCAAGAUUUACGAACCUUUCCUUUUUAACAUUUGGAUAGCUCGAAAGCAGUCAGAUUCGACAAUGAUAUUUCCCCAACCAUGACGAUUAAUCAAAGAGGAACCAAGCCUUAUCGCUAAAUCUUCGUUACAAACGCAUUUGACAAACGUGUUUGAACGUUGAUUCCAUCAAUGACGUCUCCAUUGCUAUUCCUAGCCACUAUUGCCAGGCCUGCCGAAUUAGAGUGAGACAAGAACGACGCAUCACAGUUGAUCUUGAUAAAGUGAGGGGGAGGGGGAGACCACAGCGUGUCAACAAAGACAGAUGACCUUAUGAGAGGGGGCAUAGGGGCUAAAACUUACAAGUGUCGGAUGCCAAACCUGCACAGGGUCUUCUUUCAUACCUUUAAAAAAAGACGAAUGUUAUGAGAAAUCCACAUGGUCCAACAUAACCUGGCCACAAGACUGAGUCCAGAAAAAGAACCGAAUUCAGGAAUGAUUCAGUUAAUUUCCUCCCACCAUUUAGAAAACGAGACAAAACCCGUUAUGGAUGGCGAAAAGGCUUCCCAAAAAACUUUAGCAAUCGGACAAAAGAAUAAAUAUACUCGAUGGAUUCAAGUUCCGCACCAUAACGAGAAGCCCUCCAUAUGAAAUUCUUGAUACUCUAGACUGGUGUCCUUUGACAAGAUUUUCAUUAGAUAAGAGCGAGUUAUGACAAGCCCUCCAUAUGAAAUUCUUAAUUUAUGGCGGAGUUUUCAGGUUCCAAACCAUAGAUCAAUCAAGGUUAUUAUAACACUCCGUUUUUCAGUGAUGUCAAAAAUGGCGAUUUUGAGGCCCCAUUUUCGAUGAAAGAACUCGUAAAUAUAUUAUUUAAUAUUUAUGAGGUUAGUAUAAAUUUUUUAAUUUUGGUCCCUUAAUUUUGUUAAUCGGGUAGUUAUUUAAGGUGCAAGGACUAAAUUGUAAAAAUAGUAAAAACUAAUCGCUAUAGAUUUUUAAUUAGCUAAAAGGACGUAUUAACCAAUUAAACUAAGGUCUAAAUGGAAAAUAAGCCAUUUUAAAAUUAUAGUAGACGGUUGGUAUGAUAUUUUAGUUAAAAUAAUAUUAAAAUUUGUAAUUAAUAUAAAUUAUAAAGUAAACAAAUAUGAAAUGGUGGAAGGAAAGAGAAAACAUUGUUCAUCUUCAUCUCUUCCACCGAAAUCACCAUUUGAGAAAAGCUCUCAAAGGCUUCAAGCUUUUUGCUCUUAUUCAGGUAUUUCAAUCUAGUCAUUUCUUGUAAUUUCUAUGUUUUUGAGGUCUUAGGAGCUUGAUUUAGUUAACUCGUGUAACAAUUUAUAAAACUGUUAAAGUUUUCAAAAGUUUCCAUGUUGAAUACUUAAUGAGAUUGGUGUUAUUUUGUUAGAUUUUAAGCUUAGAAGUGAAAAAAACUAGUUUGUAAAGUUUAAUUGCUAGUUUUUUAACAUAAGCACUACAAUGUAAAUAUUUCAAAAUUGGUAUGAAAUUUAUGUAAUUAUGGACAUUAGAGAAACUUAUAAGGAUGUAAUUGAUAUAUGCCUCAAAAUCGAGGCUCAAAUUGGAAAGUUAUGGUAAUUUCGAUUUUAGGGACUAAAUUGAAUACAAUACAAAACUUUAGAAAUCAUUCAAAUGUGAAAUUGAACUUUCAUCUGCAUAUAAUAGGAUGUUAUAAGGUAUCUGAAAUUGAUAAAUUGAAAUGACCUAUCGUAUAGAUCGGGAUUUGAAUCAAUCAGAGGAUAAUCGAGAAAAAGGUAAAAUUGCAGCUUAGUCCUCGACGUCUUGUUUGUUGUUUCUUUUUCCAAGUAAAUUCAUAUGAAACUUAUGAUUUUGUUUGUGUUAUAUUUGAAUUAUAUUAUAAUGUCUAUUAGUUUAGGUUAAUUGUAAUUUGAUAAUGUUGGCAUCUAAAGGACGAAAUCAUAAAGUAUGGAAAAUAUGGUUAUUAUGAAUAGAUGCAAUGUAUUUAAUGAAUGUGAAAUUGUUAUAUGAUUGAAUGAUAUGUAUAUGAUGAUUUUACAAUAUUUGAAAUGAUACAGAAGCAAUAACAGUGCCCGUGUGAACUUAAUGAACGAUUAAGAUACAAAUGGCAUGCCAUUAGGGUUCAAAAAAGAAAUAGAGCUUUUGAUAAGGUAUUUAUUUAAUGAUGGCUUGAGAUCCAACAUGUGCUGUGGAUUCUCUGAAGCUUGUGUGAGCAACAUCGAAUAUGUCAGCUUGUGUGAGCAACCCUAGUUUGAAGCUUGUCUGAGCAGCCCAAAUAUGUCAGCUUAUUGAGCAAAUUAGUCUCAUGUAUCCAAAAUCAAUUUACUAUAGUUCUUCGGGAAAAUAAUAGAAAUGAAAACAUACCAAAGGUAUUGUAAUGUUUUAAAUGAAUUUAUGUGAGUGGAAUUACACAUGUUUGAAAUUUGAAUAUGAUUUAAUUUGCAUAUGUUAUAAGGUGGAAUGUGAUAUCUAUGCGGUUGAGAUAUAAGUUCAUGUUAUACAAAUGAAUUAACCUAUUUUAUGUAUUUUUUUUAUUUGCGUAUAAGUGUAUAAGAUGCCAAAGGGUUUAAUUGUCUAAUUUUUUAUAUGUUAAGGUAAGUUAAGUAAAUUUUAUAUGGACUUACCAAGCAUACAUGUUGCUUACAUGUUGCUUUUCAUUUUCCCUGUAGAUUGUUGAUUUGCAAAACUUGUCAAUCAGAUCAACUCAGAGACCACACUAUUCUACCAUAGUCUCAGUAGUCUUUUAUUUAUUUUUGGGAUCGGUUAUGCGGCAUGUACAUAGGUGUUGUUUUGUUAACUAAAAUGAUAGAUUUGGUUUGAAUUUGACUAAUCUUGAUGUUGUGAAAGUUAUGCCAAUUUGAGUAUGUGAAUUGAUAUUAGGUUAUGACGUGUGAAUGAAAAUUAUAAUUGUAUAAUUGAGUAUGAUAUGGUAUUGUAUUGGAUGACAUUGAAUGACUUAUAGGCAUGAUGGUAUAAUUUGGGCUUAAAUAGGUGAUAUUGGUAUGUUUUGUUAUGAAAUGGUGUCAAGUUUUGGCAUAUUGAAGUUUUGGCUUAAAUAGGUGUGAAUGCCAUCUGAUUGCUAGUCAAUGUUAGCAUGAAUAAAGUUUUUUGUAGAGUUUGUGAUGUUAACCACACAAUCAAUCUUCCACCAAAGAGCCAGGCCGCUAGAUAGGCCUAAAGGAUCAACAUAGAAACCUUCAACGAAACCCAUUCUAUUUCGAAUUCUUUCUAAUUUCUCUUGUUUCUGCUUAGUUUCUAUAAGAAAAACAAUAAAUGGAUUGUGUUUCCUAACUAAACGAUUGAGGGCUCUAACCGUAGUUGAUCGCCUGAGACCUUGGCAAUUCCAUGAAAGUAUGUUCAUAGUCGAACAAAUAAACAACCUACAAUAAAUGUUGAGCACCUAGUGUGCCUUGGAGAACUAGAAAACCAAGAAAAGCAAAUCCAAGAAUAGGGAAAACCCAAAGAACCUUCAUAGCCAAACUAGAAAAGUCAAUAGACCGUAACAAGAAAAUCACACUAAAAACAAACAAACUAGACAAAAGUCAAACUUGAAGCUAGAUUCGUUCGCAACUUGAAGCUAGGAAAACUAUUAAAAAGACGAAGAGAGGUCAACAAAAUCUCGUUGACGAGUGCCAACUAAAUAGGAAAACUCUUAAAUCAAUUCCUAGAAAAUCGAUUUUCCUAAAUUAUCAAUCAUGUUCUAUUUUACAUCCCUAAAUUAUCGAUGUUAUAUAAAUCAUAUCCUUAAAUUAUUGAAACCAUUAAUUUAACCAUUAAAUGACAAGUAUUAUGUGACGUAAUGUAAAAUAAAAAUUUUAAAGAAAUAUAAAUGUUGCCACUUAACUUUUAAAAUAGAAAAACAUAAAAUAAAGUAAAAUAAAAAAAAUAAAGAGUGAAAGCUUGUUUUUGUAAAAGCUUUGAAACCUCAAACCAAAAUUUCUACCACAUCCAUUUUUACGAUUUCAUUUUGCUUUAAAAUUUUCAUUUUAAACCAUAUCACAUAAGAUCUAGUAUCUCAUUUAACAGUUAAAUUAAUAAUUUUAGUAAUAGAAGGACCUUACUAAUAUAACAUUGAUAGUUCAAAGAUAUAAUUAGAAUAUUUUAAAAUUUGAAGUCGAAUUUAAAAUGAGAGUUAUAGUUUAAAAAUAUUCACAACAAUUAACUCUAUAAUUCCUAUUAUCUCAUCUUUUGGCAAAUGGCCAAAUACAAGCAUAUAUUCUCCCUCUUCAAAUUGGAGAUAUAUAUAUAUAUAUAUAUAAAAGGCCAAGUAAAAGCAUAUAAUUUGCCUCUUGAACGUGGAAAUAUCCCACUUCAAUACAAAAAUUAAAGCCAAAACUAUGAGGAUGAUGAGAAGCAUAAUUGAGGUUUGAAUAGUGGCUUUUUGUUUCAUUGUUCAUGUUUUUCUUUUUCUUUUUUGUUAUAAAAUUCAUGUUCUUGUUUUAUAAACAAUGGGAGAAUAAUUUACAAGCUAGAUUCUUCCAAAACUUUUUAUUUUUAUUUUUUUGUGAUUUUAAAAACUUUAGAUUGAAAAUGUCAAUAUAAAUAACUUAAAUUUAUCCUUUCUUUUAUAUAAUGCAUUAAUCAAGACUCAAAUUUCUUUCUUUAAUCCUUUGCAAUUAUUUCUUAAUGUGUAAAUGGCCCCGAAAUGCAAAGCAAGAGGCCGACCAGGCUAAGUAGGUGAAGUAAUUGUGUCAAAUAAAAAGAACUGUAAAUGCCCCCCCCCCCACCUUAAAAUAUUGGCUUCUUGUCCACAAAAGUUAGCCUUUGGAACAUUAGUUUAAGGUUAAAAUAAUUAUUCAAUAAAAUAAAUUUUAUAAAGUCUUAUGUUAUUUAUUAGUUUAUUUAAGAAUCAUAAAUUGCGAAUAAAGUUUUGGUAUUGUCGGUUUAAGGCGAAGAUUCUAGGUGUUUGAAUACUUAGGUUCAAGUUUCAUUAUGUGUAAUUGUAGCGUAUGAAUUUCUAGUUUCAUCAUAUACAUAUAAUAUGUAUAAGUUUAGUCAAGAUUAUUUUGCCUAUUAUACUUUAUACUAAUUUGAUUUUACAUUAUAGUUACUCGAAAAUGUAUUUGUACUUAUAAACACACUCUAUUUAUAAUAGUUUGAAUUAUUUAAAUUUAAAUUCAAAUUAAAUUAUGUAACUAGCAUUAUUUAUUUGAGUUAAUUUAAAAUUUUGGCAAAUUCAAAUAACUUAAACUAUUUAAGUUCAAUUUUAAAUUUUAAUUAUUUCAAAUGAAGUCACUCUUAAGAAGUGUUCGUGGCUUAGGUUAAGUUCAAGCUUAAUUCAACUCAUAUUUUGGCAAAUUUAAAUGUUUGUUUAAAAACAUUUACCUUUAUAUUUAAAUUUAUACUUUUUAUAAUUAAAUUUAAAUAAAAAGUUUAUUAUUAAAUAUGAGUUUAAGCUAAGCUUAAUUGUUCUAAGGAUUAUUAUUAAAUGAAUUUUAAAUAAAAUGAUAACUUGAAUUAAUUAAUUAAUUAUUGUUACCUUCAAUAUUUUUAUUCAAUCAUUUUCAUUUAAAAUAAUAAAAAUUUAAUUAAUUAUAAGUAUAUUUUAAUUAUUAUUAAAUUAAAUUACAAGUUGCAUCAUAUUAUAAUAUAAGCACAUGUUAUAGAGGUUUUGAAUAUGAUGAAUAGAUGUUGUGAAUUUAUUGAUUGAUUGGGUUGGAUAUUUAUAAACAAAUAAAAGUUAAUGAAUCUCAACAAAAAGAACCUACUAAAUAAAAGACUUAUUCAAAGCAAAACCUAAAGACUAAUUAAAAAAUAAAGUUUAUCCAGUAAUUAAAAACUGAGUCACUAGUAAAUCAAUAACAAACCACUCUAAUAUUGCCCCCUCAAGUUUGGGGUUAAAUCUCAACACCUAACUUGGAAGGAUAAUGGUGAAAAGGUGCCUUGGGAAGCUCCUUGAUGAGUAUAUCAACAACUUAAUCAACAACAUUAACAUGAUGAACAUCAAGUUCUUUAGGACCAACAUAACAGCAAACAAAGUGAACAUAAACUUCUAAAUGUUUCAUCUUGUUGUGCAAUGCAUGAUGUUGACAAUGUAAAGUGGCAUCCAAAUUGUCACAAAAUAUUUUAGAUAAAUUCAAAAGAGGUAUCCUAAACUCUCUAAAAAGAUGUUUGACCUAAAGAUUUUCGGACAUAGCAACUGCAAGGGUAAGGUACUUAGCUUUGGUUGAAAAUCGUGCAAUAGUAUGUAACUUAUUUUUUUUUUAUGCCUAAUUGAUGGUAGUGAGACCAUAAAAUGGAAUACACCUUGAUGUGGAUAAACUAUCGCUGAGGUCACCAGCCCAAUGACACCACUGGAUAUGUAGAGAUUAGAGUCACAACAAUCAAAUAUUCGAAGACCAAGAUUUUAUGUUUGUUGUAAGUAAUAUAACAAUCAUUAAACUAUUCUCUAGUGUGAUUUAGAUGAAUUGUGCAUAAAUUAUGAUAUUUUAUUAACAAAGGAACAAACUAGUUCCAUUAUUUAAGACCAAAAUUUCUAAACAACUUAUAGGGGUUUGAACACUUUUACUCUCAUGCAUGUUUGUCUCAAAAAAUAUCACAAACAUAUUUGGUUUGGUUUGAUAUAAUAAUAAGUCAUUAGAAGUAUGAAUUCAACAAGAUCUUUAAUAAAAAAUUUUGCAAACAAAAAUGAAAUGAGAUUUUUUAUGAGAGAUGUAUUCUUACUUGUUAUAACAAUAUCAUUAACAUAAACCAAGUAGAUGUAAUUUCCAUUGAUGUAUUUGAUCAAUAAAGAGUCAUUUAAAAAGAGUGUUAAAACCCAUUUGUCAGAGAGUUAGAGAAUUAAAAAAAAAAAACCUUAAAAGGAAAAAGGGAAAAAAGAAGAAGAAAAAGAGGGAAAUGGUUUUGGCAGCGAAAAUUAUUCAGUAUUAUAAACCAAAGAAGACAUUAUUUUAUGAAGAGCUUAAAAGAUUAAAAAGAAAAAAUUAAAUGAAUAUGUUUGGUUAUUGUAGUGUUGUUUGAAUCGAAUUAGAAAUUAGUUGAGGGAUCAAUUUAGAAAGUGGUUUUAAAUUAAUUAAAUUAAGAAUUGAUAUGAAUCAAUUAAACUAACUAAAAUAACGGUUAAAUUAACAAUUAAACUCAGUUAUUUAAAAAAUAAUAAUAUAAUUAGUUUGAUCAUCGAUCCAAUUUAAAAACCAUUAGUCAUUGAGCUUAGGUAAUUGCGGGCAAGGUGCAUGAGUUUUGCCAAAAUUUUGAUAUAUAAACCCCAUAUGUAGGGUCUACAUGUACAUGGCACCGCAUAUCAUUAAUAAUACGAGUUUAUCUAAAUACCACCUUAAUUUGAAUAUGAUUAAAUUUAAAUUGUAAAAUAAAUAAAUAUAUCGAUAAUUAGAAAAAUAUAUAUAAUUGAUAACCCUGCUCAAAUUUAAUUUUUCGAUUUUCUUUUCUCUGCAUUAUUUUCAGUCUUAAGCCUUGUGCUGUGGGGAAGUUUAUAUAUAAAACUUGAAAAAAAAAUAUCAUUGCUAUCCUCCAAAUACAUCCUUCAGAUCUGGACAUUUAGUUUAGAAAGGCUAAGUAUGGAGGAGUGAUGUUAUGUGCCUCUAUUGCAAAAUUCAACCAUUGAGAUAUUUUGAUGUCAACCUCCCAUAAACCAGUUUAGAAAAAGGUAUCAAAAUUAGGACUAAAUAAUUACAACUAAUUAAAUUUACAUAGAAUUCUUCACGAACUUAAUAUAUAAUUGAAUUAAAUAUAAAAAUAUAGAAUAUAUCCAUUAUUUUAUGAUUAAAAUGAAUAGAAGAAAUAGAAAAUACAUUAAAUAAAUAAUAGCAAUCAUAUAAUUUGGUUAAUAAAUAUAUCUCAUGGGAUUUUAUAGAAUUUAAUUAUUUGAAUAUAGUAAAUAUAUUUUAGGCUAAAAUUUGGAGCAAGUGUGUGUUUGUAUAAAAUAAUUUUAAAAAAGUUAAUAAAAUUAAAAGGCGGCUUUCAAGGUUCUUAUUAUGCUAUUAUUAUGAUUACUAUAAGAAUCAUUUUGGGUACAACAACCACCUUUCACUCUCCUACUUUUGUAUUCCUAAAAGGAAUACCCAAGUGUUUGUUGUACACCCUGUUCCUUUUGGGAGAUGGACUACCCUCAAUUUCACUCUUCUUUUUCUCAACCCAAACUUUCUCUUGGGAUUUAUUCAAAAAAUAGGUAAACUAGUCCUCACCGUUAAAUCAAAGAGCAAUGUAGUCAUUCUGUAAAAAAAUUCAUCCUUUUUUGCUGUUAAAAAUUGGUCCUUGUACGUUAACAUGAGGUGCACGUAGUAUGUCACAUGUCACCAUUUGGUUAUUUCAUCAACCACGUUAGUUUUUAACCUACAAAUUGAUGAAAUUUUUAACAGAAGUGGUCAAUUUGCUCUGUAAUUUAAUGUACAGGGACUAAUUUACCUAUUUUUUAAGUAAAAGGAGUAAAAUGCAACCUAAUUCCUACUACAAAGACCUCAAUGAUAUUUUUAUCGCUUAUGAUAUUAUAUUUUCGAGAAAUCCUUUAUUUAUCAUAAUCUGAUUUCUCUUCUUUUCUUUAUUACACAGAUUUAAGCAUCAAAAAGUGCCUCUUAGCUAACCUUCAGUUUUCAUUUUGUAAUGUGAUCCAUAACUAAAUAUACAUAUUUCAAUUUUAUUUCCAACAUAUUCAUUUAAUAUAACAAUUUAGCAUGAACCACUAUUGAGUUUUUCUGUUUCUGUUUCUACGAUAUUUAUGUUUUAUUUGGAUGGUUAAUGCAAGCUUAUUUUCAUGCAGCUGUUCCCUUAACUAGCAAGUAUAAUCAUCACGAAUCCAGUCCAUCAUUUCAUAACUAAUAUGGGCUUAAUUUAAAUACCUAUUGAUUAUUUUAUUACAAUUGUAGUUUGGAGGGCUUCAUCAUCCCUCUAAUUUUAUUUUAUUUCAUAAUGGUAUCAUCUAAAACCUUCUAAACUUGUAUUAGCAGUAUUUUAAUAUGAAUUGCUUUAUAAUUUUUAAAAAAAUUUAGGAGCUUAUUUGCAACAAAUUAUCGUCUUUAAGAGGAUAAUUGCACUAAAUUAUUGCCCAUUUUUUAAAUUCAUCUUUACACUUUAAAAUAUUUUAAUUGAAUUCUCACACCAUUAGUAUUGUAUUGAUUAAGUCAUUUUAUUAAUCUAGUUGUUAAUGCAUUAAAUGAUAGUUAGAAUCUAAUGUAGAAUAUAUUUAAAACACCCAAAUUAAAAUAUAAACAUGUGUGUACCCGUCGCAAGGAUAUCUUUGAUUUGAUGUGUUAAAAGAACGCUAGGCUCAAUAAAAUUUAGGGGGAUAAUUUGUUUUUAUUAAAUUCAAAUCCGAAUUAUUUAUGCAAUAAGUAUACAUGUGUUUGUUUCAAAUACGUUUUACGUUAAUUUCAGCUAAUAUUUAAUACCUAAUAAAAUAACCUAUUGAUAUGAUACUAAUAUAUUUGACUUUAGAGACCAACUUAAAGUUUAAUUGUAAGCUAAAUAAUUUUUGUUAUAAUUAACUUUAGAGUUUAUUGCACUGGGCAUCCUCAGCUGUGACAUUCAUUUUAAAUUGGUCCCCAAAUUUUAAAAUAUUCUAAUUACAUCGAUCUCUAAACUAUCGAUGUUAUAUCAAUGAAGUCUUUUUAUUAUUAAAACCAUUAAAUGACAUAUCAAAUCUUGUGUAUCUAAAUUUAAAAUUAAAAUUUUAAAGAAAUAGAACAUUGUACUUUUAAAAGUAAAAUUUAAAAGUUAAGUAAAAUUGAACAAAAAAAAAGAGUAAACGAUAAAACUUCUGUAAAAGUUUCAAAAAUCUCAAAACUAAGGUUUUUAAAACAUCCAUUUUACAAUAUUCAUUUUUUUCUUAAAAUUUUCAUUUUAAAUUAUGUUAUAUAAGAUUUAGCAUGUCAUUUAACAGUUGAAUUAACAAUUUUAGUAACGUGAUGAUCUAAUUGAUAUAACCUUGAUAGUUUGGGGGUUUAUUUAGAAUAAUUUAAAGUUUAGAAACCAAUUAAGAAUUAGGGUCAUAGUUUAGGAAUAUUUGGUGCAAUUAACUCUUAACUUUAUUAUAACUUAUACCCAGGCCUGGCCCUAGGAGUCGUUUGGAGGUGCGGCCGCCAAGGGCCUAAGAUUGAAAGGGGUCCAAAAUAUUAUUUUUUAGUUUUUAAUGGGCUCAAUUUUUUUUAACUUUUAAAAGUAAAAAAAUGUACUAACUUUUAAAGGGCCUAAGUUUUUUUUUUAGCUUUUAAAGGUCCAAAAAUUUUUUUAUCAACUUUUAAAGAAUUUAAAAAAAAUUCUCUAACUUUUAAGGAACCUAAAACUCCAUUUUAUUAUUUUGUCUAGGGCCCAAAAAUGUCAAGAACAGGCUUGCUUAUACACCUUUUCCCAUCUUGGUACCUAAGCUUUUUUUGGGUUAUAAGUGAUAGCUAAACUACUUUUUUUCCAAGUUGGUAUAUUCGUUAGUCAAACCAUUAAAUAUAUUUUAAAGAGUCUUAACCCACAAAUUAGUGCCUAAAUUAUUCUUACUUAUUUUACAACAAAAUGUUAUAUAUGUUAAAAAAAGUUUCAACUAAAUAAUAAACUGCCAUAUCAUAUAAGUUUUAAAAAAUAUUUUAAAUUAUUUUAUUUUCUCUCUCUAUUUUUUUUCUAUUUUCCCUUCCUACUUCCUUUAUAGUGUUUAACAAUACCAAUAAUGCUCGAAAUUCCCCCUAUCGAGGUCAAUACACUAGCGAAUAGUUUUGUUUUUGAACUUCACUACUUGUUUGCUUGACCUGACGGGAUCCAAAAAGUUAUUUCAUCGAUCAAAACCAAUAUUUUUAUAAUUAGACCAGACUAGUUGGACUAGAAACCGAUUAAGGUACUGGUUCGGAGAUGGGGGUUGAAUUGAUUGACCUACAAACCAAUAUAGACCAGUUAAAUUGGUUUUCUCAAAAUUUUAAAUAUAUUUUUAUAAACUUUUAAAUAAUCUAUUUGACCGAAGUGAACGAACUGACCAUAUCUAGAAUUAGGACUCGGCCGAUUUGACUAUCAAUUUGGUUUUGAAGAAAGAAAAAAGAAUGAAUAUAUAUAUGAGAAAACAAUACUUUUUAUCUUUUUGCCACAUGUCAAUUUUUUAUUGAUUAUUUUUUAAAUACAUAAACUUAACGGUUUAGCUAAUUAUUGAACUAAGAGAGAUAUUGACUUGGGGAAAAAAGGGUACCAACUUAUGAGUUAAGCUUUUAUUUAAUAGACUUAACGGUUUGACUAACGAAUAUACUGAUGAGGAAAAAAUAAUUUAGAUAUCAUUGGUGAUAAAAAAAAUCAAGUAUCAAAAUGAGAAAAAAUAUAUUUUAAAUACCAAUUUAUAAGUUAAAUCUAAUUUACACCCUAAAUCCCUAUUUGGUGUCCAUUAAAUAGUUUUUGGUCAUACGUGGUAGAAAAACAAGAAUUUAUAUUCAAUACCCAAUCAAUAUAUAAAUGAAGAUAAUUGAGGUGGAAAUUAUUAUUUAGAUAAAAGAAAAAAUUGAUGUUACUCACAUGAUCACUAAAAAGAUCCUACCACAGGUCAUAUGGUUUCACCUUACUCCUACAUUCUCCUCGGUCCACUUCAUUUUCCCAAAAGCGCCACCAAAUCGCGGACCCACUCACGCGCCCCCGCACUCGCCCCCCCGCCCCACCAAAAAUCUCACCUAAUCUGCUCCCCCGCCGUAAAGUUUCAUUUACACCUCCUCCACUCCUUGCCCGCCACGUAUUUACUAUUCUAAGGGCUUUUACGUCAUUUACUAGUCAAUACCCGAAAUUACGGAAAACACCCUACUAGGUGCUUCCCUCUCCCGACCUCCAAACAUGGUAUGACGUUUUCGGUUUUUUGGUACCCAAGGUUCCUUGCGCAAGGCCUUGUUUGGUACGGACAUUAAAACUAUCGAAAUAGAAGCUUCCAUUGCGUUUGGGGUUGUCAACAUUUUAUACUCCAUCCAAAUACGGUCUUGAACAUGUUUAAGUUUUGAUUUGAUAAAAAAAAGAAGAUGUUUAAAUAUUUGUUCAAUCCAUUACAAUACUGAGUAAAUGGGUAAUUCAAAGUCAAAUUUAGAACUAAAUUAAGAAUAUUUUCUGGCGUUGCCAGAUUGUUUUUUAAUAUUUAAAAAUAAAAAACUAUUAAAAUAUUAAAAAUAUAUGUAAAUCAAAAUAUUAAAAUGAAAAGAUUCAUUUAGUGAUGUAAUAUUAGUUACAUAUUAUUUAAAUAUAAUAAAUUAGUGAUAAAAUUAAUUAAUUUGUGUCAAAAUCUAAAAAGGCUGCAAGAUUGCAAGUUGCAAGUUGCAAUUGUACUUUAUUUGUUUUAAAAGUGUUAAAGUCUCUAAACUAAAGCCACAAAUCAAAUUUCCCUUUUUACUUCUGCCAAACAAAAUAAAAAAUUAAAUUAAUUAAAAGGGGAAAAUAUGAAAAUUAGCAGCUCUAUGUACUAUGAUAUAAAAAAAAGAAUAAUUUAUUUAUACUUAAAAACAAAUAACCAAAUUUUUUAAAAAAGUAUUGUGAAAAUAGAUUCCUUUAAUUGAUUCCUAAAAAUUAUAUUUUUGCAUCUUUUAUUGAAUAAAAAGUAAAAUUAUUAAUAUUAAUCUUAUUUCAAGACUUAGUUUGAAUAAUGAUUACAAUUUUAUUAAGUUGAUUAACAUUUAUAUGAUUUAGUUUCUUUUUUAAUUUUGAGUUAUAACUAAUAAUUAUAUGAUAAUAUAAUUGAUUUAAGUUUAAGAUUCGAGUAUCCAAGUUCGAGUCCUAUAAUAUGGAAUGCCAUGUGUGGAUCCUCUCCUAAUUAUUUUGGGGUUAAGUGUCACCUUAUGUGGGAUAUGUUCAUAUUUAUUUUGAGUUAGGUUUGAAUAUAUUUCAAUUUUCAAUUUGUUGUGUUUACCUGGUUAUAAUUCUAGUUGAUGGAAUAUGUAUUGCUUGUGAUUUGUUUUGUGCUUGUACUUACAAUUCUAUGCCAUAUUUACGAUUUUGACUGAGUUGGUGUUACUCAUUAAUCAAGCCACAACUGAGGCAUAAAGUUACUAAAAGCCCAUUAUUUUUAUAAAACGUUAGAUAUUAGUUUUAGAGCAAUUUACCUUUUUGCAUAACAUCUAGAAAAAUAUUUGCACAUGAUGAGAAUCAAACUCAAAAUAUUAUGAUGCUUAUGUUUAACAUCUCAAUUUUAUUAUAUCAAGUUCAAUAAAAAUUUUAUGUAUAUCAUGAGUGUGCUAUAUAAUUUAGUACUUAUAGUUAUAAGCUCUUUAAAAAAAAUUAACUUGUUUGUCAUUUAUCUAUACUAUUUAUCAUCAUGUGUGUCGCCAACAUGUCCCAACUUAAUUGUGAACUUAUUAAAAAAAUUAUUUAUUUUAAAAAGCAAGGUAUUAUUGUCUUUUUAUAUAUCUAUUUAGAAAAAUAAGAAAAAUAUAUGAUGAGAUGUGGUUAUUUUUGUAAACAGAACUUUGUUAUUUCAAUAAAUUUCACAUUUAAUUUGUAUUGUUUAAACUAAUUGCUUAUUUUUCCACCAAAGUUUAGGUGAUACUUGUUUUAGGUCUCAUUUAAAUUUUAAAUAUUUUACUGUUGAUCUGAGAGCUAAAUAAAUUAAUAAUAACGGAGAUGAUUUUAUUUUAUAAACAUUUAUUAUUUCAGCGUAAUAUUAAUGUAAUCAAUAAUUAAUUAAAAAAUAAAUAAAUAAACAGAACAAGGAAAUGAGAAGAAAAGAAAAGAAAAGAAGUGCAUUGGAAAUGUCUUAAAUUCUUUUCAACCUCUCUCGGCUCAGGCGAUUUGCUGCUUACCUUUCCCAUCUUUGACUCUUCCCUUUAAUUUUUUUACUUAUUUUUAAUUUAUUUUUUAAAAAGCAAACCAAAACAACACAAAGCCCCAGGCUUUCCCUGCCGGUUUUCUCUUUCUUUGCCCCCGCCGGUAACUUAUUCUCUGUCGGAACUUUCCGCUGUUCGCCGCCGCAGGGACACUUCUUUUUUGACCUCUGAGUGGUUGUGCCGUCAGUCAAAGUUAAGGAGCGGACUUAGUCGUUGGUGGUUAUUGGAGACGGCGGAUGGUAGGAUUUUGGUGUUGAAGGAGCUGAGAUCACGUUAGAUCUGCUAAAGGAAUUGUUUUUGGUUUUGGUUAGCUGUUUGGGAAUGGAGAGUUAAAACGUGUUUGUUUUUUGGAUGGUAAGCGUCGGAGGGAAAGAGGAGAGAAGUGAAGAGAAAGGAAGAGAGGUGGUAGUUGCUGAUGAUGAACGGAGCUCACGAGAGCGAUCGUAGAGGGCGGUGGCGUUUUGGUAAUUUCCUCACAUGGAAUGGCAGAUCUUGUUAGCUACGGUAAUGCACAACGUGACAUCGACCAGGUCUUCCCUUUUCCCUUUCUACUUUUCUUCAUUACUCUCUGUUCCCCCCCCCCUUGUUUUAUACUUUAAAUUUAAGAUUUUGUUUAUACUUAUAUUUAUUCCUCAAUUUCACUUUCAAAUUUCCCCUCGAUUUUUCUGAUCACGGGAAGAAACGAGGGGUAAUUUCUAAUUUGGUGGAAAUUUUUGGAUUUUUCUGCUAUUUUUAUGGAAUCUCUUUGUGUAGUAUUUUGUUUCUUAUUUCUAGAUUUUAGUAGGCUUUACAAAGCUAGGAAGAAUGUCUUCUUUUGUAGCCAAUUUAGGAAAAUCUGAAGAAUUGUGUUUGAGAAUAUUGAACUUUAUGUUUUUUCCUGGUUAUUAGAAACUUGAGGGCAAAAAUGGUUGACGACUUUGGUUAAUAAAUUUGGAAGUUUCAUGCUUUAUUAGGCAGCGAAAUUAAAGACUGGCUUGAAGACAUGCAGUCCCAUGGGUUUUCCAAAUCUGACAGCUAUGCCGAUGUGCUUGCCAUUGUGCAUUGUGCAAACAAUACAUUGAUUAUAUAUUAACCCUAGCUAACAUAGGGUGAUGUUUAUGAACAUUAGACAUAUAAAUGUGUAUUAGUCAGGAACCCAAUAAGGGGUGCUUGAUUGUACAGUGUGAUGUUUCACAGUUAUCAGUUUAUGGUUUAAGUGACAUGUUAGGUUUCUUGAUCAUUAAAUUACUUUCUUGAUGUUUUUAUCCUUCUGCAAAUUUUCUUUUGUAGGCAUUAAUAGCUUUGAAGAAGGGUGCUCAGCUUCUGAAAUAUGGUCGCAAGGGAAAGCCUAAGUUUUGUCCAUUUAGACUUUCUAAUGUAAGUUUGGUUCCUACUUUUGAAACCUUUCUGUUGCAUUCCUUUCAUGUGUGAAUGUUACUCUUUUGUUCUUUGUUAGACAUUGUUAAGUUGAAAUGUACACAAAUACUAAGGGGGGACUUAAUUGAAAACCCUGAGUUAAAGUUCAUUUGCUCUCAUCAUGUGGAAGUAGUAAUUAUAUUGACUAUGAGAAUUACUAAAGUUACACAUGAUUUUACUGUCUGCCUUACAUGCUUUAUCUUGGUAGGUACUAGACUUUUAUAUUUUAUAGGCGUGCCACUCAGAAAAUGGAAUCAAGUAUGCAGUGAAUGGCUUUUACAUUUUGCUAUUAUAGGACUCUGUUUUGUUUAAACAAGUAAAGCCGUUUUACAUUUUGCUUGGCUUUUCAUAAAUUUUUUUGUUUAUCUAACAAACAAAUUUCUGCACUUAUGAACUGUUUUCUUCCUUUUAAAUUGCAGGAUGAAACAUCUUUAAUUUGGAUUUCAAGCAGUGGUGAAAGAAGUUUGAAGUUAGCCUCAGUCUCUAAAAUUAUUCCUGGACAAAGAACUGUGAGAUGUUUUUUGUUCUUUUCUACAUAUGCAUUUAGAGUAUCAUCAGAAACAUGCAUACCCACUGUUAAGGUUGUUUAUGAUAAGUAGGGUAAUGUACUAAAGAGAAUUGAGUUGUUUUUCUAGAAACAUGUACUUGUAUUAUGUUGGUGGAAGAAAAAAUAUCUGAAAAUGUUCUAGAAAAAGAAGGAAAAAAACAUAGGUAGUUUAUUAAGAAGUGGAUGGUUUUUUAAAAUUUUGGUGUAGCUUUUUAAAUAUAAAGUGUGUAAGUGACCUUAACAUUAUUGUUUUCAAUAUGUUUUUAAGUAAUUUUCUUGAUUGUAUUAGUGUUUGGUUAAAUUGGGACACUAACUUAGUCAGGGACUUGAAUAUUAGUAUGGAUAUAUAAACUCUACUCUUUGCUCUUUAUUUAUGUUACAGGAUCUAUUUUCUUUCUUCCAUGCUUGCUUUCUUCUUCUGAAUUUAUACUAAACUAUCCUUUUGAAUUCUCUAUCAGGCUGUUUUCCAGCGGUAUCUCCGGCCUGAGAAGGACUAUUUAUCCUUUUCUCUUAUAUACAACAACGGGAAAAGGUCACUUGAUCUGGUUUGUAAUGGAACUUUGAUAUUCUGUUUGUAGAUAGAUGAUCAAGCAUUGUUGAUAUUUUUAUCCCCUUGUGUAUGUUUUUAAUUUAAAGUUUGUUUGGCUCCUAGAUUUGCAAGGACAAAGUUGAGGCAGAGGUGUGGAUUGCAGGCCUCAAAGCAUUAAUAUCAUCUGGUCAGGGUGGACGCUCCAAAAUUGAUGGGUGGAGUGAUGGAGGCCUCUACCUUGAUGUAAUUCCUUCUCCAUUUGACUCCUUUCCACUAGUCUUUUGUGGCUUUUCUGUUUCAUAAAGUGCUUUAUAUAAUGAUUCCUUUGUACAUGUUUGGAAUUUGACAAAGUUUUGCCCUUGAAUUAUCCAUUUGUUAUGAAUCAAGACCAAAACUCCCUUCUCAGCUCCUGUUGAGCAAGAAUAGAGUUCAUAUGCAGACACCAUUACUUUGGUGGUUUGAAAAAUUUUGGUGGUGUAGUUAACUUUGUUUGUAUUUAAGGUUUCAUUGCUUUAUUCCUUUAGUUAUGAAAAUUCUUUUAUUUAUAGUCAUAAAAAUUUAUGCUUGAUGGUAUUCUUUUAAUUGUAGCUGCAUUUUUAAAUUGUGUUUACCAUAAAUGUUUAUCGCUGAUUGGUUUCAGGAUGGCAGAGAUCUGACAUCAAAUAGUGCAAGUGACAGUUCUGUUAGUGCUACUCGAGAUAUUAGCUCCCCUGAGGUUUUUGUCAGUUUUAACCCAAACACUUCUCCUAAGAGUUUACGGCCUGAGAAUUCUUUUCAUUCUGAAAGAUCACAUGUAGCAUCAGAAGGCACAAAUAUGGAUGUAAAAGGAUCUGGUUCAUAUGCUUUUCGUGUAAGUGUUUCUAGUGCCCCAAGUACUUCUAGUCAUGGUUCUGCACCAGAUGAUUAUGAUGCUUUAGGGGAUGUGUAUAUAUGGGGUGAGGUUAUCUGUGACAAUGCUGUGAAGGUUGUAGCUGAUAAGAAUGCGAAUUAUUUGAGCAUGAGAGCAGAUGUACUUCUUCCCAGGCCUUUAGAGUAUAAUGUAGUUUUAGAUGUACAUCAUGUUGCCUGUGGGGUCAAGCAUGCUGCCCUAGUUACAAGGCAAGGUGAAGUUUUUACAUGGGGUGAGGAAUCUGGAGGACGACUUGGCCAUGGUGUUGGGAAGGAUGUUAUUCAACCUCGUCUUGUUGAAUCAUUGGCUGUUACUAGUGUUGAUUUUGUUGCCUGUGGUGAAUUUCAUACAUGUGCUGUUACAAUGGCUGGGGAACUUUACACAUGGGGAGAUGGAACUCACAAUGCUGGGCUCCUUGGUCAUGGCACUGAUGUCAGCCAUUGGAUACCAAAGAGAAUUUCAGGUCCUCUUGAGGGACUUCAAGUUGCUUCAGUAACUUGUGGUCCAUGGCAUACAGCUUUGAUAACAUCAACAGGACAGCUGUUUACCUUUGGGGAUGGUACAUUCGGUGUACUGGGCCAUGGUGACAGAGAAAGUGUUCCAUAUCCGAAGGAAGUAGAGUCUCUGUCAGGAUUGAGAACGAUUGCUGUGGCAUGUGGAGUGUGGCAUACUGCUGCCAUUGUGGAAGUUAUUGUCUCUCAGUCCAGUGCUAGUGUUUCAUCAGGAAAAUUAUUCACAUGGGGGGAUGGGGACAAAAACCGUCUUGGACAUGGAGACAAGGAACCCCGGCUUAAGCCCACAUGCGUUCCAGCACUAAUUGAUUACAAUUUUCACAAAGUUGCUUGCGGGCAUAGCUUAACAGUUGGUUUAACAACAUCAGGGCAUGUUUUUACGAUGGGGAGUACUGUGUAUGGUCAACUUGGGAAUCCCUGUGCUGAUGGAAAAAUACCUUCUUUGGUAGAAGACAAGCUAUCAGGGGAAUGUGUCGAAGAAAUUGCCUGUGGUGCAUAUCAUGUAGCGGUUUUAACAUCCAGGAAUGAAGUCUAUACAUGGGGAAAAGGAGCUAAUGGUAGGUUGGGCCAUGGAGAUGUUGAAGAUCGGAAAACUCCAACUUUGGUUGAAGGUUUGAAGGAUAGACAUGUGAAAUUUAUUGCUUGUGGUUCAAACUAUAGUGCUGCAAUAUGUCUUCAUAAAUGGGUAUCUGGUGCUGAGCAAUCUCAAUGCUCAGCUUGCAGACAGGCUUUUGGGUUCACAAGAAAAAGGCAUAAUUGCUAUAACUGUGGACUUGUGCAUUGCCAUUCAUGCAGUUCAAAAAAAGCACUAGGAGCAGCUUUGGCUCCUAAUCCUGGGAAACCUUAUCGUGUCUGUGAUUCCUGUUUUGCCAAACUGAACAAGGUUUCAGAAGCUGGUAAUAACAGGAGGAAUUCUGUACCUCGCCUUUCAGGUGAGAACAAGGACCGGUUGGAUAAGGCUGAAAUAAGAUUAUCCAAAUCUGCAACUCCUAAUAUGGACUUGAUUAAGCAGUUAGAUAGCAAAGCAGCCAAACAAGGGAAAAAAACCGAAACAUUCUCGGUGGUUCGCUCUGCUCAAGCACCUUCUUCGUUUCAGUUGAAAGAUGUUGUUUUGUCUAAUCCUGUAGAUUUGCGAAGGACGGUUCCUAAACCAAUUCUUACGCCAUCUGGAGUAAGUUCCAGAUCUGUUUCACCUUUCUCAAGGAGACCUAGCCCUCCACGUUCUGCGACCCCAAUUCCUACAACAUCUGGACUUUCUUUCUCCAAAAGCAUCACAGAUAGUUUGAAAAAGACAAAUGAGCUUUUGAACCAAGAAGUGCUUAAGUUGCGUGGACAGGUAAGAAUGCUGUUUCUAGUGCUUUUGAUAUUGGUAUUUUGUCGAUGGGCCCUGUGGUUUAUCAAUGUAAUUCUGACGAUUGUGGAUCUGUUCAAGGUUGAGACUCUGAGAAAGAGAUGUGAACUUCAAGAAUCGGAGCUUCAAAAAUCCACAAAGAAAACUCAGGAAGCAAUGAAAGUGGCUGCAGAGGAGUCUGCUAAAUCUAAAGCUGCAAAAGAAGUUAUAAAGUCGCUGACUGCACAGGUUAUCUUCAGCUUUAUUGUUUCUUUGAACUAUCUUUGCAGAUCUGUUCUUACUAAAUUGCAAAACAAUGUUAACAUCUCAUAUGCAUAAUGGUUUAGUCAAACAUUAGUAUUAGCUUCCGAAGAUAAUUCUUUGAUUCUUUUCAUCAUCUUAUGUGUUUUAAGGAUUUUAAAUUUCAGUGAUUAUAAGAUCCUUUGCAUCCACAUUUUGAGAUUUGGUGUCACUUUGCAAUCCUAGCCAUUUCUUUGCCUCUCAUAAUGCUUACAAUGAUUUAUCUCUAUACUGCUUCUCAGCUCAAGGAUAUGGCUGAAAGGUUGCCACCUGGAGUUUAUGACACAGAGAACAUUAAACCAGCAUACUUGCCAAAUGGCUUGGAGCCAAAUGGUAUUCACUAUCCAGAUGCGAACGGAGAGGGACAUUUAAGAUCUGAAUCAAUUGGUGGCUCUUUCCUUGCUUCCCCUACUGCUCUCGAUUCUUCCACAAUCAAUGGCAAUCAGAGCCCUGGCCAAUUACUUAAGGAACCAACCGGAGCCAAUGGUAGAGAUGACCAUUCUGGCACUAGACUGCUGAAUGGUAGUGGGGGUUUACAGGCAGGUGGCAGUGGUGUGUCAGCAGCUGUUGAUGAAAGGGAAUUUGGGUCUUUUGGAGAUGGAGAAAAUGGUACGAAAUCUAGAAAUUCAGCAUUGGCUGCUAAUGGCAAUCAAGUGGAGGCUGAGUGGAUUGAACAAUAUGAGCCUGGAGUCUAUAUAACUCUUGUAGUACUGCGGGAUGGAACUAGGGAUCUCAAACGAGUGCGCUUCAGGUACAUUUUUCUAUGUUCUCUUAUAUCUCAUUAUUUAUACUUGCUUUGUUUAAAUACAACAUCAACAACAUAUAUAGAAAGAAGAUGAACGAGAAAAUUAGUAGUUGAUUUAACGUCAGAAAAUGUAAACCUUCUAAGGUGUAAAAGGAAAAACAGGAAUCAAAGGCACCCAUCUAUCAGGGUCCAUGUGGUUGAAUUUUAUGGAUCUGGAAUGUUUAAGUGGUGUUCAUACAUGCAGCCGAAGAAGAUUUGGAGAGCACCAAGCAGAAACUUGGUGGUCGGAAAACCGCGAAAAGGUAUACGAGCGGUACAACGUCCAUGUAUCAGACAAAGUGUCGAUUUCUGGGCAAACUGCCCGCAGAUCGGAAGGAGCUCUGUCUCCGACUUCUCAAGUGUAAGAAAAGGAGGAAAAGCGUGAGCUCAUUUAGUGUCACUGACAAGGUUAAGGAGCAUGAAACCCCCUCCUUUUGGUCAUCUCAUUUUACAUAGUUUGACUCCCCCUCUAUAAUUUAUUUUAUUGCAUUUAAUGUCUAGGUCUCUUUCACAGAUAUGUUGUAUUGUAGUAUAUAUAAAAUCAUCAAUUUCCAGAUAGUCCAGGCAACAAAGGUUUUGUUCAUUGCUUUCUCUAUUGCAUUGCAUAGAGGUGAUAUUUUAGUAAAAUCAAAUCCCGAAUACGAAUUUCACAUUUCUUUUCUUCAAAGAGUACGGCCCCAUUUUCCUGGGAGCUGUCGAGUUGAAAAGUAAUUCAAUAUUGGACAAACCUAACUUUGAAACUUCAUUUCAUUUUUAUAAUCUUUGGUAGGUUGGUUUUGAGGAGACGCACAGUUUUGUAUGUAAGAUUUUCGAUGCCAUCUCUUGGGGAUAUAUUAUUUACCCAAAGCCCUUCCGUUUCUAAAUUUCAGCCGAAUGAAUGGAAGGAAAGGAAAAUCAUGUUUUUUUCUUCCUUUGUUUGGAUAGAGUUUUUAAUUUAAGAUGGAGGAAAUAAGAGAAAUCCUACUUUCCUUUUGAAAGCUCUUUUUUCUGUUUUUUCUUACCCACAAGACAAAAGUUUAGGACAUAAAAACAUAUAAUUUUUGUCAUUUCUUUCUUUUCUAAAUAAUUUUAUGAAUGAUGAAGUUGUUAUAAUAUUAUAAUUAAUCAUUUCAUUUCCACUAUUUAACCAAACCAAAAUGAUUAGAAUUACCUGUCCUUUCAUUUCACUAGUUUUAACCAUCUAAAUAAAAUCAUAUGUAAUCAUUUAUUUUUCUUACUUUUACUCUCCUCUACUAUUUUCAAAUCUUUUUAUAACUAAUUAUAUCUUUAUUAUUUUUAAUGAAAAUUGCUAAAUACAAAGAUUGAAAAUUUAAACCAAAUUAAUAGAAUUGAUAAAAAAAAAAAAACUAAAGUUACCCUUUUAUUUAAAAUUAAUCUUAGGGGUUAAUGAAUUUUUCGUCAAACCUCAAAAUAAGUACAUAUUUUUCAUAUCAUAGUAGGUAACAAAAUCGACAUUUAAAAGUUAUGAAAGAAAAUGGAAAAUAAACUUGGGGUUUUAAAAUAAAAAUUUUAAAAUUGCCGUCCAUAAGCAGGGUCAAGAGGCAAGUGGUGGUGGGCAAGAGGAACACAAUGACAGCCAGAGCCCGUCAUUGCUUUUGACUUGGUCUUUUAAUUUAUUUAUUAUUCACAAAUUCUACACCCAAAAGGAGGCAAGCCGAGUAGCCGGUUCGUGGUCGGUGAGCAUUGACUCACUACACCACUUGCACACCAAUCUUAACUAAACCAGGCUGAAAAGGUAGUUUGUUUGGAAUAAUUUUGUUUGAGUGGAGUAAUAAUCGAAAAUAAGAAAUCUAAAAUUCCAACUUUAUUCAACUAAAAAAUUGAAAAUAAAUGUAAUGAUGUUGUUGGCAUUUGAAUACAAACUAAAAACAUGUUCAACAUUUUAAAAAUGAAAAACAAAAGGGAGUAGGGUUUAAGUUGGGUCAUUCAAUUCUGACUAAACCCUUGUAAAUAAGUAAAUUGUGAGGUGUGUGUGUAUUCCAAUUCCAAAAUCAUAAAAUUUAUUAUUGUCAUCUCACCUUUGCUUGCCAACUCUCUACUGGCCUUCUUCUUCUUUCUCUUCCUUUGUAUGCCAGUCAAGCACGUCUUGAUAGAUGAUAAAAUUUAUAUAUAGAGUGAACAUCUACUUAUGUUUUUUUUAGAUAAGACGCAUGGUGUUUGUAUACUCUCCAUUCUUUUAAGGCAAAUUUAAAUAAAAUCCAUAAACCUCUUAAGGUUUUUAAAAUAUACAUCUGCUCAACAAAAAUCCAUUUACUUUUAAAUUUUGAUGCAAAACAAUUACUCUUUUUUUUUUUUUUGAGAUUAUUCACUAAUUUUUUGAAAAUGAAAAUUAAGUAUACCUUGGAUUUUAUUAACUACAUAUUUUAUAUUUGUUUAUUUAGUUUUAAUUUCUAAACAAUUGUUUGAGUUAUAGGUAUUUAAGUUCGAGACUUAUUAUAUGCAACUAUAUGUGUUAGUUUCUAAUUUUCGUCAUGUAUAAUUUAUGGGUCUAUUGGUCCUCGACAGAUGAUACUUCUUAAAUUUCUCUUCAAGUGAGAACAAGUAGUAUCCUCUCACCCAACAAUGCUAUAUGGGUCAUGAGUUUAAAUUCUAAAAAAAACAUAUGCUGAAAAUUUUUUGGUAGGUGAAAGCCCUCCUCUUCUAUAAAUCUCUCGUGGCUCUCAACGGAUUCUUACUAAGGUCAAUAUUAAAUUUAUUGAGGAGUUUAUAUGAGUUUGAUUUUUAUUUUUUUUAGCUAAAAGGAAAAAUUACUGCAAUUCCACGUUGUUAAUGUUAGAUUAUUUUGCUCCUACCUAAUUAGGUUACUUAUUCAAACGUAGCAUUUAAAGUCAAAAAAUUGGAAAAUGAGACCACACGAAUUUGAUUAUUUGACCAACGACCCUCAUUAAAAUAACACGUUCAAACGACGUCAUUUCACGUAUACUUUGACUCCUCCGUCCUCUCCAUAUAAACCUCUUUUCCCUUCUACUCAAACCCAAGCCUAGCUUCCCCGCAACGACAAACUUCUUUCUUUUAAUAAAAUUAAAAACUAUGGUGAAGGAGGAACUGUACAUAACCGUACCCAGCGUUUUCCGGUGUCCAAUUUCACUUGACGUGAUGAAAUCUCCGGUUAGCCUUUGUACGGGCGUUACCUACGAUCGUUCCAGCAUCCAAAAAUGGCUCGAAUCUGGUCACGACACCUGUCCAGCCACCAUGCAGGUUCUUCCCUCCAAGGAUUUCAUCCCUAACCUUACUCUCCAUCGUCUAAUUAAUCUCUGGAUCCAGUCUUCUACUCUCCGGCCAGGCUCUAACUCUCCACGGCUUCUUCCGGCGACGCCUCCUGCGAUCUCCGAGGUUCAGGCUAAGCUAUUGAUGGAGAAGGUUGAGAGGGAGCGCUGCGACGAUUCUUUGUCUAAGGUUGCCGAGUUCGUAAGCUGUUGCGAAGAGAACCGGAAAUUUGUAGCUAGAUUCGACGGUUUCGUUGAGGUAAUCGCCGGAGUUUUGAAAAGGAAAUGUGUGGAAAUCAAAGCUUUGGAAACGGCGGUUAGGAUUUUGGAUUUGAUUUUGAGCGAAAAUGGAGUCACAGAAGGGUUAAACAAAUUAAUCCUGAAAAGCAAUCAGGAAAGUAAAUUUUUAUCGGCAAUCGUUUUAAUUCUUCAACACGGAAGCCUGAACUCGAAGAUCAAGUCAGUCCGAGUUCUGGACUCACUAGCACUUGACUCGGAAUCCAAACGCAGGAUCUCCGACUCACAAGACCUUAUAUCCAUCCUUCUCCAGCUCCUGAAAACAAACAACAACGGAUCCUUAAACGACGCCGUUACUUCCAUUUUAACCACCAUUUCAAUAACGCGCUCCAUCAGGUCCCGCCUCAUCGAAAACGGCAUCGUUGAAAUCCUAUCAAACUCGCUCACCGAAAAGUCGUUGAAGUUGUUAGCAACGCUUAGCACUUGCAGCGAAGGGAGGUCAGCAAUCAGUUCCGAGCCAAAAUGCGCGGCGGCGAUCGUAGAAAAGCUGUUGAAGGUGUCGAAAAGGGGGACGGAGGACGCCGUAACGGUGUUGUGGAGCACGUGUUGCUUGAACAAAGAGGAGAAAGUGAAAGAAGCGGUGGUAAAAGGGAAUGGGGUGACGAAGAUAUUAGUAAUAAUGCAAAGAGAAGGGGAAGGGAAUGUGAAGAUGAUGUGCAGGGAUUUGGUUAAGGCUCUAAGAGCUGUAUGUAAAGAUUGGUGUUUAGGCAGUUAUGAAACCAAAACUACACAUAUUAGACCUUGUUGAGGAGCAUUCUUUAUUUUUGGACAUAAAUUUACACACAAGAUUCAUGUAGUUACCACUUAGUUCAAAGGAAACACGAUUCUAUGUUUUGUUUUUGUUAGAAACAUUAUUCCUGGAAUUCCCAUCUUCCCUUCCUAUGGGAGCUUUCAACAGGUAGGCGAACCUCACUUGAGUUCACAGGCUGUACCAUUCAACCAUCACAUUUGACCUGCCACUUGGUUUUGGACCGGCUUUUUUAAAUUUUAUUCCACUUAAUUUUUAAAUUUAAAAUAAAAUUUUAUUUAAUUGAUUUGAAUUUAUUAAAAAAUUAAUGGCUAUUGAACUAAAACAUAAUAAACUACUGAAUAAAUUUACAAAUGAUUAUUGAACUAAGAUUACAUUUUUACCACCCAAUUAUCAAAAAUUACAUUGUAAUUAUCCAUCUAUUAACCGGUUAAGUUGACCACCUAUUUGCCAUAUAUCUUAAAUAUAUUUAACGAAAACAAAACCCUAACUCUUUUAAGAUAAAGAAAAACCCUAAUAAACAUUUGCCUAUUUAGAUUGUGGUAUGUGAUGUGAUACAAGUUUUGAUAUAAGUAUUGGCACAACAACAUGAACAAAAUAGAAAACAUUAGAAUGAACACAAAUAAAUUGGUAAUGUAAUUCAGUGCACCAUCAACUUGUGCGAGACCUUGCCUAGAGAAAUCCAUUGCUAAACUCAUGAUAAAAACAAUGAUUCAAGUCCAAUAUAUUUUAACCCUCGGAUAAUUACAGACUCACCCAAAUGCAUUUAGUACGAACUCUCUCUAAACAACCUCUCCUUGUAAAGGCUCUUAACUAUUCAUUCAAAGAUGAAUAAAAAAUAAAAUAUGCAUUCAAUAAAAGUUAUUUACCAUGAACAUAUAACCGCUCCCUAAAUUUUAUUAAAAAAAAAAUCUAAGUACAUCCAAUUUUAUCCCACGAAUCAUCCAUAUAUAUAUAUAUAGGCUUUAAAUAAUCUCAAAAUCAUCCCCAUGUAAGAUGAGAUAAAAUUAAUUUAAUUUGAAAAGAUUUAUCUUGAAAUUUCAUAUCCAAGCAUUUUUAAAUAAACUAUUUUCAAGCCUUUAUAUGAUUUUCAAUUUUAAAUCUAUGUUUGGACUAAAAUUCUUCAUAAGCUUGCUGCAAAGUUAUAUUAUGAGAUAAUGAUAGAAGGUCUUUAAGGAUCAUAUUUGAAAUCGAACUCUUCUAUCUUGGAGCCAUGUGUUACAUCAAGUACAUAGAUAACCCAUGUAUAUCCUCCGUUUUUGUUGCUUAUAAGAUAACUAUAAAGAUAUAUACAAAGUUAAAAACUUUCAACAAUAAAACUGAUGCAUAGUCAAGUUGUGGUUUGUAGCACAAACAUUUUUGACAAAACCUCUCCAACAAAAACAAGAACAGUAGGAAACAAGAAUCACAUGUUAAAAGAAUUUCAAACUGAAUGAAAACCUGGAUAGCAGCUUCGUCUAUGUCCUCCUCUUCGACUAAAAUCUAAAGCAGUUGUGGUAGUAGGUGUGCCAACAUUAAAUACCACAUGGUUUUGGGUUGCAUAGAUAAAGAAGAAAGUUUUAGAUUACUGGAGGAGAGAUAAAUAUGAUUUCAAGUUUUAGAUAGAAACUCUUCUAUCUUGGAGCCAUGUAUUACAUCAAGUAUAUAAAUAACCUAUGUAUAUCCUACGUUUUUGUUGCUUAUAAGAUAACUAUAAAGAUAUAUACAAAGUUAAAAAUUUUCAACAAUAAAACUGAUGCAUAGUCAAGUUAUGGUUUGUCAUGGGACACAACUUGUAGCCCAAAUCAUUAUAUAUAUUAACAAUCACGACAUUUGACAUUUUUGACAAAACCUCUCCAACAAAAAUAGUAGGAAACAAGAAUCACAUGUUAAAAGAAUUUCAAACUGAAUGAAAACCUGGAUGCAGCUUCGUCUAUGUCCUCCUCUUCGACAAAAAUCUAAAGCAGUUGUGGUAGGAGGUGUGCUAACAUUAAAUACCACAUGGUUUUGGGUUACAAACACUACAACAAAACAGGCUAUUAGCGGCGCUUUUUCACAUAAACGUCGCUAAAGAGCAUGACCUCUUUAGCGGCGCUUAUAUCACAAACACCGCUAAAGAUCAUGUUCUUUAGCGGCGCUAAUUUUUCAAACGCCGCUAAAGAACAUGACCUUUAGCGGCGCUUUUUCAUACAUGCCGCUAAAGGUGAUGUUCUUUAGCGGCGCUAUUGUUACAAACGCCGCUAAAUGUCAUGUUUUUUAGCGGCGCUUUUCACCAUAAACGCCGCUAAAGACCAUGACAUUUAGCGGCGCUUUUUACCACAAUCACCGCUAAAGAACAUCACCUUUAGCGGCGCUUUUAUCACAAACGCCGCUAAAGGUAUGUUCUUUAGUGGUGCUUUACGGUAAAUGCCACUAACUUUGGCAGAUUUCUAACAUUCAUUUUCAUCCAUAUGCGACCCUUCUUGUAACAUGAAAACCAACCAAAAGCAGCAAAUUCAAAUGAUACUUCAAAUUCAACAAAAGAUAUAUAUAAAUUGAUAAAUGAAGUAUAAUUCAUAUUAUUCUUACAAUAAUGUUAAAAGUUAAAAUGCUAAAAAUAUUUAUACGGUAGUCUAAGAUGGCGAAUUUUACGACUGCUGAAACAUCUUCAUCAUAUUGUGAAGUUGUUGUUGGAGUUCGUCGUACUUUCUGCUCUGCUCUGCUUCCCUCGCUGCUGCCUCUGCUUCCCUCGCUGCUGCCUCUACUUCCCUCGCUGCUGCCUCUGCUUUAAGUUGUAGCUGGAGUGCUUCAUAUUUUCUUUGAACCUCAGCUUCUCUCGAUGUUGCCUCUACUUUAAGUUGUAGCUGGAGUGCUUCAUAUUUUCUUUGAACCUCAGCUUCUCUUGAUGCUGCCUCCUUUUUUGAUUGAGUAAUUUGCUCAACUGUGCUCGCUUGCAUCUGAGCCAUCUGGUCUCUUAACCUCUGAACUUCAGCUUGAGCCUAACUCCCCAAAGGCAUGUAUUGCUGCGAGUUGGAUCCAAAAUAUUGGGUUGGGUUAACAAAAGAUCCUUGAAAUCGAACUCGACUGUACCUUUUAGGACCCAAAACUUCAGUAAUAAUCCGGUUAUCAAUGUCAUCAAGAUGAACAAAACUAUCACUCGAAGCAAUUGUUUCGUACUCUGACUUUUUAUCAUUUAGUUUCUCCUAAUAAAUAAAUCAAAUAGUUAGAAACGCAAUAUAUAUUAUAAAAACAAAUGCAUUAUAAAAUAAACACUAUAAAUAUUUAAAACAUAUCAAAUUUUAUUAAGUAAACAUACCAUAAUAUUUGCAGCUUUAGGAGUCAUAGGAGAUCCAUCUUUCUUCCUAUGUGUAAUGUCAAAAAGCUUAAGGCGUCCAACUUUUUGACCGGAUGACAGUUCCUACAAUAUAGUAGUAAAAAUAUUAUUUAAUGGAAAGUAAUAAAUAUUUGACACUAUUAAUAAAUUCAAAAUACCUCAGCCUCAGCUACACAAGCGAAACUUUUUGACCCAACUGUGUGAGUGAAUUUCUGUUUUUGCCUGCUGCUUUUUCCAACUCGUUCACGAUCCUACAUUAUGAAAUUAUUAUUACGUAUAUAGUAAAUACUAUAAACCGAAAUAAUUAUAAGAGUUUGGAAGUACGUAAUACCUCUCCUUUCUUUGAAUUCCAAAAUCUAACCGCAUCUUCUCAUUGGUACCUCAGUAUUCCCGGCGGGACAUUUUGCAAUUUCUCUUCGAGGGUUGUUUUUGUCUUAAAAUAAUUUUUCUUUAAAGUACUUUUAUGGUCUCUCCAUCUUUUUCCCAAUGCCUUCUUGACAUAAUUAUCCAAGACCUCUAAAGCAAACCUCACCUACAAAAAAAACAAGUUUAGAAAGUAAAUAUAAAUGAAACUUAAAGCCAAGUAUUAUAAAUUACAUUAACGUUUUAUUACCUUAAUAUUAUCGAGAGCUUGAUUUUUGUUACUAUCAGGCAUUUCUUGCCAUGACUCGUAGUUGAUAGGCAACAUAUUUGCAUUUCGUGCUAUUAUGCCCAAAUAUCCUGCUAAAAGUCGAGCUUCUGAUCCAACAGGCUGACCAAAACUGUUUCUACAUACUUUGACAUGCUCGACAGGAUCUAACUCGUAUAAAUCUUUAAGUAGCGUACAUCCUCAACCUCUGCGCGUCCCACCACUUUCAGCUGAAAAAUGGUAUAUUAUAAUAUAAGAAUUUGAAAAAGAAAUCAACAAUAAGUCAACACGCAUGUAAAUUAAAUGUAAAAUUACUUUGAAUUUCUGUAGGUUCGUCAGGUGUAUUCGGAACAUUCGAAGAUCCAAUAGCAGUCUGUUGUUCACUAUUUGUUUCUUUCGAGUUUGGAGUAUUUUGAAUAAUGCUUAGAUCUCGCAAUUUUCUUCUAGGCAUUUUAUCUGCAAUACACAUAAAAUAGUUGAAAACUUAGUAACUAAUUACAACAAUAAUAGCACAUAUAAAAUAGUUGAAAUAUUUAAUAAGACCAAGAUUUAAAUUAUGAUAUUUUGUAUAAUUAAAAAACCGUAAAAUCUUACUACAUCAUAAUUCGUAAAUAUCUUCAUCCAUAUCCUGGCGAACCCAUUGAAAUUCUGUACUAGUACUAGAGAUAUUUUCGUUUAAGUUUUGUUCUGGAAAAGGAAAAAUUUCUGAUCUAUCGUCGAUGUCAUCUCUACUUCCAUUGCCCAUGUCAAACAAGUCUCUAGGGAUGUUACGGAGCACAACGUACCAACCCUCAUCAGUUGGAUCUUUUGUAUAAAAAACUUGUUUCACUUGAGAAGAAAAUACAUACGACUCAUCUAUCAAUUGUUGUCAUGUGUGAAUCAAUCGAGAGAAGUUUACCAUUGUAAAACCAAAUUGAUCUUUCUUAAUUCCACGAGCAGUAUUAACAUCAGCCCAAUCACCUCAAAAUAAGACAACUUUUCAUUUGCCGUAGUAAUCCAACUCAAUUAUGUCAAUAAGAAGUCCGAAAUACUCCACAUUUCCCUCAACAGGAUUAUUGUCCCUAGCACUAGCAUAACUUGUAAUUGAGGAAUUAACAACUAUUCCACAAUUUUGAGUUCUCCUCAAUCUCUCGCAAUAUUUUGUAUGAAAUCUGAAUCCGUUGAUGAGGAAGGCACUAUAUCUUUUAACCACUCUAUUCGAACCUUGGGAAAUCCAUUUAACUUCGUCAUUAACGUUCUUCCCACUCCAAACCUAUUGAAUCGAAAGUAAACUGAGUAAUUAUAAAUGUUAUGAGAAAACAUUAUUAUUUGUCAAUUAAAGCUUUAAUUGCAUACCGUUUGGCUUAACCAUUCAUGAAAAGAUUCUGUGAACAACUUAUUGAUCUCUUGAUGUUGUAAUCUUCGGGAGCACGAACGAGAUCUCAAGAUUUGUUUGUACUUACUAUGUUAAAAAUGUUCACUUUGUUAGAAGAUAAAACAAUUUAUAAUUGAUGAAUAUUUAUCAAAUUCUAGAACUUACUUCCGUAAUGGUUCCAUUGAAUCGUGGUGAAACAAAACAUAUCGAUGUGCUUGUACCCACGAUCUAUCAUCUAAUUCUACAAUUUCAACUUUGCCGAUUGGUUCUCCAAAACUUUGAAACAAAUAAGUUUCAGCGAAGUUAUGAUCAAUGAGCCCAGAAUUUCUACUUGGUCUGUUCAACCUUGUUUCAACACCUUCCAAAUAUCUUGAACAGAAAGUCAUACAUUCCUCUGCCAAGUAGCCUUCCGUAAUCGAUCCUUCUGGAUAACGCUUGUUGCGGCAGUAAGACUUCAAUUUGGAUAGGAACCUAAACACAAUAUACAACAUUAUCAAAACUUGUAACUAAAAGCAUAUUGGUGAAUGAAGGAAAAUUUUACAAAUAAAUUAACACCUUUCUAUGAGAUACAUCCAUCGAUAGAAAACGGGUCCACCGAGUAUUGCUGAAAACCAUAAACCAUAACCCCUAUCCUGAAAACCAUAAACCCUAGACCUUAGACACUAGAUCAUAGACCUUAAACCCUUAAACUUUGAACCCACAAACCCUAAACAAUAACCCACAAACCUUAAACCCUAAACUCUAAGCCCUCUUAUCCCUUAAACCCUAAAUUUUAAACUUAUAAAUUAUAAACCCCUAACCCUUAACCCCUAACUCUUAACCCCUAACACUUAAACCCUAAGUACUAACCCUUAAACCCUAAACCCUAAACUAUAUUUCCUAAAACUUUAACCCAUAUCCCCUAAACCUUGAAUCAUAAAACAUUAACUAUAAACCCUAAACCCCUAACCCUUAACCUCUAACACCUAAAACCUAAACCCUAACCCUUAAACCAUAAUCCCUAAACCCCUAACCCAUAUCACUUAAACCCUGAAUCAUAGAACAUAUAUAAACUAUAAACCUUAAACCCAAAAUCAUAAAACAUAUAUAAACUCUAAACUCUAAACCUUAACCCUUAAAUAAUAAACAGUAAACAAUAAACCCUAAAUCCAUAAUCCCUAAACCACUAAUACCUCUAAAGCUCAACAAAAAAAGAGCUUGUUUUGCUAAACUAUUUGCGGCGUUUUCAAAAAAGCACCGCUAAUGCUUGACUUCUACGGCGUUUUUCUAAAAGCGCCAUUAAUGUGUCUAAAGUUAAAAAAAAAUGUCGUCGUUCGCUUAAAAACUUCUGCGGCGCUACCCAAAAGGCGCCGCUAGUGCUUGACUUUUGCGGCAUUUUCUAGAAAGCGCCACUAAUGUCUCUAAAGCUAAAAAAUAAAACGAUGUCGUUUGCUUAACACUUUUGCGGCGCGUUAGGGAAAGCACCGCUACUGCUUGACUUUUGCGGCGUUUUUUGAAAAGGCCACUAAUGUCUCUAAAGCUUAACAAAAAAACGACAUCGCUUGCUUAAAACUUUUGCGGCGCUUUUUGCUAAUACUUGACUUUUUGCGACGUUUUCUAAAAAGUGCCACUAAUGUCUCUAAAGCUAAAAAAAACGAUGUCGUUUGCUUAGAACUUUUGCAGCGCUUUUGAGAAAGUGCCGCUAAUACUUGACUUUUGCGGCGUUUCUUGAAAGCACCACUAACGUCUUUGAAGCUCAACAAGUAAACAACAUCGUUUGGCUUAACUCUUUUGCGACGCUUUUGAGAAAGCGCCGCUAAUGCUUGACUUUUAUGGCUUUUUUUAAAGGCACCACUAAUGUCUUUGAAGCGCAACAAGAAAACGACAUCAUUUGGCUUAACUCUUUUGCGGUGCUUUUAGGGAAGCGCCGCUUUUGCUUAUAUUUUGCGGCGUUCAUUUAAUUUCGCCGCGAAUGCUCGAUUUGUUGUGGCGUUUUUGUUUAAAACGCCGCUAUGAACGCUACUAAAAGCCUGUUUUGUUGUAGUGAAAGAUAAAGAAGAAAGUUUUAGAUUACUGGAGGAGAGAUAAAUAUGAUUUCAAGGUCAAAUUUUCUCAUCUCAAAAUUUUUUUAAUUUUAUAGAAUGAAUAUAUUUAAUUAUUUUAAGUUUAUUCCUUGUAUUUAAUUACUUUUGCAAUGCUAUUGUGUAUUUUACUUGCGAAUAAACAGAUAAUAUAUAUUUUCUCAUUAUUUUUUUAUUGUAUUUGCAAUUGGGUAAACCUAUAAUUUAGUCUUAAAGUUGUACCCAAUCAUUAUUUUGGUACUUAAAUUUGCAUUUUAUCAAUUUGGUAUCUAAAGUUUCAAAACAUUAUUUCCAUUGCUCCAAGACUUAAUUACAUUUAAAAAAACUGAUGUGGCACGCUCUCAACAAGUUACUUCAAUUAAAAAAUAAAAAAAAUUAGAAAAAUCUUAAGUUUUUUAAGAAAAUCAGAAAAAAAGUAUAAAAAUUUCCAAAACAUUUUAGAGCGACAUGGCUAGUUGGGAGCACGUCAUAUUAGUAAUUCUUUAAAUAUCAAAGUGAUAAAUUAUUUGUGACGAUUAGCAAAGUAAUAAUUAGACAUAAGUUUGAAAACUAAAAUAUGGUUGAACCCUUUGCAAUUUGCUAAUAUCAUAUGAUGUUGAAAUUUCUUAUUUUAUAACAAAAUGUGAUAAUUACAUUUUAGAAAUUACGGUUAUAAGUAUACAUUAUUAAAUUAAUUUUAAAAAUAUAUUUAUUUUAAAUUCAGAUUACAUUUCAAGAUUUUGAGUUCGGGUUAGAUGAAUUUAAGUUAUUGCAUUUUUUAUAGUUAAAUUCAAGUUAAUGCCAUCAUAAUUUUUUAGGUGUUCACUUGAACCCAAAUCUCUCAUGUCGAACUGGUCUUAUUUACUCGACCUUUGUAAUUUGCGAUUCUGUUUUCCUUGAAAGCCUUCUUUACUAUGGUUUGCCAUUGACAUUUUGGUGAUUGAGAUCAUGCUCCAAAGCCUCAUAAUAUAUGCAUAUUUGAAGGAUAAAUCUCCUUUGAAGGAGUAAUUCCAACCCCACCUAUCAAUUUAUGUUAGAAUAUUUUACUUAAUUUUAUAAUACAAAAUUAAAUAAUAUUAUAUAUUUAAGGUAAUUAUUUGGUUAUUAUAUUUAGUAAAAAAAUAAAUAUAAAAAAAUUUCUCAAAGGUCCUUAGUAAACAUUAAUUUCGUCUCUACGAUGGUUGUGAUUUAUUGGAAGUUCUUUAAGCAUAUAGUGUUAGCAUAAAUAAUGGCUUCUAAUAGAAAGCAACAGAAAAGAUCGAAUAUAAAUAGCUCCAGCCAUUACUGGAGCCAAAUGCCAAAAUCCAAAUGUUGUUACACCACUGUCAAGCAUGUCGAAUUUAGCUGUACGAAAAACUGAAAAUCGAUUAUGUAACAGCCCGAUUCUGGGUCUAGUCGGAAUAGUGGUUUCGGGACCACAAAUCCGACGAGAGAAAAUAUGAUUAUUAUUAUAUUUUCAUGGUCUACAAUUUUACGGAAAAAUUUCGUAAAAAUUUCGUUCGAAAAUUUCGACGUCUGGGCACUCAAUUUAGUCAAAAGGACUAAAUUGUAAAAAGUGAAAAAGUUGAGUUCUACAUGGUAGAAGUGUCUAAUUGUUAUGAAAUUAUAAAUUGGGGGUCCUUAUAUGGUAAUUAGACCAUUAGUUAAUUGAUGGACAAAAAUAGACAUAAGAAAUGAGUGAAAUAGAUUUUUUUUAAAUGGGGGCAUUUUAGUCAUUUAGUAAUAAAAAGAAUUAAAAAGGGAAAAAGAUGGCAAAAUGUGCUCAUCUUCUUCAUGGUGAACGAAAUCAGCAAGAGGAAGCCAUAGUUAUGGUUUUUAAGCUUCCAAGCUCAAUAGUAAGUGAUUCCAAGCCCCGUUUUUAAUGUUCUUUACAUUUUUGGAGUCCCGGUAACUUAAUUUAGCUUAUUCUAUCAAUAAUUCGUGUUAGGGUUCAUAUUUGGAAAAAUACCCAUAGGUGAAAUGUGUUUUUUUGCUGUUUUAUGGUGGAAUAUGAAGCUAGAAAUUAUGUUAAACAACGUUUUCUAAGCGAUUUUAAACGAAAACGGGUAAAUUGACAUAAUCGGUAAAAAUAUUUAAUGUUCAAAAGUAUGUGUUAGAGUGAGAAUUUGAUGUUUCUAUAGAAGGGAAAAAUGUUCAGCAUGUCAUAAAACCUAAGAAUAAGUGAUGAAGUUUAAUUUCCGAGCUUAGGGACAAAAGUGUAAAUAUGUAAAAGUUUGAGGGCAAAAUUGUAAAUUUUCAAAAAGUUGGGUGGAGGAUUAUUUUAAUAAAUGUGAACAUUAAACGAGUUAAAUUUGCUAUUAUAGAUCAAGAGAGACGGGAAGAUUAUCUCAAACGAGGAAAAGAAAAGAUAGUGGAGUGAAUUGCAAAAUUACGAUAUUUUGCACCGAGGUAAGUAAACAUGUGACUUAAUGUAUUAUUUUGAUAUUAUUUGAUUUGUGUUGAGAUUUAUUUGAAUAUAAAAUAAAUGUUUGGCAAGAUUCCAAAAAUGUUGUUAAAUUGGGAAAGGUGGUAAGGGGUUGCAAAACACGGUUUUUGGUUGAACACUCGGAAUAGGUCGAAGCAUAUUGCAUAUAAAGGGGUUGCUGUGUGUUGAUUCCCCGAUUCAUUGGUGGUUGCUAAGUGCUGAUUCCACCGCAUCUGAAAUGUGAAGGGGAUUGCUAAGUGCUGAUUCCCCCAACGGGUUGCUGUGUGCUGAUUCCCCGAUUCAUUGGUGGUUGCUAAGUGCUGAUUCCACCGCAUCUGAAAUGUGAAGGGGGUUGCUAAGUGCUGAUUCCCCCAAGGGGUUGCUGUGUGCUGAUUCCCCGAUUCAUUGGUGGUUGCUAAGUGCUGAUUCCACCGUAUUUUAAAUGUGAAAGGGGGUUACUAAGUGCUGAUUCCCCCGAGGGGUUGCUAAGUGCUGAUUCCCCUAUUCAUUGGUGGUUGCUAAGUGCUGAUUCCACCGCAUCUGAAAUGUGAAGGGGGUUGCUAAGUGCUGAUUCCCCCAAGGGGUUGCUGUGUGCUGAUUCCCCGAUUCAUUGGUGGUUGCUAAGUGCGGAAUCCACCGAUAACGGUUAACAUUCUGAGUGUUCAACGAGUAAAUUGGGAAGCUGAAUAUUCAUAUAUGUGGUGGACAAGUUUAUGGGAGGGAUAUUGGGUUUGAUACUUAAUCAACCCAUGUAUAAGAUGAGAGGAAAAUCAAAAAUACAAAAAGAGACAAUUUGAAUGCAAAACUGUUUUGAAUGACAGCAGUUGGGCAACUAUGAAAAAUCACUAUAAAUGGUGGGAAAUGAAUUAGAGGUUAAAUAAUAUAUGAAAUUAAAGCUGAAUGAGUCUAUUUUCAUAUGAAAGAAAUAGAGCAAGCAAAAGAGUUGUAUUUUUGGAGAUAUUUGAAUUUUACUGAGACAGGGCUGGAUUGAUUUCGAAAUCCCCUGUUCUAACUUUGGAAAAUCACCAAAAAUUAUAAAAAAAUAAUUAUGACUUGAAAUGUAUAUUCCUGGAUUCCUUUUUGAGUCUAUUUUUAAUAGAAACAAACGAGAACAUUGUUUGAAACUUUUACAGAUAGUUAUGUGAAUUUUUGUAAGGGAAGGUCAGGACUGUCGGGUAGUGAAAUAGGGGAAGCUUUAAAGAAUAAACUGUACUAAUUUGCUUGACAAAAAAUUCUGAAAAUUUUAUGAUAGAAAUAUAUAUGGGUAUAGUUUCAGGGAAAAUUUACAAAAUUCAAUUUGGAGCCCUGUAUCUCCGGAUAAAAAUAAAUUUGUGGUCAUGACGCAGAAAACCAGCUUGCUGGAAAUUACACAAACAAUGAAAUUUAUUUGUGAAUAAAUUUAUACUAUGGUGUAGUCAUGUGAGAAAUUUAUUUAUUUGUCAUAUGUUUACUUACUAAGCUAUAUGCUUACUCGUUUUUAUUUUUCCCUGGAUUAUAGUGAUUUCCAUCAACUCGGAAUUGAGACGGAGUCAGACAAUCAUCUACACUAUCAUCCACGUUUGGGUAUUUUGCUACUAGUAUUCCGGAAAUUAUGACAUGUAUAGAUGACUUAUGUAAUGGGGCGUCACCAUGUAAAUAUAUGUUAUGGUUCGAUUUAAAAUGUAGUGUUUAUUAAUGGUUAAAUUGUGUAUGUUUAUACAACUGAACUUGGUUGGAAUAUUGAAUUGUGUUUGAAAACUUGCAGGAGGUUUAAGCAAAAAUAAGCAGAAAUGCUGUCGAAAUUUUUUUAAAAAUUUAGUAAUACCUCAUACUCUAUUCCGAUCAGGAAUGCGGGUAAGGGGUGUUACAGAUUAAGUCUUCUAAGCACUCGAAAACCUCACUAGAUGAUGUAUAUAAUUCUUUAUCUUUCAAAUGAAAUUGCUUUAGUUUUUUUUUUUGUGCUUAACGACCUUAUGCUAGUUGGUAUUUAUAGUGGUGGUUCCUUAUAAAAAACACCAACUACACAUCCCACUAUCUCACAUACAAACCUGUGAAAGUUGAGGACAACAAAAGUGGGAAUGGGCAGCAAAACAUGAAGGUUAUUCCUACGAACCAAUAAUGGUUCCAACACUUUCCCACUUGGUUUGUAUUGCCAUGAGUACUUAAAGUCAAAAAAUAGUGCACAAAUCAUGGCGAUAUUUUCUCUUAGAAUUUGACUAGUAUCUUCCAUGUAUCACAAUAUAUCAUGUCUCAACGCUUUAGCCCAAGUUUUUUAAUAAAUAAACCCAAUGUUUAUUCCAAGUUCAAACUUUAGUGAUAGUUCUCGAAAUAAUCAAAUUAAAGUGUGCACAAAAUUUGCAUCAAAUUUGAGACACAUCAAACUUAAUAGAGUUUCUUUAUAAUCAUUUUUAUAACGAAAUUUACAAUGUGGGAACAAGUCCCAUAGUGACAACAUGAUCCUUAAAUUUGUGUGGUGGCAUGCCUUUAGUCAAAUGAUCAACUAACAUCUGCUCAGUGUUAAUGUGAUCAAUGAUCACUUCUUUUCUUUAACACAUUCCCUUAUGGCUAAAUACUUAAUGUCGAUAUGUUUAUUUCAACUUCCACUUUUAAUGUUCUUAGCCAUAAAUACAACACUUGAAUUGUUACAAUAUAUCAUUAAUACCUAGAAAUCGAAUCCUCAAGUCUAAACCCAAAAAUGAAUGAACCAUACUCCAUGUGAGGUAGACUUAAAACAUGACAUGAACUCAGCCUCCAUAGUGGAAGUAGUAGUUAAGGUUUGUUUGACACUCUUUCAAGAUAUAGCUGCGCCAGCAAAUAUAAAUAUGUAACCUGAUGUUAAUUUACAUGAAUCAACACAACUGAUAAAGUCUGAAUUGGAGUAGCCAAUCACCUCCAAAUUGUUUGAUCGUUUGUACACAAGCAUGUAGUACUUUGUCCAUUUAAAAUAUCUCAAAACUUUAUUUGCAGCUCUUCAGUGGUCAAUACCUGAAUUACUCUGAUAUCUUCCCAACUUCCAACUGCAAAUGCAAUGUCAGGUCUUGUGCAGACUUGAACAUACAUCAAGCUUCCAACAGCAAAAGCUUAUGCAAUGUUUUUCAUCUGCUUCCACUCAAAUUUUUUCUUUGGGCACUGGUUUAAAUUAAAUUUAUCACCUUCCAUGAUAGGAGCAACACUCAGUGAAUAAUCUUUCAUUCGAAAUCUUUCUAACACUUUGUUGAUGCAGGUUUCUUGAGAUAAACUUAAGAUACUGCGAUGCCUAUCACGAUGAAUCUUAAUGCCAAUGACAUAAGACGCAUCACCCAUAUCUUUCAUAUCAAAAUUUUUAGAAAGAAAUUGUUUCACCUCAUAUACCAUGUCCCUGUCAUUUGUUGCAAGUAUAAUGCCGUCCACAUAUAAAAUAAGGAAACAUAUUUUACUCCUAUUAACCUUUUGGUAUAUGCAUUGAUCCAUAAUAUUCUCAAACAAACCAAACGGAGAUAUUACUUCAUUGAAUUUUAAAUACCAUCGUCGGGAGGCUUGUUUCAAUCCAUAUAUAGACUUCUUCAGCUUGCAUACCAAGUGUUCACCUUCACUAGAGGAGAAUCAUUCAAGUUGUUUAAUGUAUACCACUUCCUUUAGGUCACCAUUGAGAAAUGAAAUUUUCACAUCCAUUCGAUGCAACUCAAGGUCAAAGUGAGCUACUAAUGCUAACACAAUGCACAAUGAAUCUUUCUUAGAUACAAGACUAAAAGUCUCAGUAUAAUCGAUCCCUUCUUGCUGAGUGAAUCCUUUCCCAAUGAGUCAAGCUUUAUGUCUUUCCAUGUUACAUAUUAAGUCUAUUUUUGUUUUGAAGACUCAUUUACAUCCAAUGGCGUUUACACCUUUAGGAAAUGACAAAAGAUCCCAAACAACAUUAUUUUUGAUGGAAUAGCAUUGUACCACAAUUUUGACUCUUUGCAACUAAUGGCUUGUGAAAAUGAUUCAGGAUCAUUCUCAGCUUUAAUAUUAUAGUCAAACUCUUACAGAUACACAAUAUAGUCAUUAGAAAUUGUUGAUUUCCUUUCCCUAGUAGACCUUCUCAAUAUUGAACCAACAUUUUCUCGUGGAUCAUGUUGUUUAGCUGAUAGUUCAAUAAUUUUUGAAUUUUCUUGAACUGCUUGAUCUACUAGAGUGUUUUCACCUGCUUGUGGAUUUUCAUUGAUUGGUUGUUCAACACCUGGUUGAGCUUGAGAGGUGUUAUGUAUGAUAACUAAUCUCACUUAAAGUGGAAGGUUAACUUACAAGAAUUGUGUCUCGAGACAGAUCGCUCCCACUGAUUAAGUCAUUCGCAAGAGAUUUUGCAUUUCUUGAUUCCAUAAUACCUAGUGUUUUAUAAACUAAAACAAUACCUAAAAGGUGCAAGUCUUGAAAUAGAAACUAAAUUUCUAGAAAAAUUGGGAAUAUAAAAAUUCUUUUCUAAAAUUAAAAUAAAGUCACUGCUAAGCACUAAUUCGCAUGUUCCAAUUGCUUCCACAUGCGACUCCAUCUUAUUUCUUGAAUAGAUGUGUCGCUCAGCUUCCACUGGUUCCCUCAGGUUUCUUAAUCUUUGUAAGGAAUUUGAUAUAUGAAUUGUAGAACCAGAAUCAGUCCACCAUGUGUUAUAACUGACAUCAACCAUAUUGGACUCAAAUCAAACAAGUGAGAUUGAUUUACCUUUAUUUUCAAGUCAGGUCUUAAACGUUACACAGUCUUUUUUUUAAGUGUCCCUUCUUUUUACAGAAAAAACACUUGGACUCUUUCUUUAUGUCAGUUUGGGGUUGCAUUUUGGCCUUCCCCUUUUUCUUGGCUUGGGCUGUCUUCUUUCCUUGAGUAAUCGACAAUGCACUCUCUCCCUUCUCCAGUAUGAGUCUAGCCUCUUCCUGAUCACACAUGGUCAAAAUCUCAUCGAUAGAACACUUAUCCUUGUGUGUUAUAGGAGAUCUUAAAUUGCUCGUACUGAGGUGGAAGAGUGUUCAAUAUAAUGUGCACCAAGAAAGAUUCAGACAUUUCAACCUCAACUGCUCUCAGUCGAGCUGCUAAAUCUCUCAUCUUUUUUAUAUGAUCAUGUACACCUUUCACGGUAGUGAGCUUCAUUGAUGUGAACUUCAUGAUUAGGGUGCUAGUUAAUGACUUUUGUGAAGUUUUGAAUUAUUUUUCAAUAGUUUUUAAUAAUUCUUGGACAUUCUCAUAAUGCUCAAUUGAGCCACAAACAUCAAUCAGAACCUUACUCUUUAUGAACAUGAUUGUAACAGCUCGAUUUUGACCCUAUUCGAAAUGGUGGUUUCGAGACCACGAAUCUGAGCCAGAGAAAUAUUUUAAAAUUUAUUUUUGGUGUUUAUACCGUGUGAAUUUGUGUAUGCCAAAUUUUCGGUUUGGAAUUUUAUCGUUUGAAUGUCUGAUUUAUUAAAACAACUUAAUUGUGUAAGUUAUGAAAGUUGCUAACUAUUUAUUAAAGUGUUAAUUUGCUAUUGUCUUUAUAGUGUGGGGUCCUUAAAAGGAAAUUAUUCCAUAAUUAAAAGAAUUGGACAUAUAUAAGUUUAUUUUAUAAUGAUUUUACAUUAAAUAAUAAAUGUUAAAUUUGUAAAUAUAUUAAAUAUAUUAAUAAAAUAUAUAAAAACAUGUAUUAGUUCAUCUUUAUUUUUUUAUUGACCGAAUAUAGCUAAAGAAAAGGAGAAAGAAAAGGUUUAAGGUUUCGGCGCUUUGAAGCUUGAAUUUAGGUAUGUGUUUAGCUCAUUUUUUUUGUUAAUUUUUACGGUUUUGAUAUCGUUGCUUCGAAUACUACUCGACCCAUGCUUGAAUUUUUAAAUUUGGUAAUGAUUUUGUAUUUUUGUCAUUGUUGAAAGCUUGUGACUUUUGUUUUAGAAGUUAGAAAAUAAAAGAAAUGAGGUAGAUAAACAUAUGUUGUAUUUGAAUUUUUGAUGAUUUUGAGUAAUUAGAGCUAAAUUGCAAAAAUAAUAAAUUGAGGGACUAAAAUGUGAAAUAAAUGAAAUGUAUGGACUUAUAUGAGCUUAGUGAAUAUUCGACCAAGCUAUUGUGUAAUGAAAUUUUGUUUAUUUUGUAUUUUGUGAAAUAGGGACUAAUUUGUAAUAAAUGUGAAAUGUUAGGGGUAAAAGUGUAAUUUACCUAUUUAUGUGUUUAUGGAUGAAUUUGAUGGAAUAUAUGAUUAAAUAAGCUUAAAUUAUACAAAUUUAGAUCAAGAAAAGAGGAAAUUGGAAUUGGAUCAGGGGAAUUUCUGCCUCACAAUCCGUGCGACCUUAGGUAGUCUCUUGUUUCCAAAAAGGCCUAAGUUAGCCUAACUCCCACGAGUUGAGGAUUCAAUAGAAUUCCCCUUUGAAAACUAACACAAACGAAAGCCACUCAAAGAUAAAACAAAGAUGAACAAAGAACGAUAUAAGAACAAGCCACAAAAUACCAAGAACACAAGAGAGAAGAGUUGGAGAAAAUACUCUCAAGAAUUCUUAUUACUCUGCCAAAACUUCUGUGAUUUACAAAUGAGGGGAGAGGCCUCUAUUUAUAGUAGAGCCUCCCCAAAUCCAACGGUACAGAUGGAAUAGUCAUCCCGGUUCAUCCGUCUUCGUCCGAGGUAAGUCUAUAAGCACAUAAAUGUUGUUAACUUUAAAUAAUUGUGAAUUUGAAAUGUUGAAUUGAAUUUAUGUGUAUAUAAAUAUGAGAUAGCCGAAUGUAUAUGUAUAUGUAUAUAGAAAUAAUAUGUAUAAGUUUGAUUCGAUCGAAAUACGACGUACGAAAGUCCUAAGUGAACCAAAGGAAUUCCGAUAAGUGUUAUUGUGUAAGACCCUGUGUGGGAUAGCGACAUCAAUUUGUAAUUGUGAGUAAGACCCUGUGUGGGAUAGCAUCAUCGCUAUGUGAUUACAUGUAAAACCACGUGUGGGACAUUGGCACUAUACGAUAAAUAUGAUUAUUCGAGUAUUCUAUUUAGUUUUGAAUGGUUCAGCAGGCAUGUAAUGGCCUAAAUUCAAGGUUAUCGAAACAGUGGUUUCGUAGCCACAAAUUUGAUUUAAAGAUAAAUUUAUUUUAAUAUUUUUGCAUGAAUAUUGAUAUCAUAGGAAAAUCGUAUGAAAAUAUAGAUAGAAGAAUUUUACCGAUUUAGUGGUUAGUUAGAAAAAGAAAUUAUUGAAGAAAUUGAGUAAAAACAAGGUAUUGAGACCUCGAUCCCGUAAAAUCAAGUCACAAAUAUUUUUAUAAAUAUUUAUGAAGUGUUAGUAAUAUGGUAUUAAAUUUUUGUUAGAAAAUUUCUACGUUUGGGUAGUUAAUUAAGUGAAAAAGAGUAAAUUGAAAAGGGUGUAAAAGUUACUAGAAGGAUUAAAUAAUUCAAUUGUUAAAUGAGAAGAGACAUAAAUUGCAAAUAAGCCCAAAAUGAGAUAUUUUGGGCGGCCUAAGCUAAGAAAAAUCAGGAGAAUUGGUGAAAUAAGGGUAAAAUGGGAAACUAACAAAUUUUACUAACAUAAAAAUAUGACCAAAUUGGAAUAUCUAGAAUUCUCUUCAUAUUUUCUUCAUUAUCAUCAGCCAAAAAACGUCCUAGGGGUUUAUUCAAGCCAGUACUUCAUAAUUUUUGCACCAAGUGAGUUAAUCCUUGCCUUUUUCUUAUAAUUUUUGUGUUUCUAAGACUUUUACAACUAGGUCCUAUUACUAAAUUCAUUAGUUUUUGAUUUUAUGAAUGAAAUUGAAAGUUUCUAUGAAUAUGUGCUGGAAGUUUAUGAUGAAAUAGCAUGAAAUUGAAGCUUUAAUUUGUUUAUGAGAUGAUUUUAUUAGGUAAUUUCAAUAGAAAUUGAUUUGUAGGACCUAAUUGUGAAAAAGUUUGGGAUCAAAGUCUAGUGCUAAAAUUCUAAUUUCCAAAGGUUAUAAAGUAGUUUAAAGUGAUAGAAUAAAGUGUUAAUUGAGAAAAAUCAGGUCAAUUAAGAGGUUAAUUGAGCAGGGAUGAAAUUAUCAAUUAUUGAAAGCUUAAGGGAAAAAUGGUAAUUAACACCAUGCACUAAAACAGUUUGGACAGCAACAGUAGGUUAACUUUGAAAAAUCACCAUAAAAUUGUGUAAAUUGAAUUAGAGGAUGAAAAAAAUAUUAAAAUAAAGCUUAUUGAGUCUGGUUUCUUAUAAAAGAAACGGUGUAAGCAAUGAAAUUGUAAAUCAUGAGAUAUAAUAGAUUUUGUGAGACAAUGUCAGAAUGAAUUCGGGUUCCCCUGUUCUGACUUUGGAAAAUUAUCAAAAAUUGGAGAAAAAUAAUUAGGGGCUUAAAUUUAUAUGUUUAAAAUACUUAAUGAGUCUAUUUUCAAAAUAAACAAACGAGAACAUCAUCUGAAUUCUGUACAAUGAGAUAAUUAAUUUUUAGUGAAGAGGGGUCAGAACUGUCGAACAGUGAAAUAGGGGAAACUUUAAAGAAUAAACUGUACUUAUUGGCUAAACCAAAAAUUCUGAAAAUUUUAUGGCUAAACCAAAAAUUCUGAAAAUUUUAUGGUAAGAAGAUAUGUGAGUCUAGUUUCAGGGAAAAUUAGCGGAUCUUAAUUUGGAGUUCUGUAGCUCAAGAUAUAAAUAAUUUAGUGAUUAUGACUCAAUGAGACAGAUUUGAAUGCACUAUAAAUAAUAAUGGAAUUAUAGAGAAUGUUAUAUAUGAACAUGAAAUGUAUUAGAUUAAUGAUUAAAUUUAUUUAUUUAGAUCCAAAAAAUUCAAAUACGAAGCUAGAUCGAGGAAAAGAAAAGGUUUGGGAUUAGUAGAUUUUUGUUUACGAACAAGUAUCGAGGUAAGUUCGUGUAACUUGAAUUAUAUUCUUAAAUGCUUGAAAUAUAUUUUUCUUGAUGUGAAUAUGAUUCGGAUGUUUUAAAAAAAUUCUUAUGAAUUCGAUAUAGUCUCGGUUUAUUCCCGAUGUAUGUUUUGGGCAUUGGAGGUCCAUCCAAGGGAUGUCAUGACAUGUUUCGAAAAAUGAAUAUUAUUUAACUCGUAAUAAUGGAAAGUUAAUUUUGUAAAAUUUGGUAAUGCCUCAUACCUUAUUCCGGCUGCGAAUACGGGUAGGAGGUAUUACAUUUGUUGGUAUCAAAGCUACGGUUUAGUCGGUUCUCACACCGACGUAACAAAUACGAGAUUAGCUAUACAUGCCAUUUAAAUUAUUAUUGAUAGUAAAUGCCUGCCGAUCGAGCUCAACCCGAGGAAGCCAGGAGUCAUGCUCCGGCUUCAGAACAAAGAGAAUUUGAAGCUACUAGUAGUAGAAGGUACUAGAGAAUGAGCCAAAGUGAAGAGGCUAAAAUGGCCUUCUAUCAAAUGAUGAAUGAAUGGUUUACUAAGUAUAGAAAAACUAACCCUGUAGUGCAGUAAGCUCAAGCUCCUCCUCCUCCUCCCCCACCGGUUCUCGAGAUUCCACAGGGUACAUGUACUGAAUCUAUCAAAAAAGGAAAAGCUCCAGUUGAUAAAAUAAGAAAAUAUGGGGCUGAAGAAUUCAGAGUCGCACUUGAUGAUGAUCCCGAACGGGCUGAGUUUUGGUUAGAAAAUACUACUCGGGUUUUAGAGGAAUUAUCUUGCACACCAGAAGAGUGUUUGAAAUGUGCAAUACCAUUGCUAAAAAAUACAGCUUACCAUUGGUGGACUACUAAAACUUCAAUUGUUCUGAAAAAACAAAUUACAUGGGAAUUCUUUAAGACCGAGUUUAGAAAGAAAUAUAUCAGUCAGAGGUUCCUCGAUCAGAAGAGAAAAGAAUUUCUUGAGCUGAAACAGGGUAACAGAUCAGUACUUGAGUAUGAAAAAGAAUUUGUCCGAUUGAGUAAAUAUGCUCGGGAAUGGGUACAAUUAGAAGCCGAAAUGUGCAAACGAUUCAAAGAAGGGUUGAAUGAAGAAAUUAAGCUAUUGAUCGGAAUUCUUGAAAUUCGAGAGUUUGCUACCCUUGUAGAGCGAGCUUAUCAAGCAGAAGAACUGAGCAAAGAAAAGAAACAGGUUGGGAGGGAAGCUCGAAUUCUUUGUAAAAGACCGAUGGGAAAAUCUCAGUUUUCUACCUCAAAGAUUGAAGAAAUUCCAGGAUUGCUCUACCUCAGCUACUAGGUAUUCUGGUAGAGAGCGAGGUUUUCAACGCACUAAUCCAAGACCUUCCACUCCAUCAGUGACCAGUGUUGGCAGUGUUGGUACCCCUAAGCCGAGAUGCCAGUACUGUAAUAAAACUCAUUUUGGAAAAUCUCGAUUAAAGAGCGGGGCUUGUUACCGAUGUGGUUCUUUUGAUCAUUUCCUCAGAGAUUGUCCAGAAAGGGGUGAAAAAGAAAUUGAACAGAUAUCAAAGCCGAGUAAUCUAGUUUCGAGGGGUAGACCACCUCGACCAUCUGGUAAUGUCAGUGGUAGUCGAUGAGCUACAAAAGAUACUGUAGGCAGGCCUGAGGCGCGAGCACCUGCUAGGACAUAUGCCAUCCGUGCUAGAAAAGAUGCGUCAGCACCCGAUGUUAUUACUGGUAGAUUUUCUUUACUUGAUACUGACAUUACUUCAUUGAUUGAUCCUGGCUCUACACAUUCAUACAUAUGCACAAAAUUAGUAUGUGUUAAAAAUUUAUCUGUUGAACCUACUGAAUUUGUGGUUAAAGUCUCGAACCCCCUGAGCCAGUUUGUGAUAGUGGAUAAAGUUUGUAAAAAUUGUCUAAUGAUGGUAAAAAGUAUUUGUUUUCUAGUUGACUUGAUGUUAUUGCCUUUUGAUGAGUUCAAUGUGAUAUUGGGUAUGGAUUGGCUAACUCAACAUAAUGCAGUAGUAAACUGCAGACAGAAAUAUAUUAUGCUGAAGUGUCAGAAUGGAUAAUUACUUUGGGUUAAAUCUGAUCAGACAGAAGAAUUAUCUAAUCUGAUUUCGGUUAUGACAGCUCAGAGGUGUGUCAGAAAAGGGUAUGAUGCUUAUUUGGCAUAUGUGUUAGACUCUAAGGUAUCUGAGUCAAAGAUACAGGCAGUGCCAUUUGUAUGUGAAUUUUUCGAUGUGUUUCUAGAGGAAUUACCAGGGUUGCCACUAGAAAGAGAAGUGGAAUUUUCUAUAGAUUUGAUUCCGGGAACUACUCCAAUCUCCAUAGCUCCGUAUCAUAUGGCUCCUACGAAAUUAAAGGAGUUAAAGACACAGUUGCAAGAACUUGUUGACAGGGGUUUUGUUCGGCUAAUUCAUUCACCUUGGGGUGCUCCAGUUCUAUUUGUGAAAAAGAAGGACGGGUUCUUAAGAUUAUGUAAUGAUUACCAACAGCUCAACAAAGUCACUAUAAAGAAUAAGUACCCAUUGCCUCGAAUUGACGAUCUGUUUGACUAGUUGAAGGGUGCCACUGUAUUUUCAAAGAUUGAUAUCUGAUCGGGCUACUAUCUAUUACGGGUAAAAGAGUCAGAUGUACCGAAAACAUCUUUUAGAACUAGGUAUGGGCAUUUUGAGUUUCUAGUUAUGCCGUUUAGGCUGACUAAUGCACCUACAGUAUUUAUGGAUCUGAUGAAUCAGAUAUUUAGAUCGUACUUAGACAGGUUCGUGGUAGUUUUUAUUGUCGAUAUCUUGGUCUAUUCCCGAGAUGAAAAUGAGCAUGUAGAACAUUUGAGAAUUGUGUUGUAAAUUCUGCGAGAGAAGCAGCUAUAUGCUAAAUUUAGUAAAUGUGAAUUUUGGCUUCGAGAAGUGGGUUUUCUCGGACAUAUUGUAUCCACAGAAGGUAUCAGGGUAGAUCCGAGUAAAGUCUCAGCAAUUGUCAAUUGGAGUCUACCGAAAAAUGUAUCCGAAGUUAGAAGUUUCUUGGGUUUAACUUGUUAUUAUCGGAGAUUUGUACAGGGGUUCUCUAUGAUAGCUUUUUCGAUGACCCAUUUAUUAUAGAAAGAUGUUAAAUUCGAGUGGUCUGAUGAAUGCCAGCAGAGUUUCGAUCGAUUGAAAGAUUUGUUAACGAAAGCACCUAUGUUGGUACAGCCUGAACCGGGUAAAGAAUUUAUUAUUUAUACUGAUGCAUCAUUAAAUGGUUUAGGUUGUGUCUUGAUGCAAGAAGGUAAAGUUAUAGUCUAUGCUUCGAGACAACUUAAGACACAUGAAAGAAAUUACUCGGUGAAUGAUCUUGAAUUAGCUGCCAUUGUAUUUGCAUUAAAAAUAUGGCGGCAUUACUUGUAUGGUGAGAAAUGUCAUAUUUUUACUGAUCAUAAAAGUUUGAAAUAUCUAAUGACACAGAAAAAUCUGAAUUUGAGACAGUGUAGGUGGCUUGAAUUGAUAAAGGACUAUGAUUUGAUUAUUGAUUACCAUCCGGGUAAGGCUAAUGUUUUUGCUGAUGCUUUAAGUCGAAAAUCUCUGUUUGCUUUGCGAGCUAUGAAUGCCCGAUUGUCUUUGGUUGAUGAUGGUUCAGUCGUAGCUGAGUUGAGAGUUAAACCGACAUUUCUACAACAAAUAUAUGAAGCUCAGAAAAAUGAUGAGAAGCUACAGGCUAAACGGGUACAAUGUGAGUCAGGUAAUGAUUUAGAAUUUUAGUUGGGACUGAUGGUUGUUUAUUAUUCAGAGGCAGAGUAUAUGUACCAAAGAAUUCAGAGCAUGUAUAGAAGAUUUUACACGAGGCACACAGUGGUAUUAUGUCCGUACAUCCGGGAGGUAAUAAAAUGUAUAAUGAUUUGAAAAAAUAUACUGGUGGCCAAGUAUGAAACAUGAUAUUUCUGAGUUUGUAUCAAGAUGUCUGAUAUGUCAACAAGUCAAAGCAGAACAUCAGGUACCUUCAGGAUUGCUCUAUCCAAUUACUAUACCGGAAUGGAAAUGGGAAAGUAUUACUAUAAAUUUUGUGUUGGGAUUACCAUUGUCACCAAAGAAGAAAGAUUCCAUUUGGGUGAUCGUUGAUCGAUUAACAAAAUCAGCAUAUUUUAUCCCGGUACGUAUAGAUUAUUCUCUAGAUAAUGUGGCUGAACUGUAUAUAUCUGAGAUUUUCAGGCUACAUGGUGUGCCAAUCUCUAUUAUCUCUGAUAGAGAUUCCCGUUUUACAUCUCGUUUCUAGGACAAAUUGCAAGAAGCCUUGGGUACUCAAUUGCAUUUCAGCACUGCAUUUCAUCCGCAGACAGAUGGCCAAUCUGAGCGUGUAAUUCAGGUACUGGAAGAUAUGCUCCGAUGUUGAAUAUUAGAGUUUGAAGGUAAUUGGGAGAAGUAUCUACCUUUGAUUGAAUUUUCUUACAAUAACAGUUAUCAGUCCAGUAUUAAAAUGGCUUCGUAUGAAGCUUUGUAUGGUAAAAAAUGUAGAACAGCGUUAUAUUGGACAGAGCUCAGUGAAAAGAAGAUACAUGGGGUUGAUUUGAUCCGGGAAACAGAAGAAAAAGUAAAAGUGAUUCGGGAUAGUCUAAAAGCAGCUUCCGAUCAUUGGAAGUAGCUUCCGACCGUCAGAAGUCAUAUGCUGAUCUUAAACGAAAAGAGAUUGAAUUUUAGGUGGGUGAUAAGGUAUUCCUAAAAGUGUCUUCUUGGAAUAAAGUUCUCCGGUUCGGUCGAAAGGGUAAAUUGAGUCCAAGAUUUAUCGGGUCGUAUGAAAUCAUAGAAAGAAUUGGACCGGUCGCUUAUCGAUUGGCAUUACCACCGGAACUCGAUAGAAUUCAUAAUGUUUUUCAUGUGUCUAUGCUACGACAGUAUUGAUCAGAUCAUUCACAUGUUAUAUCUCCAUCAGAAGUGAAGAUUUAGCCACAUAUGACUUACAGUGAAGAACCGGUCAAGAUAUUAGCACGAGAAUUAAAGGAGCUUAGAAAUAAAAAGAUAAAUUUGGUGAAAGUAUUAUGGAAAAAGAACGGGAUUGAGGAAGCAACAUGGGAACUGAAGGAGGUAAUGAGGAAACAAUACCCGAACCUCUUUACUGUAAGAUUUUCGAGGACGAAAAUCCUUAAAGGAGGGGAAAGUUGUAAUGGCCUAAAUUCAAGGUUAUCGGAACAAUGGUUUCAUAGCCACAAAUUUGAUUUAAAGAUAAAUUUAUUUUAAUAUUUUUGCAUGAAUAUUGAUAUCAUAAAAAAAAUCGUAUGAAAAUAUAGAUAGAAGAAUUUUACCGAUUUAGUUGUUAGUUAGAGAAGGAAAUUAUUGAGGAAAUUGGGUAAAAAUAAGGUAUCGAGACCUCGAUCUCGCAAAAUCGAGUCAAAAAUAUUUUUAUAAAUAUUUGUGAAAUGUUAGUAAUAUGGUAAUAAAUUUUGUUAGAAAAUUUCUACGUUUGGGUAGUUAAUUAAGUGAAAAGGACUAAAUUGAAAAGAGUGUAAAAGUUACUAGAAGGAUUAAAUAGCUCAAUUGUUAAAUGAGAAGGGACAUAAAUUGAAAAUAAGCCCAAAAUGAGAUAUUUUGGGCAUAAGCUGAGAAAAAUCAGGAGAAUUGUGAAACAAGGGUAAAAUGCGAAAAUAAUAAAUUUUACUAACAUAAAAAUAGGACCAAAUUGGAAUAUCUAGAAUUCUCUUCAUAUUUUCUUCAUUAUCAUCAGCCAAAAAACAUCCUAGGGGUUUAUUCAAGCUGAUACUUCAUAAUUUUUGUACCAAGUGAGUAUUUUCUUGCCUUUUUCUUGUAAUUUUUGUGUUUCUAAGACUUUUACAACUAGGUCCUAUUACUAAAUUCAUUAGUUUUUGAUUUUAUGAAUGAAAUUGAAAGUUUCUAUGAAUAUGUGCUGGAAGUUUAUGAUGAGAUAGCAUGAAAUUGAAGCUUUAAUUUGUUUAUGAGAUGAUUUUAUUAGGUAAUUUCAAUAGAAAUUGAUUUGUAGGACCUAAUUGUGAAAAAGUUUGGGAUCAAAGUCUAGUGCUAAAAUUCUGAUUUCCAAAGGUUAUAAAGUAGUUUAAAGUGAUAGAAUAAAGUGUUAAUUGAGAAAAAUCAACUCAAUUGAGAGGUUAAUUAAGUAGGGAUGAAAUUAUCAUUUAUUGAAAGCUUAGGGGAAAAAUGGUAAUUAACAUCAUGCACUAAAACGGUUUGGACAGUAGCAGUAGGUUAACUUUGAAAAAUCACCAUAAAUUGUGUAAAUUGAAUUAAAGGAUGAAAAAAAUAUUAAAUUAAAUUUUAUUGAGUCUAGUUUCUUAUAAAAGAAACGGUGUAAGCAAUGAAAUUGUAAAUCAUAAGAUAUAAUAGAUUUUGUGAGACAAGGUCAGAAUGAAUUCGGGUUCCCCUGUUCUUACUUUGGAAAAUCAUCAAAAAUUGGAGAAAAAUAAUUAGGGGCUUAAAUUUAUAUGUUUAAAAUACUUAUUGAGUCUAUUUUCAAAAGAACCAAACGAGAACAUCAUCUGAAUUCUGUACAAUGAGAUAAUUAAUUUUUAGUGAAGAGGGGUCGGAACUGUCGAGCAGUGAAACAGGGGAAACUUUAAAGAAUAAACUCUACUGAUUGGCUAAACCAAAAAUUCUGAAAAUUUUAUGGCUAAACCAAAAAUUCUGAAAAUUUUAUGGUAAGAAGAUAUGUGAGUCUAGUUUCGGGAAAAAUUAGCGGAUCUUAAUUUGGAGUUCUGUAGCUCAAGAUAUAAAUAAUUUAGUGAUUAUGGCACAAUGAGACAGCUUUGAAUGCACUAUAAAUAAUAAUGGAAUUAUAGAGAAUGUUACAUAUGAACAUGGAAUGUAUUAGAUUAAUGAUUAUAUUUAUUUAUUUAGAUCCAAAAAAUUCAAAUACGAAGCUAGAUCGAGGAAAAGAAAAGGUUUGGGAUUAGUAGAUUUUUGUUUACGAACAAGUAUCGAGGUAAGUUCGUGUAACUUGGAUUAUAUUCUUAAAUGCUUGAAAUAUAUUUUUCUUGAUGUGAAUAUGAUUUGGAUGUUUAUUAUAUUAUAAUUGAUGAAGUAUUGAUAUUCUUGAUGAAAAUAGAAAAUAAAUCCCGGUUGAAUGAAAGGAAAAUUCGAUGGAUCUUUGAAAAGGAAUUGACGGUAAAAAGGAUCUUGCCCUGAUGGGUGAUCCUAUCCUGAUAUAGCCCUCCCGAAGAAUAUGUGGAAAAUAGAUUUAGCCCGAACAGGUAAUCCGAAUUAGGGUCUGAAUUUAGCCUGGACUGGUAAUUCAGAUCCAAGCUCAUUAGAAUAAUUAUCAUUGUUGGGGAUUUAGCCUGGACUGGUAAUCCCGACAAUACUCUAUGAGUUUAUAUUACAAGGGAUUUAGCCUAGACUGGUAAUCCCGCUAUAAGGAUGAGGUUCGCGGGAGUGUGCUCUCUGAAAUGGAAAUGUGCGCACAUGAAUAUGAAUUGACGGACCCGGACCGUUACGCUAAAGUGUACCCCCAAAAAUCCAUCGAAAUUUCGAGAAAUUCAACGUGAUAAAUAUGGAAAAUAACAAGGGAAUGGAAAUCAUGGUAUUGAUGAGCUCAUCAAUCAUGGUAUAUAUUAUUGAUACAUGGAAAUUAUUGGACUAAUUUGAAUGUUGAGUUGUGCAUGAUAGGGGAAUAAUGUAUUGAAUGGGUGUAUGAAUGUUUAUCGCAUUGUAUUGAAAAUAUUAGGUAAGUAUAAUUCUUGUUACAUGAAGUUAGUACGCACAAAGUGCUUACCCUGUUUCUUUUUCCCCUGUUUUGUAGUGUUAAGAGCUCGGAGGUCGGAUUCGGUCAGAGACGUAUCACACUGUCAACCUCAAUAUUUCGGUAUAUAAAGAAACUUUAUUUUGGAAAUCAAUGGCAUGUAUAAGCUAAUAAAGUAAAUGUUAAUGUGAAAUGAAUAUAAUGUUAGCCAUUCGUAUGGCUAACAAAUGUUGGUUUUGGUAUGUGAUGAGGUUAUCUUAAAAAUAUGUUUGAAUCUAUCUUGAAAAUAUGUUGAAAUGGAUUGGUUGGUUUGGAUUAGUCUCAGUUUAAAAUUGCAGGGAAGGUUAGAAAUUUAUAAAGGGAUUAUAUUGAGUUUAAAAAAAAUUCUUAUGAAUUCGAUAUAGUCUCGGUUUAUUCCCAAUGUAUGUUUUGGGCUUUGGAGGUCUAUCCAAGGGACGCCAUGACAUGUUUCGAUAAAUGAAUAGUAUUUAACUCGUAAUAAUGGAAAAUUAAUUCGAUAAAAUCUGGUAAUGCCUCAUACCCUAUUCCGGCGACGAAUACGGUAGGGGGUAUUACAAGGCAUUAUCAAGUUGUGAUUGAUUGUGAAAUCGAGCUGAAAGGGUCAAGUAAGUGUUAAGUUCAAUGUUAAUAAAAAAAAUAAGGUAAGCUUGGUAUUUGAAAUGGUGAUAUAAGUUAUACAUGAUAUAAAGUGAAUUAUAUGUAUUUACAUGAAUGCUCAUAUUCGGCUAAAUGAUGUAUUUGUGAUAUUAAAAGUGAGAGUAAUGUGUGCUUAUGAGUAUAUGUGCAUUCGGUCAGAUGAUGUUAAAUUACUAAUAUUUUCUGAUGUUAUAUGAAUUCGCUAGUUUGAUAAGUGUAGAUGUGAUUAAGUGCUACUUGAUUCGACCUAGUUAAAUUAUAUUAGAUAUCUUUGAAAUGAUUUAUUUUCGUAUAACUUAGUGAUAACACUCUAGAAUAACGCAUUUUUAUGUAUUAAUUAUGUGUUUAUUCUGAGUAUGAUCCUGCUAAUUUUAGCUAUUUAUGAUCUUUUAUCUCAUAGGGACUAAAUUUGAGGCAAAAGCAAAAUUAAAGGCCAAAAGCAUGCAUUUAGAGAUAAAAUGGGCUAAGGUGCAAUACAAGGAAAAGUUGGUGCCAAAAGUGCAAGCAUGGAGGACACAAGGGUUGAAAUGCAAAAAGAAGAGAUUUUAUUCUAUCAGACUUUAUUUUAAUUAUAUUAGGAUAAUUAAUAUUAAGAUAAUUAUUAAGGAUUAUUUAAUUUUAGGAUUUAAUUUUAUUUAUCUUUAUUUAUCUUCAAUUAAAUGUAUUUAUCUUCUGGGAGUUUAAGUAGGAUUAGGCUAUCUUCCCUAGCACUAUAAAUAGGGGGUGAAGUGACUCAAAAGGGAUCCAUCUUUUUCUGUAAACACUCUCUCCCAAAAGUCUAGGAUUUUGUUCUUCUCAUAUUGCCUUUCAAUAAAAUCUCCAUUUUUAUUUUAUUUAUUUUCUUUUCCACCACAACCAUGAGCCACUAAACCUAUCUAGCUGAAAGUUGUCGGUAUUCCCCAAAAAGGGUUCUUGAGGCUUAAAGUCUGUACUUAGCCUCCUCGCCGAGUAUUCAUCAUUUCUCCGCACUACGGGGCUGAUGCUUCCGUCCAUGUCCCUUAAGAAGUAAGCUUUUCAACAUAUACAAAGGCGGCUGCUUUGUAUGUUUUGGGAAGUUUGCACAGUCGGUUCGUUAGCUUACUACAUCAGAGGUUGGCGAGCCUAAGAGACAAAAUGGCGUAGGAUUUUCCAUUGAGAAGCGUUGAUCUAGCAUAAGACGAACCCACAGAAACGAUUGUUGGCUAGAAUCAGGUUCCACUAAAUUGUAAGUCUAAAUUCUUGGAGCUGGUGGUCAUAGGCGUCCUCUUCCACUAUAACUGGCUUAUUCGGUUUGGGAAGGAUCAUCUAAAAGCCGAGGAUGGAACCCAAGACGGAACGAGACAACUGGAGGCUGUAACCCCCUAUAAGAAUUUCAUUUCUCUCAACUUUAUUUUUAAUUUCUCGAAUUUUUGAUUCAAUAUUCUUAAUUCUAUUUUUAUUUUAUUUUUCAUUUCUAGAUCUAGACAUUUAAUUCUGUUAUUUUUUUAUUUUAUUUUUUCUAGGAGCACAGGUUUUUUUGGGCAAUAUUCUGCCUGGGAUUUCACGGAACAAGAUAUUGUGCAAGUCCAGUCCUUGAGGAUUUGACCCUACUUCCCUUUUACUAUUCUUUUUCAUUAUUUAUUAGGGAUAGGAUAUUUUUGGCGCUUUUAACAACCGCAUCAAAUUUUGGCGCCAAUAUCUUGUUCUGUGAAAUCCCAAGCAGAAUCUUGCCCAAGAAAACUUGCGUUCUUGGAAAAAAAUAAAAUAAAUAAAUAACAUAAUUAAAGGUUUGGAUCUGGAUACGAAAAAUAAAAUAAAAACAUAAUUAAAAAUAUUGAAUCGAAAAUUCGAGAAAUUAAAAAUAGAGUUGAGAGAAAGGAAAUUCUUAUAGGGGGUUCCAACCUCCAGUUGUCUCGUUCCACCUUGGGUUCAAUUCUCGGCUUUUAGAUGAUCCUUCCCAAACCGAAUAAGCCAGUUAUAGUGGAAGAGGACGCCUACGACCACCAGCUCCAAGGAGUUAGACUUACGAUUUAGUGGAACCUGACUUUAGCAAACAAUCGCUCUUGUGGGUUCGUCUUAUGCUAGAUCAACGCUUCUCAAUGGUGAAUCUCAUGCCAUUUUGUCUCUUGGGCUCACCAACAUCUGACGCAGUAAGCUAACGAACUGACUAUGCAAUCUUCCCAAAACAUACAAAGCGGCCGCCUUUGCAUACGUUGAAAAGCUUACUUCUUAAGGGACAUGGAUGGAAGUGUUAGCCCCAUAGUGCGAAGAAAUGAUGAAUACUCAGCGAGGAGGCUAAGUACAGACUCUAAGCCUUAAGAACCCUUUUUGGGGAAUAUCGACAACUUUCGGCUAGAUGAGUUUAGUGUCUCAUGGUUGUGGUGGAAAAGAAAAUAAAUAAAAUAAAAAUGGAGAUUUUAUUGAAAGGCAAUAUGAGAAGAACAAAAGUCUAGACUUUUGGGGAGAGAGUGUUUACAGAAAAAGAUAGAUCCCUUUUGAGUCACUUCACCCCCUAUUUAUAGUGCUAGGGAAGAUAGUCUAAUCCUACUUAAACUCCCAAAAGAUAAAUACAUUUAAUUGAAGAUAAAUAAAAUAAAAUAAAAUCCUAAAAUUAAAUAAUCCUUAAUAAUUAUAUUAAUAUUAAUUAUCCUAAUAUAAUUAAAAUAGAGUCUGAUUGAAUAAAAUCUCUUCUUUUUGCAUUUCAACCCUUGUGUCCUCCAUGCUUGCACUUUUGGCACCAACUUUUCCUUGUGUCGCACAUUGGCCUAUUUUAUCUUUAAAUUCAUGCUUUUGGCUCUUAAUUUUGCUUUUGCCUCAAAUUUAGUCCCUAUGAGAAAAAGAUCAUAAAUAGCUCAAAUUAGCAAGAUCAUACUCAGAAUAAAUACAUAAUUAAUACAUAAAAAUACGUUAUUCUAGAGUGUUAUCACUUACUAAGCUAUUCAAGCUUACUGUGUGUGUGUUUGUUCGUUGUUUUAUAGUUUUGGAAUCAAGUUACGAGCUCGAGGAUCGUCAGAGUAAUCAGACAUACUAUCGAUCUCUAAUUUGGUAUUUUAAAAGUUGAACCUUAUACUUAUGGCAUGUAUAGGCUAGCUAGUGUUUUGGGUUAGUUUUGAAUUUGUAAAUAUUAAACCAUGCGAAAAUGGCUAGAUAUGAUGCUUAAGUUUAAGCAAAUUUCGGUUAUGGUAUAUAUAUAUGUGUGGCGUAUUUGGUAUAUGUAUGAUGAUAUAGUCUUGAAAGUUGGCAUGAUUUGCAAUUAUGGUUUGUUAUAAUUUGAUUUAAGAGAAUUAGGUAUAGUUGAUGAAUUAGUUCUUAUUGAUGACUAUAAAUUACCUUGUGAUUUGGUAGUGUUUAAAUCAUGGAACUAAAUGUCCAGUUAUAUGUUAACGUUAAUUUUUCUUAUAUUUGUUAAGUGUGGAUUAUUGCUAUGGUAUUAUACUUAAAUUGAUAUACGUAUUGCAAUUAGAAUUGAUAAUUGGUAUAAUGAGUCUUGUUUACUAAAUUAGUUUUAUAAGUGACCUAUGAUAUGUUACAGGAUUAAUAUUAUUUAUACAUAUGUAUAGGUCCGGUUUUGGCAUGUAAUGCAUUAGUAGAUUUGUUUUCUAUAUUAUAUAUAUUUAUAUAUAAUGAUUAUGUUUUAUGAGAUGUCUUGGCAUGUAAAUGAAGUGUUUGUUUUAUAUUUGAAAAUGACUAGGAUACGGCUUAGUAAGAUAGUAAAUUAAUAAAUGACAUAUUUGUGCAUAUGUGUAUGUAUUAGAUUAUGGAUUUAAAAGAUGUGAUCAACAAUGAUGUAUGGUAAUUUAGCAAAAUUAGACUCGUAUUAUUGGAAAGUUGAUGUCCGUUUGGGUAUAAACAUUUGCGCAUAAUUGAAUGAUUAUAAUGGUAUAUUUUCAUUUAUGUUUUGGCUAAGCAUUGAACAAAAAGGCUAAAUAAUAGUAAUGUACCGAUUGUGAUAUGGUCAUAUGUUGUGGUUUGACUUGCUCGUUUUAUAUGUAUAUUGUAAUUAAUAAAAUUGCUUAUUUUGAUAUGCGCAUAGGUUUAUAUAGGGAAGUGUUAUUUUGAUACUUUGUUUAUGUAUUAAAUGAAUUCGAAUAUAUAUUAAUUCCGUGUCAUGAAAUGUUUUAAAGUCGGUUGGGUUUAAGAGAUUUGACCAUGAUUAUGUGUAUAUACAUGUGUUAGUUCGAAAGUUGUGUCGGGUCUGGUAAUGCCUCGUAACCCCAUUUCGGCGACGGAUACGGGUUAAAGGUGUUACAAUGAUACUUAAGUGAUUAGAUCGUUCCAAUUUUUCAUACAGAGCAAGAUCAACUUAAGUGUUGGUUUUAGUAAUAUGUGGCUCAAAUUUUCUUGUGGCAUAGUCAAUAUCCAAGCACCCCAACUAGAGAAGAAUAUUCUCCUUCCAGUUUAAAGUUCUCACUAGUUAAUUUAGGGAUGUCUAGUUUAUUAUCAAACAUAUUCACAGGUUGUAAAACUACAAAAUGAAUAGACAUACAUGCUUAAAAUUUGAGGCAAACAUAAAUCAUAAUUGACCAAUGCAAAUUAUGUAAAUAAUGAAUCUAGUGUCAUAAAAAUUACCUGUAGGCUAAAUUUUUAAUUCAAUUAGAUCAAUUUUAUGAUAGAAUUAUUUACUAUCCUUUUGAUAAAAAAUAUUAAAUUCAUUUUCAUAAUCCCGGUAAGUAACUAUAAAAGGGCAUCUAAUAAUUUUAUCUUAAUAAAUUAUGCAAUGGGAUUUAAUACCUAUGUUGUCCGAAUGUGAUUUUUAACUUUAAUAAUUUUAUUUAACAAAAGAUGUUGUAGCUAGUCUUUAACUAAAUAAAGUUAUGAAAAUCACUUUACUAGAUAUUAAUUCUUAAAAUUUAUUCAAGAUUGUUGUUAAGUCAUUAUGCAACAUCUAAUGUCUAUAAACCUUAUGAGAUCCUUACUACAAUAAAUAAUUUUAUUGCUAAUAUUGUGACUAAUUCUCUAAUUAAAUAAAAUUAUUUGAAUACCCAGACAUAUAUUCUAAAGUUUUAUUGCUAAAUACCUUAUGCAAUAAGUCUAAAAUUUUUAUGCACCUAAAAACUUAUGUAAUUAAUAACCAGAUAAUUCACGUACAACCAUUUACUUCAGGCACAUAAAAAAUAUUCAAAUAACAAAUUUCUAAAAUUUUUCUUUAAAUUAUUUAUAACAUAAUUAAUUUUAGAAAUUUUACUUUAAUAAAAUCUAAUGAUUAAUUCAAAGAAACAUGACAUUGUUAUUUUGAGAAAUUUACAAACUUUUAAAACAAGAUAAAGCGGAGAUUUAUCAUACUCUGAUACAAAAUGGUAGCAUAAAUAACAAAUUACAAUAUAAAAUAAUGGAAAAGAUCGACAUAAAUACCUCCAACUAUUAUUUGAACCAAAUGUCAAAAUCCAAAUAUUGUUACACCAUUGCCAAGCACGCCAAACCACCGACGAGCACGUAAAAUUUAACUAUACGAAAAGCUGAAAAUUGUCAAAAUCUUCUUAAGUACUUGAAAACCUCACUAGAUGGUGUAUAUAAUUCCUUAUCUUUGAAAUGGAAUUGCUUUAGUUUUUUUUGGUGUUUAGGGAUCUUAUGUUAGUUGGUAUUUAUAGUGGUAUUUAUAGGAAUCUUAUGUUAGUUGGUAUUUAUGGUGGUGGUUCCUCAUAAAAAAUCACCAACUACACAUCUCAUUAUCUCACAUACAAAGACAUGGAUGUUGAGGACAACAAAAUUGGGAAUGGACAGCAAAACGUGAGGGUUAUUCUCACAAACUAAUAACAGUUCUAACUAUACAUCUCAUUAUCUCACAUACAAAGACAUAGUAAUCUGUGUUAAGGAAUCUUACAUUCUCUUAAUCGUAUUACUAGAGAUUUAUCCUACAUUUCGUUCGAGGAGAAAUGGAAGGAAAGAAAAGUAAGGGAAAAUAAUAUUUUUUUUCUUCCUUUGUUUGGAUAGAGUAUUUAAUUUAAGAAAGAGAAAAUAAGCUCUAUUUUCUUUUUACCCACAAGACAAAAGUUUAGGACAUAAAAACAUAUAAUUUUUGUCAUUUCUUUCUUUUCUAAAUAAUUUUAUGAAUGAUGAAGUUGUUAUAAUAUUAUAAUUAAUCAUUUCAUUUCCACUAUUUAACCAAACCAAAAUGAUUAGAAUUACCUGUCCUUUCAUUUCACUAGUUUUAACCAUCUAAAUAAAAUCAUAUGUAAUCAUUUAUUUUUCUUACUUUUACUCUCCUCUACUAUUUUCAAAUCUUUUUAUAACUAAUUAUAUCUUUAUUAUUUUUAAUGAAAAUUGCUAAAUACAAAGAUUGAAAAUUUAAACCAAAUUAAUAGAAUUGAUAAAAAAAAAACUAAAGUUACCCUUUUAUUUAAAAUUAAUCUUAGGGGUUAAUGAAUUUUUCGUCAAACCUCAAAAUAAGUACAUAUUUUUCAUAUCAUAGUAGGUAACAAAAUAGACAUUUAAAAGUUAUGAAAGAAAAUGGAAAAUAAACUUGGGGUUUUAAAAUAAAAAUUUUAAAAUUGCCGUCCAUAAGCAGGGUCAAGAGGCAAGUGGUGGUGGGCAAGAGGAACACAAUGACAGCCAGAGCCCGUUAUUGCUUUUGACUUGGUCUUUUAAUUUAUUUAUUAUUCACAAAUUCUACACCCAAAAGGAGGCAAGCCGAGUAGCCGGUUCGUGGUCGGUGAGCAUUGUCUCGCUACACCACUUGCUCUGGCCCCUCCAUAUAAACCUCUGUUCCCUUGUAUUCAAACCCAAGCCUAGCUUCUCCCGAAAAACAAACUUCUUUUAAUAAAUUUAAAAACUAUGGUGAAGAAGGAACUGUACAUAACCGUACCCAGCGUUUUCCGGUGUCCAAUUUCACUUGACGUGAUGAAAUCUCCGGUUAGCCUUUGUACGGGCGUUACCUACGAUCGUUCCAGCAUCCAAAAAUGGCUCGAAUCUGGUCACGACACCUGUCCAACCACCAUGCAGGUUCUUCCCUCCAAGGAUUUCAUCCCUAACCUUACUCUCCAUCGUCUAAUUAAUCUCUGGAUCCAGUCUUCUACUCUCCGGCCAGGCUCUAACUCUCCGCGGCUUCUUCUGGCGACGCCUCCUGCGAUCUCCGAGGUUCAGGCUAAGCUAUUGAUGGAGAAGGUUGAGAGGGAGCGCUGCGACGAUUCUUUGUCUAAGGUUGCCGAGUUCGUAAGCUGUUGCGAAGAGAACCGGAAAUUUGUAGCUAGAUUCGACGGUUUCGUUGAGGUAAUCGCCGGAGUUUUGAAAAGGAAAUGUGUGGAAAUCAAAGCUUUGGAAACGGCGGUUAGGAUUUUGGAUUUGAUUUUGAGCGAAAAUGGAGUCACAGAAGGGUUAAACAAAUUAAUCCUGAAAAGCAAUCAGGAAAGUAAAUUUUUAUCGGCAAUCGUUUUAAUUCUUCAACACGGAAGCCUGAACUCGAAGAUCAAGUCAGUCCGAGUUCUGGACUCACUAGCACUUGACUCGGAAUCCAAACGCAGGAUCUCCGACUCACAAGACCUUAUAUCCAUCCUUCUCCAGCUCCUGAAAACAAACAACAACGGAUCCUUAAACGACGCCGUUACUUCCAUUUUAACCACCAUUUCAAUAACGCGCUCCAUCAGGUCCCGCCUCAUCGAAAACGGCAUCGUUGAAAUCCUAUCAAACUCGCUCACCGAAAAGUCGUUGAAGUUGUUAGCAACGCUUAGCACUUGCAGCGAAGGGAGGUCAGCAAUCAGUUCCGAGCCAAAAUGCGCGGCGGCGAUCGUAGAAAAGCUGUUGAAGGUGUCGAAAAGGGGGACGGAGGACGCCGUAACGGUGUUGUGGAGCACGUGUUGCUUGAACAAAGAGGAGAAAGUGAAAGAAGCGGUGGUAAAAGGGAAUGGGGUGACGAAGAUAUUAGUAAUAAUGCAAAGAGAAGGGGAAGGGAAUGUGAAGAUGAUGUGCAGGGAUUUGGUUAAGGCUCUAAGAGCUGUAUGUAAAGAUUGGUGUUUAGGCAGUUAUGAAACCAAAACUACACAUAUUAGACCUUGUUGAGGAGCAUUCUUU